AUGGGCAACCUAGUUUGGUAUCGAAUUCGCCGUCUACGAGAUUAGAACCUAAGACCUCUCACUUCCAAGUGAAGAGAAAUACCACUAGACCGUAGUAUUGAGUGACUAAAUGUUAAAAAAAGAAGAAAGAUAAUGUUCACAAGAGAGUAUAAUACAUGCUUGGAGUUGUGAGCUAAUUAAAAUUUUCCUUCCAAUAUCUAUUCAAUAUAGAGAGUAGUUAAUCAAAAUUAAAGAGGAUUAAAAGAAAUUAACCUUCCAAUAUCAAGUCAAUGAAAAAUGCUAGGGAGAUCAUGUUUUUAGACCAUAUUGUUAGUAAAAAGUUAAAGAGAACAAAGAGAUUUACAAUUCGACAAAAAAAAAGAAAAAAGAUUUACAAACCUUAAUAUUGUUUUUGGAGGACAAAAUAUAUGAAAUUCAACAAGAAAAGGAGGAAAAGCUCAAAGUUUAUUAUUCUUUCGGUUGGCGAUGUAAAAGAAAUUUUUUGAUUAAACUCAAGUAGACUUCAAAUUUUAAAUUUAAGAGUUAUUGACUUGUUUACAAGAUAAGAGUUAAAUUUAGUUUUAGGAUUAGUGUCGUUGGGUUAAAAGAAAAAAAGACCUCUUGUUUUAACUAUUGGUGAAUAGAAUUUAAGAGUUUUGUGCAUACAAUACAAUGCCUCCGCCCCUGUUUGUCGAUCUUCUCUUGAUCAAUAUCAUACACUAGUAGUAAAGGAUUAGGUCGUUGUCAAAUGAGCUCGUAUUUAGUUUGCAAAAAAAUUCGAUAUAGAGUACAUAUAUAGAAGCAUAAUACAGAAAUCCCGAAUUAAUUUACAAACCAGCACAAAGGAGUGCAUAAAAGUAAACAAAUUACGAGCAAACAGCUAUUUGAUAUAAACUUAAACAUGCACAAGACAGUAUUAUUGAUUCGGAACAUAACCUUAACGUCUGGCUUCUUAAACACAAGAAACGUCAAAACCUAAAGAGUGCAGGUAAGUCAUUCCUCUUUCGAAGGGCCCAACCCCAAGUACAAACACAAGAAGCCACCUCACGAACAAAAAACAAACCCAAUAUAAUUUAUUUGACAAAAGAGAGAGACCCAACCAGCAGCAGCAGCAGGUAACAAUUGGAAAAGAGAAAUUAUGCAGCAAUUGUUAAAGGAAGUUUUAACGAAACAUUUUUAGUAUUGUUCACUUUUAAUAAAAAUGACAUUUUUACUUUAAAAAUUUACUUCUGAUACUAUUCACUUACAAUGUCUUUUUGUCCGCUUCAAAGAUCCCUCCGUUUGAUUUUGCCAAAUAUAUAGUAAGCAAACUACUUACCCAAUUAUUGUUGCGGAAGCAAACCUUUACUCUUUUACGUACCCACUAUUAAGUAAUGUCACUAUCUGAUAUGUUAAAUGCAAUAGACAGACGACAUCAUUUGAUGUAUUGCGGUGUAGAAAUGGGAGAAAGAUAUAAGUUUUGAACAAGCCCCUCUUAUAUAACUUCGUGCCCAUUCCAGUUAAAGUAUUCUACGAGCAGCUCAACCAAAGUAGAUCAACUUAAGCAUUUUCCGCUUGAGUAUCUAAUUUGUUGAAUCAAUGGAUGCCAUAACGGCGAUCAAAGACUGAAAAUAGUUGUAAAAAAAAACCCGUUGGCACUUGAUCAAAUAGCUCUGGAAGGUGUACUCUUCCUCAAUCCAAGCUUGUCCCUAAAGGAGAGAACUCUAAUUCCUUGGUCCCAUCAGAAUAUCCCUGUUGGUAUAGUGUUAUGCAUAUAUAUAGCAGCUAAAAAUAUUGUAUCAGAAAAUAUCAAUUAAUUCAAGAUUUGAUUUUCCUCUUCAAUAUCUCUCUCUUGUUUCUUUCUCUAUCAUCUUCUUUUAUAUCAAUCCUUCAUAUUUUCCAAUGUUGUUAAUACCCACAUUCUACAGUUACCUCUUGAUUUCCCCUUCCAAUGGAUUUAUUUUGACUAACUAAUCAUGCGCACAAUCAGUUUUCAACUAAAGAACAUAUCAACACGAUAAAGAAAGUAACAAUAAUAAAAUAAACAACAUUUCAAUGGAUUUAUUUUGAUAGUUAUGUAAUUGUAAUAUCGACACCAUUAAUGAAAUAAACAACGUUUCAAUAUUUAAUAUACAGUUGUUGAUAUUAAGUGAUGAAAUAUGCCACGCGAUCAAAGAGCUCAUCCAAAGAUUCUCCCAUUAUUGUGACGUCCAUAUUUGUUUAUGGAUUUUGUGCAUAAAACUAGUAAAGAAUGUAACAAUAUUUAUGCGCAUAAAUUGAAGAUGGCUUUAUUGCAGCUACUAGCUAGUAGUCUGUUCCUACGUAGUUACUUUGGACGAGGGAAGUCAUGAAAUGAGAAUUGUAAUCUUAUUCAAAAACUCAUUUUUAUUUCUUAUUUACCUUUUUUAUUUUCGUUCAUCAGAUAGAAUAAAUUGAAGAAAAUCAAUAGUAAAAAGUUAACAAAUGUAUGUCGAAAGUAAAAAUAAAUAUGUGAAUAACAAUAUCCAACGAGAAAGUUAAGAAUGUGGGAGAAAGUAAAUAAAUGUGAGAUCAACUACCUCAUAAUCUAUUUAUUCUUGCUACUUCAAACAUUGGAUUACGAAUUCUAAUGUGAAGUCUAACUAUAUACGUCUUGGUGUCGUAAUUGUCCGUAAACACAAUAGAAGUCUCGAGUAUAUCCGCCUCUAGGAAACACUAAAAAAAAUCAAAAUAAUUCAAAUGCUUUCGUGUAAGCAAACAUGCCAAUAAAUGUUGGCUAAUUAUCCAUGAAAGUAGUUGACUAGAAGACUUGAUAUUUUACAAAUGAAGCCCUCCCUAUUGCCUUUUCCCUUUACAGUGUGGGUGGGUGUGGCCAGGAGACUACAAUCGUGGUGCUAGACAGGCGCCACAAGUUAUCGGCAUUUCGUCUCAUUUAUUUUUUACUUUUAAAAAUAAAAUAAAAUAAAAUAUUUUCGGAUAAAAGAUUGAGACAAAAGAUGAAGAAAAAAUGAGGGGUAGAAUAUUUUAAUUAAUGACGUAUAAAUCAUUUUUUUUACCAAUAAUAGUAUAGUUACUAAAUUAAUUUAAAAUAUAUAUAAAAAAAUACAAACUUGAAUGCAAAAAGUAAAACAUAUUGUUAUCGCUAAUUUAGCUACACCGCAAUUUACACGUAUAAAUUCAAGUUGAAGAUGCUUGUCCUUUACCCCUCUUUACCACGAAGAAAUAAAGUUGAGCCUCGUCAUAUAACUGCUGGGGAUGUUCAUGUAAUUGGAUCAUGUUAAUUGCCCUUGGUAUGAAACUGAAUUGCUGAGUGUUGAUCUGGCUGCUGUUUGACUAUUAGGUAUCCAGCUAGGUUAUAAUUUCGACCUUUUCUUUGUCCAACUUAUCUCAUGUCAAGAAAGCUACAAAAUUGAUAUCUAAAAAUAAUAUAGAUUUUAUUUUCCACAUAAAUAAUGCUUGAUGAAGGCUGGAAAACCCAUCAUGGUUUGAAUUUAACAAAAAAAAAAAAAAAAACCUAUCCUAUGAUUUAAUUAGAUACAAAUUGGUAUUGUGCACUUUCAACGCAACAACGCCGAAGUAUCAAUGUUACAAAUUUAUUACCUCAUGAAUCUACUCAGUUAUAUUAGGGGUAAUACUAGAGAGAUUAAAAUUUUAAUUUUAAUUUUGUAAAUUAAAUGAUGUGGUUGUUAAUGAUUAAAUUUUUAUUUAAGUGUUGAUGUACUUACUUCUUGUUGGUUACACAUAAUUUAAUUUUCAAAUUUAGUUUAAAAGUUUAAUUUCCAUAGCAUUACCCAUUAUAUUAAUAUACAAUCUUGAGUUAAUUACAAACUUCUCCCUAAUUCUAGUGGUUGUUCCACUUUUGUUCUCAAACACUUUUUUGUCCUAGGUAAGUUAAAGAUGUGUUAAAUAAAUGCAGAUGACGUUUUACCGUAGUGACGUAAAACUAUAAUAUUUAUGCAUCAUGGUGCAAGUUUAAUCUCCACUUAUUCUCAUUUACCAUAACAUUGAACAAUUUAAUCCACUAACGUUAUUAUUUGUUAAAAAAAAUUAAAAAAAAACUUUGUUAAAUAAGAACAACAAUGACUUCAUUUACAAAAUUAACAGACCACAAUAUCAACUAUGUUAGCUCGAAAACUUUUUGCAUCGAUACCAAGUCAAGUUGAUAUAAGAUUUUUUGUUAGCAAAUGUAACACUGAACGACUACUUGUAAUAAAAGACAGUAACUAAAACGUAUUAUUCGGUUAUUCUACUAAAAUAUUUUUUAGGGUAAAAAAUUUCUUCAUUCAGUUUUAAUGGCGAUUUUGAAAAUCCAAAUUAAAUUGACAAUUUGGGCUGGUACUUUCAUUCAUUUUUUUUAUCACAAAUGCUGCAUACUCCUAAUUUGUUAAUAAGCACACUUUCAAAAAUAAAGGACAACUUGGAGACAAAAAUAAAUAAAGUUGAAGGAUGAAAGUAAGAGCUCCAAGAGUUAGUGCAGUGCUAAAUAAUAUACCACCAAAAGAUAUAAAAUUGAUGUUAUGAUUAUAAUUAUGUAAUAAAAAAUUAUUGUAAAUUUUUUUAUUUAAAAUUGAUGUUAUGCUUAGAAUUAUGCGAUUAGAAAUUAUUGUUUUUAUUUUUUGGAAAACAUAAGCGCCGUCAGCAGUGGCAAAUGCUUACCGCGCUGCGAUGACGCCUCUGUUUGGCCCGGCAGAGCUUAAUCUGACAUGACAUUUGUACGGACUGUCUGCAACCCUGUGACUAAGCUGAUAGACCAAACAGCUGAUUAGUCUUUUGGACCACUCCCAUCUCGACAACGCAUUCCCCAAAACCAUCAUAUUUAUUUCUCUCUCCUCUCUCUAUUUUCCCAUAUUUAUGCUCGAACGGAGUAAGCAGCCAAGCUUCUGCUACUAGUAAACCGUGAAAACAUGUUCAAAUAAUUAAUUUUGUAAUCAUAAAUUGAACACGUGUUUACUCAUGAUUUGCUAGCAGCAGAAGCAGCUGCUGAUUUUUUCACAGCCAAGCUCUGUCCUAUAUACUCAGCGCCUUUCUUCAUCAAAACAAUUAAAACCAAGGCACUCCCAAUACAAAAAUAGAAAUAUACUACCAAAAAAAAAAAAAAACAUCUGUCUUCCUCAUCCUGCUUUUGCUUUUCAUCAUCAUUCAGCUCCCUUUCCUUUCUUGUAUCAACCAAAUUAGGGUUUUCUCUCAAAUUUGGUAUAUUUUCCAUCUCUUGGGUUUCUAAGCACUAAAAAAGAAAGUGCUAUUUCUUCCGCUUCUCCCCUUUCUAGUUUUAGCAAUAUAUAAGAAAAAACAAGAGAGGGAAAAGAAGAAGAAAUGGGAAGAGGUAAGGUGCAGAUGAAGCGGAUCGAGAACAAGAUAAGCAGGCAAGUAACGUUUUCAAAGAGGAGGAGUGGAUUGCUCAAAAAAGCUCAUGAGAUCUCUGUUCUGUGUGAUGCUGAGGUGGCAGUUAUUGUCUUCUCCACCGUAGGGAAGCUCUUUGAGUAUUCUACUGAUUUCAGGUCUGAACGUUACUCAAGCUUAUUGAGCUUAGAUUUUAUCUGGGUAUAUACAUCUCUUUUCUUUUUCUUGUUUGUUGUUAGUAUUUUUUGCUUGUGCUACGCCAGUCAUCUUAAACAUAAAAUAAACUUAAACUUAAUUAAACAACUUAUACACUUAAGCUCCAUCUAUCCCUCUACUUUUUUCUGGAUCGGCCCUUUUUAUCGAUUUUUUGGUCCCAUAUUUAAGAGGUCGACAUAUUUACAUGACAAAGAUAUACACAAAAUAUAAGUACUUCAGUUUUUUUAUUGUCAGAAGACGUACAUAGCCCUUGUUCAUUUCACCAUUCGCAGACGUGACAAGGGAGUACUUACUGGUCAAAUCAUGAGAGUGAAUUAGUUAAUUAAAUUUUAAAUGCUAAUUUUAUAUAAAUAUCUAUAUGGAUGAUGUUCUUUCAGAAUUCUUUUAAAUUUUUAUCGUCAGAUCGGAUGAAUUAAAGAAAAUUAAUAGAUAAAAAUUAAUAAAAUUAUAUAAGAGGUAAAAAUGAGUAUGCAAAUAUCUAUAUCCUAUCCAUAUACUUAAAAAAGGCAUAAUUAAUUUCUGUAAUCCAGUGGUUUUAUGUAUGAAGAUUACAUAAGACACUGGAUACAAGGCAGUAAAUAAAUACCACCACUUGCGUAAUGUCUGAGAUAAGGGUUAUUGUCUCAUAUAAAACCAAAAUAGGACGCAGUGCCAUGGGGGUUGCUCUUCUUACUUGUACUUUUAAAAUUAGCAAUUAAUUUUUAAAAUAAUUUGUUCACAGGUGUUGGACCCGUGUGAGGGUUAUUGAGCAAUGAGUCAUGAUGGGCUUGGUGUUUUCCUAGGUUUUGUUACCUAGGAUAUAUGUUUGAGCAUCUUGUAAAUGUAGCAUACCCAAUAUGAUUCUGGUUGCGCACCUAGGGCUUAGGAGAAAGCACUCCUCCAAUCAUCCAGUAAGUUCUGGAACAGUUGCAUAAGAAAAAGAGGAAAACGUAUGUUGGUUCGUUACUAAAUAUGAUUUUUCAAAAAUUAGUGGAUUGUCCUAGUGAUUAGAGUUUUUGUGUUCAGUUUAUCGUGUUUCGAAGUAAAACUUUCUUUUUUUUUUAGUACAGAUUAGUGUAAAAUAUUGAUAAUUUUUAAUUAAAAAAAUUACGAUUCUCAAAAGGAUUUUUCAUUUUGGUGUGAUUAACCAUUUAGACAAGACAACAAGAAUUAGGGACAUCUGUAGCUAACAGGAAUCCAAGUAUUACUUUAUAUUGAUGGUUAGCUAGGUCAAUUUCCUAAACUUGUGUCUGUUUACCCAAUGGUGGAUGAGAACUUACAAAAUUUUGGAAAACAUUUUAAACUAGUAUGAAAUUACCUAAGAGAUUUCAUAAAUGAAUAUUUGCUCACAUCUAUCAUUAAGUUCUCUUUCUUUCACCACUUAGUACUAUGAGCUAGUGGUAUUUCUUUUUACUUGUAAGUAAGAGGUUUUAGGUUUGAAUCUCGUAAAUGGCAAGUUUGAUACCAAUUUAUUUCUCCACCCCUUACUAUAAAUAUUUCGUUCAACAGUUCUCUCUUUUCAAUUUAGAUUGAGAUAGAAAGUUUUAUAAAAUGCAUGAUACCAUUGGACAUAAUAGAAUGUAAGUGUGGAUAUUAGGAAACUUAUAUCUAUGAGAUUAUGUGAAUCUAAGGGCAUGUUCUGUAACAUAUUCCUUCUAUUGGUUUUAGAUUUCUCUUAUUGUUUAAGAUGGAGAGGAGGUAUACAAAAGAAAAGAGUGAUAAAGAAUGGUAGGAGGAAGGGGGUAGAAAUGUUUGAAGAAUACUAUAUAAAAUGAAAACUAAUUAAAAACUAAAAACUCACUAAUUUUAAGUUUUUUUUUCAUUAAUUAUCCUUCAUUAGUAGCACUCCAUUCUCCUCAAUCCUUCUUCACCCUUUAGCCAAAAAAGUUACUAAAUAUAGGUUGUAAGGAAAUAAGUUAUUUGAUUUCACGAGUAAUGUAUAUUGUCAUCAAGUAUAACUUUUGCAAUUUUCCCAACAAGUAAAAUCAUGUAUGUUGUGUUUGGACGAGUGAUGACCAAGUACUAAGGGAUUUAAGCUAUAUUAGCCAGAAAGUACUACAAAAUAUAAGAUAUGUGGAUUCUGAAGUCUAAAAGCAGUGCAUUUAAUGAAAUUUGUUGGUACCAAGGGAUUUGAAAUUACUACUUAAAAUGAGUUAUUUGAAACCAUUGUUUAAGAUGAAGGCGUAGACGAGGCGUUUCAUGGAUAAUCCUGCCUAAACAAAGCUUUGAGGCAUAAGGUGAAGCCUCAUGACCUAAUUUUUUAAAUAUAUAUAUAUAUAUAUAUAUAUAAUUAUAAUUAUAUUAUACAAAAUAUAAUACUCUGUAAAACAAAAAUCCUUUGUCAUUCAGAAGUGCACAAGUCAUUAGUAAAUUUAACUAAACAUACAAACAAACAAAGAAAUCAUUCAUCCAAAUAUGGUCCACAUAGAUUGAAAUAUAAACAAAAAACAAAAAAAAUGGUAACAAACUGUCUUUUUCCUCAUUAAUAUCCCACUCAUUUUACAACAUUAAUAUAGCCCACAUACAUCCCACACUCACUGUCGGUACACUCUCCCUCACUCUCACUUUCCCUCAUCUCAUUUGUUAAUGUCCACUCAUUUUACAACAUUAAUAUAGUUCACACACACCCCCCACCCAUUCUUUCCCUCAGUACUCUCCCUUACUCUGACUUUCCCUCUUGUUUCUCUGUGUCUCUUUCUCGUUAAUGUCCACUCAUUUACAACAUUUAAAUGGUCCGUAUACAUCCCCCACCACUCUUUCCCUCGGUACUCUCCCUUACUCUCACUUUCCCUCUUCGCUGGGUGGUAGCGGUGUUGCUCAGUUGGUAGUAUCACGCGAAGAAGAGAAGGGAGAGUUUCAGUGUUUCACAGAGAAGAAAAAGAACGCGAGGUUGCCGAGGACUCGAGUGUCGAACGAAGAAGACUGAGAAGAAGUUUUAUUAAAAAAAAAGGCUUAUUUUUAGCUACGCCCUCUGGAACUUCAUUUUGAUCUCACUUUGCCCACUGUAACUCAAAAGUCACCACUUUUCUUCCUGAAACUCAAAAUUCGUUUCACUUUGACUUGUAGAAUCUCUCAUCUAUGAAACUUAUAGGUCGCCUCCUGAAACACAUGUGGGACCCAAGACUCUAUAUGACAAUGCCACAUGCAAUAAAUUUGAUUAUAAAUCUCCAUUAUGCGUUAACAUUCGACAAUAAAAGAAUAUUAAGGUUAAAGAGAUUGAAGAGAUGAAAAAAAAUAAAAAAAUAAAUUGAUUAGCCUAGCGCAACCAAAUUAAACUCACAUAAGAAAUUAACAGAUCUAAGGCUAUGUGGAGUGAAUUUGAGUUUUAUAGAGACAACUUUCAAGUUUUAGGAGCCAAAAUGGUGUUAAAAUCGAGUUUUAGGGGGCAAAGUGGAGCGACCUAUGAGUUUCAGGAAGUAAAGUUGUGACUUAUAAGUUACAAAGAGCAAAGUGAGAUCAAAAUGAAGUUUUAAAAGGCAUAGCUAAAUAUCAGCCUAAAAAAAAUUGCCCAAGACACCCUAUGGCACACCUCAACCACGUCUAGGCAAGUUUUCGGCAACUCCCACUCGGGUGUGUUUGUAACUAAUUAGACUAAACUCAUUCGUACAUGGAAAUCACUCAUCGAAACACAACAUAAAUGAUUUCACUUGCAUGGAACAAUGUAAUAAGCUAAACGUGUUUACAAGAAAGCAUUACUCAUAAAAUUGAGGUUAAUGGCCAGUUCAUAAAUGCUUAUCCUUACCUUUUUGCGUUGGUAAUUGAUGAGUUAACAUGACAUAUUCAAGAUGAUAUUCCUUAGUGUAUGCUUUUCGCAGACGAUAUAGUGUUGAUAGAUGAAACUCAGAAAGGGAUAAAUGUGAAGCUUAACCUUUGGAGAGAAGUGUUGUUUUUAAAGGUCUUCGCCUAAGCCGAUCAAAGAUAGAAUAUAUGGAGUGCAAGUUCAGUGCAAAUGGAGGCCAAAAUGAGUUAGGGGUGAGGAUCGGAGAUCAGGAAAUACCAAAGAGCGACUGCUUUCGCUAUCUAGGAUCUAUCUUGCAAAAGAACGGAGAAUUAGAUGGAGGUCUCAACCAUAGAAUACAAGCUGGAUGGAUGAAGUGGAAGAGUGCAUCUGGCGUGUUGUGUGACGCCGUGUGCCACUGAAGCUCAAGGGAAAAUUUUAUAGGACGGCAAGAAGGCUGGCGAUGCUGUAUGGCACAUAAUGUUGGGCGGUGAAGCAUUAACACGUACACAAAAUGGGUGUAGCGGAGAUGAGGAUGCUUCGUUGUAUGUGUGGGCACACGAGAAAGUAUAAGAUUAGGAAUGAGGAUAUCCGAGGUAAAGUAGGAGUAGCCGAAAUUGUAGGAAAGCUGAGAGAAAAUUGGUUAUAGUGGUUUGGACAUGUGCAAAGAAGGCCUACUGACGCUCCGGUUAGAAGAUGCGACUACGGGAUAGAGGUUCAGGGCAGAAGGGAUAGAGGAAGACCUAGGAAAACUUUGGAAGAGACUCUAAGAAAAGACUUAGAGUACUUGGAUCUAACGGAGGACAUGACACAGGACCGAGCACAAUGGCGUUCUAAGAUUCAUAUAGUCGACCCCACUCAGUGACUUGGAUUUUUCAAGUCUCCAACCGAGAUGUUUUCCUCACUCGAGAAAUUAAGGGAACACUACCUCAAUCUACAUGCUUCACUCAUAAAGCUUCAACAUACUAGCUUCAACAAAAGAAAAAUUCAAAGAACUUAGUGAAGAAGGCUUUAGUGUAUUUAACACAAUACGUUGAAAUGAAGCAAAACUUAUUUAUUGAUAUCUCCGAUAAGUUACAAAUAUGUACAUAUACAUGAGUCAAAAUAAACAAACAAGAAGGGGCCUUCACAAAGGUUGCUUAAGAGAAGUCUCAGCAGUCGGUAGAGCCCUAGAAAGAGAAGGCACCGGAGGGUGAUCACUCGGAGCCUCAGUACUGGACAGAACCCUAGAAGGAAGAGACAUCAGAGGCUGAUCAUUUGGAGCUUCAUUACGAGGUACAGCCCCAGAAGACGAAGGCAAUAAAUGCCUUUGGAACAAACCCACAAACCUCUGAUGAUCAAGUAAAAUCUGACCUUAAGAUUCCUUCAUCUGGUCAAGCUUCCUCUUCAUGUUUGUAGCAUAGUCAUGUGCGAGCCUGUGCAACUGUUUAUUCUCAUGCUUGAGCCCUAUAAUCUCCUGCUUGAGACUCAUCACUUCAGCCACCAAUGAUUCAACUUGGCGGGUUCGAGCAAAUAGGCGUUGGGCCAUAUUCAACACAGAACCUGCACAUUGAACAUUGACAGCCAAAGAAUCCUUAACAGCCAACUCAUUAGACCGUUUAGAAAGAAAUCUGUUAUCUUUGGGAGUGAGAAUGUUCCUUGCCACCACCGCAGCGGUUAUAUUAUUCUUCAUCACGGAAUCCCCAACGGUAAGAGGACCAGUAAGGGAUAAGAAGGAUGGGCGCCAUAUGUUGUCUGGAGAAGGCGCGGUUGCCUCUUCACCAAGGUUCAAGUCAAAACGAUGGUCGGAAGGGCCAGACAUUUUCAAAGGUGUUGAAGAGAGAAGAGGUCAGACAAAUUAAGAUCUUAAAAGUGCAAGAAUGGAGCUUCUACUGGUGGAGAUUCAAGUGUGCUUUGGAACUUAAUGCCAGCCUCUAUAAAAAUCUGCACUCGAUGGAGCUUCAGAAAUCGAAGAGGUGCUUGCUCAGAAAUAAAAGAGGCAUUUGCUUUCUCAAAAGCUGGGCUGCUCAGAGACCACGAGGGCCGAUCUCAGAGAUCGAAGAGGCAUUUGCUUUCUCAAAAGUUGGGUUGCUCAAAGACCAUGAGGGCCGAUCUCAAAAAUCGGAGAGGCGCUUGCUUUAUCAAAAGCUGGGCUGCUCAGAGACCACGAGGGCCGAUCUCAGAAAUCGAAGAGGCACCUGCUUUCUCAGCUUUGUCAGCAUCUGUCACAUGCACACUCAACUUUGCGGAAAUUACGGGCAAUCUGUCGAAGAUUUCUGGUGAAGUAGAAAGCACGUGAAUCUUACUGUUCAAUCAUCCACUUUCCACACGCAACAUCAGCUCAUGGGUACCAUAGAUAACUUUGCCAAAGAUCUCUGACAAAGUUUAGACACGUGAAGCUUGCAGCUCCCACUACAUUGCUAUGACUAAGAAGGGUAAAAGAUUAGCACAGAAACAACACUAACAAAGUUUAGACACAUAAAUUUUGAAGGUUUAGCUACCAUAUUAUUACCCACAAGGAUAAAGGAACAGCACCACUACUGGAUAAUUGGAAAGUCCCUGUGUGUCAACCUCUGUGCUCCGUGGCAAGGUAGACUAGCAAAAAUGCCCAACCUUUACUCACAUUCGAGAAAACACUCCCAACAAGAUUGCUUGCUUCAAAAUCAAAGAGGCACCGUCCUCCGAAUCUCGAGAGCCAGACUCCCACCAACAAUACUUUCUCAAAAAUCGAAGAGACAUCGCUCUCUGAAUUUCAAGAGCCAGACUCCCAGCAAGAUUGCUUUCUCAAAAAUCGAAGAGGCACCGUUCUCCGAAUCUCGAGAGCCAGAUCCCCGACAGGAUCGCUUGUUCGAAAACCGAAGAGGCAUGUCUUUCUCAACUUCGAGAGCCAGAUCUCCUUGGAUAAAGCUUGUCUGUAAUCUUCACACGCAACAUCAGCUUUCCAGAUACCACAAACCAUUUUUUCAAAGUGCUCUGACAGAGUUAAAACACGUGAAGUUGGCAGCUCCCACUACAGUGCUAUGACCAAGAAGGGUAAAGGAAUAACAUUACUACUUGUUAUUAGGGAGACUCCUAUAUAUGUCGACCUCUAUCCUCAACGGACAGGCAGACCUGCAAAAAUGCUCAACCCUUCCUUAUAUCUGAGAGGGCACUCCCAACGAAGCAUCUCGAAAUACUCAGCUUUCUUUCCCCCCGAUAAUACCUCUGCAAACAAGCUACACUAGAGCAAGAAUAUCUCAUAUCAUCAGGGUUAAAAGCAAGAGUAUCCCAUAUCAUGCUUUUUCCCUGUCUUUUCAUUUGGCCUUGUUCUUACCUGCAAGACAAGGAGAAAUAGAGCAAUCAGUCAACACUUGGAAUCAAGCUUCCAGUUAGGAACUGACUGCCUGGAACCCCUUACCUGAUUACUUACCUGGCAUUGCUCUCGAGUACUCAUCUUCAACAUCUUAUACUUCCAGAGAAAAUACCACAUCUGCCUGAGGAACAGAUAAGGCAAGUGAGAAGGAUACAAAGAAGCAUGUGGAGACAAGCGUAACAGAACACGUGCCGAUACUUCCACUACUUUGUCAAUGGCAAAAGUAUCCCAUAUCAGCAGGGUCGAACGUACACUAGAUUUGAUGGACUUGUUUUGACCCUCAAAUUCUUUAGUCGGCCUUAUACUCUAGAGGUAACCAGAAAACCCUCUAGCCUAGUUCAAGAAUAAGCAUGUGGAAAGUUACUUCUUCAAAAGUAAAAGUAUCUCAUAUCAUCUCUUCUCAUUUUCUUCUCUUUAUCCUUCAUAUUGCCUGCAAGAUAAGGAGAAUGAGAACAAUCAGUCGGAACUCGAAAUCAAACUUCUGAUAUGGGACUGAUUGCUUGGAGCUCUGAUUGCUUACCUUGUAUGUCACCUCUUUUAGCAGAUCCCCUAACUCGGUGACUUAGGGGACUCCUACUACAUGGUUUGUAUCGCGCUUGACCAAGCCUGAAACUACAAGUAAGCUUCAAGUGAAAUUGAUACAUUACCUUGUGCAUCUCCACUAGUUAAAGAUACCACCCCUGGACGGAGGAAGAGUACUUCCAGAGAAGAUGCCACAUCUACCUAUGAGACAGAUAAGGCAAGUGAAGACGAUACCACACUUUGGUACUUAGAAGUUUCGUGAUUACUCAGCGGCUUGGAUCUUGCAAGUCCCCAACCGAGGAGCUUCCCCUCCAACCAAGAGGCCAAUCACAGAGCGACACGUGUCGACAUCAAAAGCCAAUCAUAGCGCAACACGUGUCAACAUCGGAAGCCAAUCACAACACGACACGUGUCAAUGCCAGAACAAGGCUAGAAACUCUCUUCUAUAAAAGAAGAUCAUUCUCCCAAAAUAUUUCCUAAUGCCAUUUGUACUAAAUCAUUCACUUGUACCCACUAAAAGAGAGCUUGAACCUAUGUACUUAUGUAAACCCUUCACAAUUAAUGAUAACUCCUCUACUCCGUGGAUGUAGCCAAUCUGGAUGAACCACGUACAUCUUGUGUUUGCUCUCCUGUCUCUAUCCUUUUACAUACUUAUCCAUACUAAUGACCGGAGCAAUCUAGCGAAGGUCACAAACUUAAUACUUUCUGUUGUACCAAAGUCAUCACUGAUUUUGUGCAUCAACAAUCCUUAAGUCCUUACCUUUUUGCAUUGGUAAUGGAUGAGUUAACAUGACAUAUUCAAGAUGUUAUUCCUUGUUGUAUGCUUUUCGCAGACGAUAUAGGGUUGAUAGAUGAAACUCAGGAAGGGGUAAAUGCGAAGCUUAACAUUUGGAGAGAAGUGUUGGAAUCUAAAGGUUUUCGCCUAAGCCGAUCAAAGACAGAAUAUAUGGAAUACAAGCGGGAUGGAUGAAGUGGAAGAGUGCAUCUGGCGUGUUGUGUGACCGUCGUAUGCCACUGAAGCUCAAGGGAAAAUUUUAUAGGACAUCAAUAAGGUCGGCGAUGCUAUAUGGCAUAGAAUGUUGGGCGGUGAAACAUUAACACGUACACAAAAUGGGUGUAGCGGAGAUGAGGAUGCUUCGUUGGAGGUGUGGGCUCACGAGAAAGGAUAAGAUUAGGAAUGAGUGGGUUGGACAUGUGCAAAGAAGGCCUACUGACACUUCAGUUCGAAGAUGUGACUACGGGACAGAGGUUCAGGGCCGAAGGGGUAGAGGAAGACCUAGGAAAACUUUGGAAGAGACCCUAAGAAAAGACUUAGAGUACUUGGAUCUAACGGAGGAUAUGACACAAAACUGAGCGCAAUGGCGUUCUAAGAUUCACAUAGCCGACCCCACUUAGUGGGAAAAGGCUUUGUUGUUGUUGUUGUAUUGUCCUUUUGGAUCCCAACAAGUUGAUAUAUUUUCUAUACUUGUAUUUACUCGGCCCCCAACCUUACAAUUCUAGCUCCUGAGUCCACGGUUUUGCAAGCUAAAGAGAUAUAGCCACUCUUUCGCAUUUACUGUCACCAAGAUAAAAGGACUCAUCAGUUUUACCAAAAACCGUCAGACUAGGUGUGCUAGAAUCUAUGCCUAAUUUCAGUUCAAGCUAUCAAGAUGUGAGCUGAGUCAACGAUUACAUUAUGCUCUAAUAUUUUUCUAACCUAUAUACCUACCUCUCUCCUUCUUAUUGGGGACGGUCAAAUAUAUAAGGAGAAAUUAAGCAGGGAGGGGCCAAUUAUGUCUAUAUGACAGAUUUUAUUUGGUCUACUACACAUUAUUCUUUAAAGUUUAAAAGUUUCUGCUGAAUAUAUGCCAACAAUUAUCUUAAAUUUGACAUUUUAAUGUUUAGUCUCGAAAAAUAGAAGAGUUGGCCAAAUUACCGCUUGUAAAUUGUCUUAAUUGGAAUAGUUCAUUCGAUUGUCGUUUCCUGUCGGAAUACAUUAUUAUAAGACUCUCAACCUAAUGUAUACAUGCCUUGUGUUUCCUAUGCUUAUCAAGUUGUAGGGUAUGAAACCAAAUUGUAAACAACAUUUGUAUACGUUCAUGACUGGCAUGGUGAACUCUUCUAUUUCCAGUAUUAGAAAUAACACAUACUGUUAACGUGCACAGUACUAUAAUGUAACGAAUGUAAUCCCCCUAAUGAAGCCUUAGCGAUUGCACUAGAUUACAACUGAAAAUGUUGAACUGGAUAUGUGGUUUUUCGUAGUGAGUGGUGCUGGCAGAGAAAGAAAUACGUAGGUUGCUGCAUAGUUGGAGAACUCUGCGAGUCUAGCUAGUUUCCAACAUAUGAAAGGUUGUUCUCUAGAGCAAGUUUAUAUUGGCCGAUUGUUCAAGCUAGGGGCUUCUUUCUUAAUUCCCGACGAUAUGUAUCAAAAUCUAUAUAUAACAAAAGUUUGGGCUUUGGUGAUCAUUCUUGAUUUCGCUUUUCAACAAUUCAUCUACUUUUAUGAAUCUGAUGUAUUCUUGGACAACUAUGUAUGAUGUGCGCUUAUUUUAUAUUUAUAAGCUUCAUUGGCUUGUCAUUCUGAAAGAUUUCAUUUUUGUGAAGCAUGGUGAGGAUUCUGGAUCGAUACGACCAAUAUUCCUAUGCAGAACGGCAACGCACCGGAGCUGAUUCUGAAUCACAGGUAUUUAAUAUCCUAGACCUAGUACUAAGAAUAUGUAGUAAAAGAUGAAAAGUUGCAUCAAUUAGGUUUCUUUCUUGUAUAUAUGUUUUUAGACUUGAGAAUUGGUUACAAAUUGAGGUCAUUUUUCUCCUCUCAUGUUUUGCAUCCGAUUUAUGCAUGCGUGUCCUUCAAUACAAUACUGAUCCGCAAGAGAUUGAUUUAGGGUUGUUAACUGAUUGCAAAACCUACCUUUCUAAUAAGGUUGGAUUAGGUUAAGCCAUUAAAGAUCCUGCAGAAUCCCUAGUUUUCUGGUAAUUAUAUUUUUCAUUUUAUAUGCACCUCAUUAUUUUUUAGAUAGUACCGUACAAAAGCAACUGUGCAUAAUGUACCCUCGUUAAAACCUUGUCGGGGAUUUGAACCCUCUCAAAGAAAUAAUGUCAGGAGCCUCCUAAGUCCUAACCAAUAUUUGUAAUGCUUGCCCAUGGAGAUGUUCUUGCAUUUGAAAAACCGUGUAAUAAUUUCUGAAUCUUAGAUUGCGUUGAUAAAGCUUGUAUGCUUCUUAUAGGAAAACUGGCCGGUGGAAUACCCCAAGCUUGCGGCAAGGAUUGAAGUCUUACAAAGGAAACUAAGGUAAAUUAUUUAAGCUAUUGUUAUUUAAUUCAAGAAUUUUAUUCAGACAGGAAACGCUAUUGAGAAAAUCUAAUCAAAUAAAUGUUGUGCGAGUGAGAGUGAUAUAGUAAUUCCUAGAUGCAUGUGGUCUAAUAUAUUCUAGUGGAUAGGGUGUUGGGUUCCUACCCAUGCAUCCGAAGUUCGAAACUUCCCUCCCCCCUAAACUGUUGUAAUAGUAUCCCUCGCCUUAAUAAUAGUAAUUUAAUAUAUAUAUAUAUAUUAUAUAGUAUUGAUAUAUUUAUGAAGAAAUUGUUUUGAGAAAAUGUUUUCAUAGGUUGUAUUUAACGUCUAUUUCUCUAGGAAUUUGGUGGGAGAAGAUUUAGACCCCUUAAGCUUGAGAGAGCUUCAAGAUUUGGAGCAACAGCUUGAUACAGCUCUUAAGCGCAUACGAACAAGAAAGGUAAUGAAGUUACUUAACUCAAUUAAAAUAACUCUCAAAUUAAUCAUAUCUGUCAUGGAUUAGGUAAGCUACCUUGGCAUCUAAUUAAUAUAAAUUAAUUUAUACUUAUUCCAUAUAUAAUUCUGACAUUUGCAGAACCAACUCGUGCAUGAAUCCAUUUCAGAGAUGGACAAGAAGGUAGAAUGUUGUUCCAAUAUGCAUGUGUUUGUACGUGUGCGAGGACAUUAACUAAUCGUUGUAUGUUUCUGGGUUAAUUAGCUUAAUUGUUACCUUAACUAUAAGUAUACCUUCACUCGGGUGGGCUUAGCAUCAAACUUUAGGUAUGUUUAAUGGGAUUAACAUCAUAUUCAAAUAUGAAAUGAAACUGGUGUUUAUGCAUGCGCAUAUAUGCGUGUCUGUAUAUCUCACAUUGUGACUUGUUCCAGCGAAAGGCUCUACGGGAACUAAACAAGUCGCUAGCAAAGAAGGUAAUUAAAAAUUUAAAAGCGUUCUUAUAUAUAUAUAUGUUUUAUUUAUGAGAAAUAUUUUUUUAGAAUAUUAAUAAAAUUAAAUCUUGGAUAUAACAACAUAUAUAUAAUUGAUCCAAGGUGAAGGAGAAUAAAACGAUGCUUGAGGAAGAACAUGACCAGGUGCAGUUAGUAGGGCAGCAGCAAACUAACCAAGGCCGCCACAACUCAUCCACCCUCAUGCUCAUGCCGCCGCCGCCCCAACCCCCAUCAACACCAACACUACCUACUUUUCGAACCACCAGGUACGAUCUCUCUCUCUCUCUCUCUCUCUCAGAGCGAUGUUUCCAAUGAUCAUAUUAUUUUAGAACUAUAAAAAGUACAAGAACCGGAAACACAUUAGGGUUGCGUGGAAAAGCUAAUUAUAUGUAUGUAGAAAAUCAUGCAGUGGGGGAGUCCAGGCAAGAGGAGCAGUGGAUGACAAUGAUUCUGAUAAAGGCGGAAGACCUCCACCUCGACCGGCUGCUGCUACAAACACACGCAUGCCACUGUGGAUGCUUUCGCCAUUUGAAUGAAAUAUAAGCUUCGCCGGAAGACGACCACCUCGACCGGCGGAAUACCUUCUAAUGCUUUCGCCAUUUGAAUGAAAUAUAAGCUUUCGCCAUUUGAAUAAAAUAUAAGCUUUGCUAUUGUAAUUAAAGAAUAAUAUUAAAAACAAUGUUUCUUCAAACUUGUAAUUAAUAUUCUAAUCGUCUUGAAAGAAAUUUUGGGGUUCACAUGAGUGAUCAGUGGCUGAUCCAGGAAAAAUAUUUCAGGGGUCACAUGUAAAAGUUUACAAACAAAUUUUAGACAUAUAAUAACUUUAAAAAUUGAAUCAUAGUUCCAGCAUUCAUAACUUAUAGAACAAAUAACAAUACAAGUUACAAUAGUCUUCGACGCGUUUUCAUAUUUUGAAAAUGUUGCAUUAUAGCUUCAUUGUCAAUGAAAGAAAAAACAUUGCUCUCAACCAAGGAAUAAAAUAUCGGUAAUAUCGGAAAUAUCGGUAGUCCGAAAACACGGAAAUAUCAAUGGAAAUAUCGGGAUAAUAUCGAUAUCGAUAAAAAUUACAUGGGAACCACGGAAAUUGUAAGAAAAACUUGGAAAUUUUUAUUGAAACUUUGCAGGAUGUUUAUUUAGUCAAUUAUCUAUUAGUUUAUCACAAAAAAUUGGAAGGAAAUGCAUUGCAUGAUGGAUUUAACAUUAUCAAGUUGAUUAUAUAGCGAGCUGACAAACAUUGUGAAUGUAGAAAAUAUGUAGUAAUUAAUGAAAGAAGUUUAAACACACCAAUUGGGGCUUAUUGCGGCAAGUUUUUUAGAUAUGACCUCGCAUCAAGUCGUCUUUUAUGUUAAUUUGUAAUCUUAACUGGUUUUGUUGUGUUGUGUCAAUUAGUUAAAUUAAGCUGUACAUCCAAUUGGGGCUUAUAAACAUUUUAAUUCUCCUUAAAAAUCUAAGGGCAUUUAAUCAGGAUUUUAAGUUAUUCUUUAAAGUUUAAGGGGUAUUCGAUCAUGAUUUUUAAGAAAUUCAUACAUUCCAAAUGUAUUCAUUUCGAAAUUGAUUCGAAGAGAUUUUUAAAAAGUUGGGAAACUCGAAAAAAAUAGAAAUAUUUUACAUAAUAUUUUAAACAUUCUCAAAUCGCUCCCUGAAAAUUUGAGAGAAUUCACUUAAAAUUUUACAUAAAAGUUUUAAAAUUUAUUAAACUUCAUCAAAAUUCAUAAAUUUUUAAAUCUAUUAUAAUCCUUUAAAAUCUGAAUGGAGUAAAAAAUUCAAAUCUAAACCUAAUAUGAAACAAUCACUAAAUUACAUAGAAUUUCUAAACCAAAUCUAACAAGGAUAAAUUACAAUUCUAAUACGAUGUUGUAAUUACUUGGAGUUUUUUAGGGCAAUAUGUAACACCCACCCCCAUUUAUAAAGAUAUAUUUGUGUAAUUAUCCCCUAAACAUUUUAAUAUAUCAAAUUGGUCCUCUUUGACUACCAAUCAGGAUCCAAAACAUUGGAUCCCUUUCUUUCUGAAGUGGCCAUGUGGCAGCCCCCCCUCCACUCUUCUCUUUUCUCUCUCUGUUCCCCCGUGACUCCCUUCUUCUUUUCUUCUUCUUUCUGUUUUCUUUUCUUUUUCUUCUGUCUCCCUCUCGGCUCUCUCUCAUAUCUCCCUCAUCUCUCUUCUCUGCACCGCACCACGCACCCAUCUCCCUGCGCGAGGAACAUCACCAUCACCAUCUCGUCCGUCGUCCCCAUCGGCGCUCUUUACUCCCUCUCCCUCUGGCUCUCCAACUCCGCCUACAUCUUCCUCUCCGUCUCCUUCAUCCAGAUGCUCCAAGCCCUCAUGCCCGUCGCCGUCUACUCCAUCGGCGUCGCCGUCUACUCCAUCGGCAUCGCCGUCUACUCCAUCGGCGUCAGCGUCGCCUUUCAAGCAAUGUCGUGAUAAUAUCGCUAAUAUCGCGAUAUUUUCGAUAUUUUUUUACGAAAACCUAUUGGAUGUGUGUGGAAAUAUCGGACUCCGAAAAAAACGAUAAUAUCGGCGAAAUAUCGCCGAUAUUAUCGAUUUUUUAUACCAUGCUCUCAAUAUAAACCACUAUGCUAUCACUCAACCAUUGAUCUUCCAUUCUGUUACGCAAUGGAAUCUUCACAAUAUUCAUAGCGGAAAAAACUCUCUCCACUGAAGCAGUAGCAACUAGUAGAACCAAAGCCAAUGUAAUUAGCAAAUACACAUGAUUAUAUACUCUAUUCCUUCCAGUCUCCACCAUUUUUUUUUUUGCAAGGCUACCAAUUCCUUUCAAUUGAAAAAAUUCACUAUUUGAGAGCAUAUAAAAAAUAUAAUGCCCAAGUUGAUCUUCAAGUGCCAAGAGUUGCAAGUAGUAAAUUCAUUCGGAUAAAAUGAGCAAAACAAAUUAGCUUUUGUUCAUCAAAAGUCGAGAAUGAAUCAUUCGGGCUCAAACUUGCUAAACAAAGAAACAACUCUAUAUUUACCUCAUCAAGCGACUAUUUAAUUUCACAAGUUGCUUAUCAACGAUAGCAACAAAGAGCUCCACAUGAUAAUGAUGGAAGUUUGUGAUUCUUUGAGCUCUACGCUGUGAUCUCCCUAGAGUAACAUAUCCAUCAUCCAAGCGUUUAUUUUUUUGGCUCUUGGCGUUUAUUUUUUUUAUUAAACUAAGGGUCCGAAACUAUGUGUUUUAACAAAGUAAUAUUUAUUAAAUAAUAAUAAUAAUAAUAAGAGCCACUCUUACAGUUGGAGGGCAUGUAUGAACCCAACUCCAAUCUUUAAAGAGGCACCACCCAAGUUAUCUAUGAACAUUCACCGAAGUUCAGAGGAUCAUCACUCAAGUUAUCUCUGGACAUUCACUGAAGUUCGUGGGGUCAGCUGACCCCUACCUCUCAAUGCAUCCGCCUCUGUAAGUGAAGAAUUAUGCAAAGUCCCGCGUCAAAAACCUAACAAUUAUAUUUUGACCUGAGCAUAACUGUUGUUUGUCUCUUUGAAUUAUUACUCCAGUUGAAAGUAAAUUCGAACUAUUUUUUUGGUAAAUUAAUCUUUAGGACUUUUUAAAAUCAGCCAAUUAACCCCACUGUUAAACCCGAUGAAAUUUUGUCUACUUUGCUGUCAAAUACUAGCACAACUUGACCCUCAAAAGUGAAUCACAAGCUAGUAUUUGACAGCAAAGUAUAUGAACUUUCAUCAAAAUUGACGGGGUUAAUUGACUAAUUUCAAAUAGUUUAGGAGGUUAAUUUAUCAAAAAAAUAGUUUGGGGAAUCAAUUUCAACUGGAGUAAAUAGUUCAGGGCUCGAACGACAGUUUAGCUUAUAUUGAGAAGUCAUCAGAUUUGGUCGAGAAUCAAGUCUUUCAUUUUUAUACACAUAUUGAAUAAUUACAUAAACAAGUCCGACAUCUCAAUGUGAAUGUUUUGAAUACAACCGUGUACUUGACUUAAUUGUGGUUACAAAUGAUAUUAGUUUGACAUAUAUACAUGGGUUUAACCCCUUCAUAAUCUGAUUACAACUUCUUCCAUACAGUGAUUAAAUUGAAUUAAUGGAUGUCAAUUUUAAAUCUAAUCCAAUCGUUUCUUCACAUCGAAUAACUGCUGGUCUAAUCGUCUUCGUGUUCACAGUCGCCACUCUCAUUCACAUGCUGCCUGCACGAAAUAGAAACUCACAUUGGUAUCCUCAUCAAAGAUACACAUAACGAAUAAGUGAAAAGAAGCACAUCGCAACCAACGGUGCAAAGCUCCGAGAGCAUUACCAGUUCAUGGAAUAUUAUGUGAUCAACAAAUAACACUCUUGAGGAGGAAAUGUGCACCUCUAUGAACUAGUGAACUCUUUCAGGGUAGUUCAUUUAUCAAAAGGAACUUUGUAUGUAAAAGAAGCAAAAGCUACACUUUUUCUGUUUGUAACAAUAGUUUAGAUCCGAUUCCAAUCUUGUCCCUGUAAUUCUAAUUUGAAUUACCCUUAUUUACUAACAUUUUCAAUGUGAUUCAUAUUUAAAUUUCUAUGAGAUUUACUUUCUCUCAACAAAAAAAAGUUCUAUGAGAUUUAUCCUGAUUUUACCAAGGCGGAUAAAUGAUCAUUAUGUAAUUGUGGAAUAAGGACAUGGACGAAGCGCAAAUUUGUUCACCUUUUGACGUAGUGAAAAGAAAUCCAUACCUCAAUCUUUCACAAAGCCGUGCUAAAGCAUCUGAACCUGUUCUAGACGCAAUGUCCUCAAUCGUAGAAGCAUUCUUUAGAUUAACACUAUCUGCAAGCCUAAAUUCACACAAUUCCUUCAAGGUACAUGCAUCAGUCAACACGGCUGAAUGGCCACCACCAGCUGCAAGUUUUCGCACUUCCCCAACGCACCUGUGCGAUGCAAACUUCAAUCAGUGUGCCAAUCAAGAUAGCCACAAAAAAAACUGAUCGUGAACAAUUUAUCUGUACCGUACCAAUCAACUGGAGAUGGAUACCAAGCGUAAGUCAGUUUCUCAUUAGAUGCUUGACCAUAGCUAUUGUAGCCCCAUCCAUGAAUUCUUCCAUCCCUUGUAGAGAUAAGUGUGUGGGAGUGUCCACACGCAAUGAGUUGCACACUAGUUGGAAUAACCAACGCAGGAAUAUUCCGGAAAAAUGACUGAGAUUCAUUAGGGUUGCAUGAAAAUAAUCCCGUUUCAGGGCCAAGGCCUAACUGCCCUGCACGACCACCACCCCAAGCAUAAAGAGCUCCCUUCUGAGUCACAGCACAUGUAUGUACGCCACCGCAUGCAACGUCCUUUACGACUAUUCCAUCAAGUGCGACCACUCUCCUCGGCAAUAACUCUUUCUCCCCAGAUUGAAGGGAACAAUGCCCAAGUUGACCCAUGUUUCCUAGCCCCCAAGUAUACCUAUGAGGGCCAAAUAAAAGUAUUGUGAGGAAGAAUUCCGAAAAGAAACUACAGGUAAACAAACAAAUGAAUAAACAUUGUAGUACAAUAAUAACCGACUCGUUGGGAAGACUACAUAACAGAUCAAGAGUAUACGAGUAUAACUGGCAUGUCACUUCUUCAUAACACAUCAAUAUCAGAUAACCUCUUUAUCUAGAACCUUGGUUAGUAAAAUAACUGAGACCAAAGCAUUUCUCAUAAAAAAUGGCUGGCCUGUCAUAAGCCCGGUUCCUUCACGAACGAAGUUCAGAAUCAACAAGGGUUCGAUAUGAAUAAAAAAUCACAGAUUAAAAACAAAUAUAAAUUCCGAGAAUGCAUAGUCGCAUAAAAUGCGUCCAGUAUUCUAGGCAUCCUGUCUCCUUUUAAAUGUGAGAUUCCCAUACGAAGAUUUUCGCAAACCUUCUGAACUAAAUGUGCCAUGGGGAUAACCACAAUACUUAAGCUUAGAUGUAUAACCUAAUCUCCAUCUAAGAAUUCCUCAAAUCACUUACACCUCGCCUUUUUCAGAUAUAGCUGCCGUGUGGUACUCCCCGCAUGACACUUGGGUAAUCUUCACAAGCUCAGGGGCUUCAUCUAGGAACUUCGCGUAUGCAUUUAUUAUACGAGCCCCCUGUAAUCCUUCACAUGUAAAUCCUCUGCCAAGUUGACCGUAUUCAUUAUAUCCUGGUGUAUCAUCACAGUAUUAAAUUUUGAUUAAUUAGAGGUGGGAGAAGAUGAAUUUAAGGUUUCUUUCAUUUUCAAUGGGAUAUGACAUCAUCAGAAACUAAGAAAUGGAAUAUGCAUUUACCCCAAGCUUGUAGCAAGCCAUCCUCUGAUAAAGCCAUCGCAUGAACUGCCCCACAAGACACUUGACGGAUAAUCUGUGAGAAACCUUCUAGUAAGUUGCAGGUAUUAAGUUUGAUAACCAUUCACUCUACCCUUAUAAAAGCAUUUCACUAUAUAGUGAUCCUUUUCUGAAGCAUUCGAUACGACAGGUGUUCAUCUCUAUCUUCUCGUAGGUUUUGGAGUUGUGACCUAAGACUAGUUUUCGAACUUUUUUUAUGCAUUUCCUGCAGUGACAGUAAACCCUAGCAGUUGUUCAUCAACCAACCCGGGUGAUGAUACUAAUCAAGGUUAUUAAAAUUACCACCCCAACUUUUUCUUAACAGAACCAAUUUACCUGAUAAAAGAAAAUGAUUUUACCCACAACUGAAAGCUGAUGAGCUCAUACCGAGUCAUUUGAAAUCGUAAUUCUGAGACCGAACAAUUCCAACCUAUAAGGAAAAGCAUAAUGAAUAGGAAGUGUAGCAUACCGUGUUUGGAGUAAAGGCUCCCCAAAACAAACGUGGAAGAUUCGAUCCCUGUCAUGAGAAGUAGGGGAAAGGUAAACAAAUUAUUAUCUGCCAAAGAGGAAUGAAAGCAGGGAUGACGCUACAGAAAAUCAUAGUAGGACCUGAUUCUGCCCCCACACCCAAAGCCUUCUUGUUGAGACGGUUCCAUCAUUUUCACGAGGUUCUGCAAUGGCAGCGGUACAAUGUGCUCCACAAGACACAGAUUUCACAAACUCUGCCUGUAAUUGCUUCACUUUCUUCGGAUUUUUUCUUCGCUCCUCCGUUCCAUCUCCCAAUUGACCAAAAUCAUUAGCCCCUGAUCAAUUGCAAACACAAUACAUAUUUACUCCAUUAACUAUCACAAACAUACGACUUGUCUCCAUCAUUGUAAUCAACCAUUUCCAAACCGAGAAAUGGCGGUUUAAGAUGGGAAAUCGUUCGUUCCCACAAUGCCAUUGAUUGAACUCAUAACUGAAAUAUUAUCAUCACAGAGCCAUACAGAUGAAUCAUAACCCGGGUAAAAAAACAACCGUCUGAUUUUAUUCACCAAAAGUCAUCAAAUUUACUUUCAUUUUUUUUCAGAAAGAUCAAUUUUACUUCAUCAACCACCACAAAUCAACCAUUUAUCAUUACUCAUAAUUUGCAAUUUGAUUAAAUUCAAAAAUGGAAGAAUUGAAAUUUAUAAAAAUUAACAGAAAUAUUAAAAAAAAAAAAAAAAAAAAAAAAAGAAGAUGAAAGCUUAAUUACCCCAAGUGAAAAGCGACCCGUCUGAGGUAACAGCGGCGGUGUGCUCGCGGCCGCAAGUAAUGUCCAGCCACCGCGAAUUAGCCCCCGCCGUACACCCAAAAAGCUCCGGCGAGAGCUGCUUCGGGAUCCUCAGCUGCUGCUCCUUCCCGUUCCGACCCGUCUGCCCGGACUGGUUAUAUCCCCACACGUAUAUCGCACUCUUCGUCGGAAUGCUGACCGGCUGGUUGCGACCCAGAAGCUCAUCAAUGUCCAUUUUCAUAAAUGUCCUUCACAAAUUGAACCACAAAGUUGCAAACUUGCAAGUCAACGAAUUUGAAAAAAGUUAACAAAUUUGAAUCCAAUUAAAGGAGAAAGUUGGGAGCUUUACAAAAUGGGUGCUCUGUUUGGUUGGAUUUUCUCGGCAGCCAAGCAGAGGAGAGAGAGAGAGAGAGAGAGAGAGAGAGAGAGAGAGAGAGAGAGAGAGAGGGCGAGUGGUGGAGAUACCUGAGGAGUCAAAGUGGAAGAGGAAGAAAGAAGGGAGAAACUGAAAAAUGGUUGCCGUUGAUCAUCUGUGAAAUAUAAAGAGUUACAUGUUGUGUUCCGAGAAUCUGGGAGGUGAAGGCGGAGUCGGGUCGGGUCAGUAGUUGAGGCCCGCAUGCAUGACACGCACGCAGCUGUGUAGAACCAAUGAAAUUUUCUCACCACAAAAAUAUAUUUCAAUAAAUUUACAUUUGUGCCUGAACAAGAAAAUUUAAGAUUACUAUGAAAUUUUAAAAUGACAGAGAUAUAAAUGAUGGAAUUUUAUUUUCUAUGAUUUAUGAAUUUUCUUAUUUGGUUAACCUAAGAAUAAUGGAAUUUGAAUACAUAAUUCUUAUUUUUAAAUUCUCACUCGUAGAAACUUAGAAAUAACACAUAUUUACAUUGAAUUUAAACUUGAGAAUUGAAGGUCUCAAAUUCCAAAUUUUUUUCCACUCAAAAAUUCUGUAAUUCUAUGUUUAUAAAUACAAAUAAGGACAUUUGUGCAUGUCAACUUAUAAAUUUUGACUUUUGUCAAAAUUCCAAGUUUAUUUUCCUCAUCCAAGCAUAUUGUUAGUGAAGGUUAUGUAUUUUUUAUUGCAACUCUAAAAAUUUAAUUACACUCAAGAUUUUUUAAGUUGAGAAAUAAUACAGACCAAUGCACAAUGAUUUUUUUAUUACUAAUAACAACACACAUUUUUUUAGUUAAUAUUAUGUUUUACUGGUAUUCUUCUUCGUUUAUGAGUGAGUGAUCCUAAAUUCAAAUUUCAAAAUUCACAACUAAUUUAUUCUGUCCCACUUUAGUCUAAAUAAAUAUGUCUUUGUUUCAAUUUUUUUUAUUUUUUGUAUAAUUUAAGAACUAUUCGUCAAUUUGCGUCUGACCUUAUGAGGCACUACUAAUUACUCUUAUGAAUUUUUAUAACUAGCCAAUUUUUUUCUACUAUUAGAUUUUCAAAUUUUCAGUCUAACAUGUCGUCCCUUCUUGUCAUGUGUAGUCCACCUGAGAUGAACAAUUUAUAUGACACAAAUACAUCGUCACAUAAUGUCUCAUGCCAAUAAGAAAAACAAUACUUUUUUUUAAUAAACGAUUAUCUACACUAACGGGAAGGGGGUGGACUUAGCCUCAUAAUGGGCAAUCAAUAAUAUGUUCAAUUCACAUUUGAUGAGAAUCAAACCUAAGACAUCUCGCUUACAAUUGAAGAGGAAUACUACUAGACCGUAGUACUAAGUGGUAAGAAAAAACGAUACUUAAACAAACAAAUUACACAUAUUUUUAUUUGGAAUAGGAUCAUCUCCGGAUCCUCUUUGUGGGGAUCCGGAGAAUCAAUCAAUCGAAUCCGUUUAUCGUACAUCAUGCGGUUAGAAAUCAUUUUGAAUUUUGAAUUUAAAAUUGAAUAGAAAUAGUACUUAACGAAAACUGACUGCACGAUAUACGAUGAACGGACACGAUUGAUUGAUCCCCAGAGAUCAAUCAAUCGUGUUCGUUCAUUGUACAUCGUACGGUCAGAAAUCAUUUUAAAUACUUUUAUUUAAAAUUAAAUAUAAGUAAUACAUGACGAAAAUUGAUCGCGAGAUUAAUCAAUCGUGUCCGUUCAUCGUACAUCAUACGGUCAGAAAUCAUUUUAAAUACUUUUAUUUAAAAUUAAAUAUAAGUAAUACAUGACGAAAACUGACCGCAUGCUAUAAGAUGAACAGUCAUGAUUUGAGGAUUCCCAAUAUCCUCACAAAGAGGAUUCUCCUAGUUUCAUUAGGAUGACAUACCACCAUGUCAUAUAGUCCAUCAACCAGGAAAACUUUUGACUUUUGAGGGUAAAAAUAUCAUUACCUUUUAUGCACAGUAUUCUAAAAAUCAGCCUAGGCGGCCACCUAGGUGUUGGACGACGGCCAACCGCUGCGCUUAACUCCAAAUCGGCUACAAAAUUGGAGAGCACAUUAGGUGGGACUAGGUGGAGAUAUGCAAGUCUGGGCAGGACUAGACGGAGACUAAUUGGGCUUAUAUGAACAAGCUGGAAUUUGCAAUUUUUUCUGUUGUAGAGUUGGCUCUACGAAGAAGACGACUUUGUUCCAAACCUUACUUUGCACGAUUCAAUUAAGAUGGUCCCACCAUCUUUUAUCUAGGAAAAGGAUCUAUAGCUGCAGCCUGCACGUUUUCUUUGAAUGGUCCCCACCAUUUUUUUAAAAUGAACUUUAACAAAAAGCUUCAGGUACUGUUCACUUUAACGAAAAACCACAUUUUUACACUACAAAGUCAAUCUUGAUACUAUUCAUUUUGUCAUUUAUUUUAUCCUUAUCGUUAAAACUUAAAAUUUUUAAGCACUUUUCAUUAGUUUUCCUUUUUUUUUUUACUACUUUUUAUACCCUUUUCUUUUUCCACUCUUAACCCCGUUAUUACUUUUCAUUCUUUUUUAAUUUUUUUGUUGUAAUGUUUUAUUUUUUUUUUAAGAUCAUACCAUAUGUAUUUUUAUUAUGUACUUAAAAUGCUAAAGCUCUCGCUUAAAAAAAAACAUAUUAUUUAAUGUUUAAAUUUGAUUAUCUUAUAAUUCUAAAUAAAAUUAUGUAUAUUUUAGAUAUGAACAAACAUUUAUUUAUACGAUAUAUAAUAAAUUUACUUAAAUCUGUUGAAUAUGUGGUUUUAAAUUGUGAGCUUGUUGUACAUAUAUCAUCCUACAAUACUCCUCACUAUGGUUAUAUGACAUAUAUGCUUAAUGUGUUUUUAAAUUUUGGACUUGUUGGAUACUCUUUUUGCAUUUUAUCAUUAUUUUAUUAUUAUAUCUAUAAAUUUCAUAUAAUUAUAAUUUUUUGUAAGUAUCAAUAUGCACUUAUUUACAAGAUAUACUAGAAAUUUACCUAAAUCCUUAUAGGCCGCAUAGACCCUGCUCUAGCUGCCUAGGAGCUAGGCAUUAGGCGCUAACCCGUCGCCCGACUAGCACCUAUCAUUUUUUAGAAUCUUGUUUAUGCAUCGCUGAGGCAUUGGAUCGCGUCAAAAUGCCAUGCAAGUCCUCCACUUUUUUUUGAUCAAAUAUGCCACUCAAGAUUAUCUCUCAUUGACUUUUGCGUUGCGUGGGUAAUAGCCUGAAAAUAAAAAGAUGGAAAAGUCCGCAGUGCAUCUAUAAAGCCAGUACGUGCGAGUGCGAUUGCGAUUGCAUUCUCUUUCUCCAAAGACGCAAGCUCUUGAUAAAAUUACAGAAUUUACAGUCUUUACAGACAGACAGGUAACCUAAGUGCUUAGUAACUUUUAAUGAAGGCAUCAAAGCUUUCUACUUUACUAGAUUCAUUUGUUUCAUCAAUCGUUGUGUUCGAAUUUGUAUGGAUAUGUUGGUAGAUGUUGGUUGGCUUUUGAUGUCAAAAUUGCCCAAGGGAAUUGUUCUAACUGCCGUUAAUUUUGUGGUAGAAGUAGAUACAUGGCUGGUGUGAAAAAGCUCAUCCAAAUCGACAUCGUUUCGGAUACGGUAUGCCCGUGGUGCUUUGUGGGCAAGAGAAAUCUUGAAAAAGCUUUCGAGGCAUCUCGUGAUCGAUUCAACUUUGAGGUUCUCUCUUUUUCCCUUUUGUUGGCUGUUGUUGUUGAUGUUGACGUUGUUGUUGUUGUUGAUGGUGUUGUUUAAAAGCCGUCUUUGACAACAAAAAACGCUUCUGAAUAGGUUUGGUAGGAAAAAUUAAAACUAUUUUGACUGUGUUUUUAAUAAAACCACUUAUAGUAAAAGCGGUUAUGAGCAGCAGUGCUUCCUACAAAAGCAGUACCAAACCGACCCUAAGUGUAUAUAAGUUGUUGGUUUUGUGUUGUGCCGUGAUUCCAUCCUAAAUUGUUGUCACUAUAUAUGAACUUUUCAGGUUAGAUGGCAUCCAUUCCAACUUAAUCCCAAUGCGCCUAAAGAAGGCGUUGAUAAGAGAAGUUAUUACGAGGAAAAAUUCGGGUCUAGUAGGUCGAAACAAAUGGAGACUCGGAUGCAAGAGGUAUCGCUGCAAUUCUAUGACUCACCUGUACAAAUCGAACACAUAAAAUACAUGUUUCCUCUCAUCUGUCCGGUCACUCACUGUGUCCCCUUUGACAAGUGCAGAUUUUCAGAAGCCAUGGCCUCGAAUAUAACCUGUCCGGACUCACGUAAGUGUAAAGGAUACUUAUUUCUUCCUUUUCCAUUGUUACGCUGAUUGUGUUAACUGUAAACAACAAAUUCGUGAUGGAAGGAAAUCCCGGAAAAGGUUUUGUUAGAACUUGGGUUGCAGUUUAUGUAUUUAGUUAUUAGCAUUGUGUCGAAAUUGUACAGGGGAAGUACUCUAGAUAGCCACAGGCUUAUCUAUUUUGCUGGGACUCAAGGGCAUGAUAAGCAACACGAUCUUGUGGGUGAACUGUUUCUAGGAUACUUCACACAGGCAAAAUACAUCGGGGACAGGUAAUUACGCAGAGUUUCAGGCCAGUUUUCGAUGAGUUUACAUCUGUAUGCCUUAGGGUUGUAUGUAGUGAUUUCUUUGUUUUUAUAGUUAUGUGUCAAAUGUUGUGAACCGCUUCCAUGGGAGAACAAAUGAAGUAGAAGUAAAUGCUUUUACAUCCUUAAAUCUGAAUUAAGAGGCACAACACAAAUAUUUGCAAUUUGGAUACAGGGAAUAUCUUCUGCAAAGUGCUCGAAAGGUCGGAGUAGAAGGGGCCGCAGAGUUUCUUGAAGACCCCAACAAUGGGCUCGAUGAGGUUUGUUUGCUGAUUCCUUCACGUUGCUAUUAUUUGCCAAGUUAACAAACGAGAACAUAACGUAGAUUUGAAGAUCGACUGAUUCAACUUAUAAGAUUCUGUUUAUAUGUACCUGGUAAGUACAUCUGGCUAGAAACAACCGUCUAUAUUUGCGAUAAAUCUGAUGUUGCUCGUUAAUAAAAUGAAGGUCAAUGAAGAACUAAAGAAGUACUCGAGAAACAUCAAUGGAGUCCCACAUUUUUUGGUGAGUGAUGAAAACUCACAUAUAUGAAUGUUGAACUUUUGUUGGAUUAGCUUAAUAGAUCCUCUACUUAUGAAUCCCUUGGUUCUUUCGGCAGAUUAACAACGGAAAGCAAGCGUUAAGUGGCGGCCAGCCGCCUGAGGUGUUCUUGAGAGCUUUUGAAGCAGCUACAAAGUGAUGCAACUGCAACCUCAUGUAUACGAGAUUUCGCUCUCCAUCUCCGAUAAGAAUCCAACGUUGGAAAUAUAUUUUCAAUACAUACGAGUAAUUUUCAUGUUGUUUGAGUGUGAAUCAUGAAACUUUUAUUUAUUCGCGUGAUGUAAGAAUGCUAAUGGUUCUGAGUGUAAUGUGCAUCAAUGGUUUGUUUAUAUGUCUAUCCAUGUGACACCGGGUUUUCUCUGUUCCUUUAUUUUGUUCAUGGUUUCAAAUCGCUGUGUUUUCACGAAUCACGUUGCUAGUAAGAUUAAAAUGCUUGAACUUCGACAUGUUUCUGCAACGCCCACAACUACAUCGAUAGGCAAACUCUGAAAGUCGUUUGAAAAUAUUAUUCUAUUCCUUUUUUUCUUCAUACGAAUGAUAUCAAGGAAGAGGAAUCGAACACAGAUGCUCGGGCAGAAGACUAAAAGCUUUAAGCACUGCAAGCAAAUAGUUAUAUUAUUUAGAUGAGAAAUAUUCAUCAUGCCAAAAUAUACUAGCCAGGUCAAAAUUUUGUUUGCAUGAAAACUCAAACUUAAAGCACAAGAGCUACGUGGUAGGUUGUAAAACUUUCCAACGUUUGCAGUCCACAAGGUUGUCCGAAACCCACUAAGCCAAUGCAUGAACAACUUUAAAACAAAAUCAUCAUCAGAUCCUCGUACGUUUAGCUCCAUUUGUUUGAUCCAUCUUUUGCAGAUGCACAUUUCAAUCGAUAUGGCUAGAAGGAAAAAACCUGUUGAAAUUGAUAUAGUUGCACACACUGUGUGUCCGUGGUGCUUUGUGGCGAAAAGAAAUCUCGACUAAGCUCUGGUGGUAGGUAACGAUCGAUACGAGUUCGAGCUCCGAUAGCGUCCGUAUUAACUCGACCCCGAUGGCCCUGAAAUAGGCACCCACAGGAAAGAGUAUUACGACGAAAAAGCUCCGCGAAGAUGUGUCCGAAGUGUUCGAGGAACGUAUGUCAGAUGUAAGACGUCAUGCACCAAGAAUCUCAACGUACAAAUCCAUAUAAAGAGGGAGGAGGGAUCCUUGGUUUAUUGUCAUGCACCAAGAAUAUCAACGUAUAAAUCCAUAUAAAGAGGGAGGAGGAAUCCUUAGUUUAUUCGAGGGACACCUUCGAAGGGCUUACAUUGUAUUUCAGUGAUCUGAAUCGUUUAUUUUCUUCUGCAACGUGUUGAAAAGGUUGAUGUAGAAGGGGCCCUAACAAUCGGCUCAAUGAGGAAUGUUCUUCGAAAGAUUCUAGCAUACAACUAGAGAUAUAUUUCCAUCUCUAUGUAGCUCUCAUCACGUAACCAUCAUGUAAUAAGACAUACGACGAAGGUGAUACAUCCGGGAACAACCAAGAAUUAAACACGAGCAAAAACAAAACAGCGCAUUGUGGUUUUCUUAUUUAUGAUUCUUUUUUAUGGAACUGAGAAGGUCAUGGAAGAGCUCAAGAAGUACUCAGGAGUAAAAAGGAGUCCCAUAUUUUGCAGUGGAUGAUGAAAACUUCACAUUUCGUAAAAAUUGUGACCCGUUUGAUAAUUAUUUCGUUUUAUUUAUGUUUGAUUGGCUAAUACAUUGAUCCGGAUCCACAUAUUAUUAUUAUUUUUUGGACGGUAGCUGUCCCGUCCCGUCCCAUUCCGUUCCGUCUCGUCCCGUCUGCAUACCAAACGAUACCUUAGUGGUGCUCAGCCAACUGAGGUCUUUCUGCCUUUGAAUCAGCCACAAAAUGAUGCAACUUCCCAUCUCAAAGCAGUCUCUCUAUGUGGCUCUAACAAGAAUAUGCAGCCUUGGAAACAUGUUUUAAAUGCUGAGCAAUUUCCUUUUGUUCAAAAAUUUUGUAUGUUACAGUAUUGUUAAUGACAAUCGUUAAUCGAGCGAAAUCAUAUUUGAAUGUGCAAUCUUGAUUUACAGUCUAAUAAAAUAUCAAAUAUCCGACAAAUGAGCGCUCGACAUUCAUCUGCAUAUAUUUAUCCUUACCUAUCCUGCUUUUAGUUCUACCCGAUAAAAAUACAUUCCCUUGCAUUCAGUAUUUUAGCGCGCUGAUAACAAUUCCCAAUAAACAAUUCGGCCAGCUUUGACACGCCCCGACCCCGAUAUUUCCCCGAAUAUCAGGGUAGACACGUGCUGGCCGACACCCGAGGGUGACGAAAGCCAUUAAUUGAUACAAAAGCUAGGAAUAAGAAAUAAAUACGAGUUAUGAAUUUAAAAACAAUGAAUUAACAAUUUAGGAACGUGUUCAGAGCAUACAACUAAACCUAGUCACUAACAAGAAUUAAGAUAAGAUUGAAUGAACAAGGAGUAGGUCCUACCCCGAGAGGACUCGAAGAUGCCGCUGCGGAAGUACCUUAAUGCCGGGAUUCUAUGCCUCGUUUCUAAGACCUGAAUGGGGGCGCAAAACAAAGGUGAGUGGACCAAGUUUAUAUACAUACAAAGUAUGAAAACAGUUAUGAACAUACUAACCCCCACAGUUUAAUAAUGAAAACUACUAGAAUAAUAAGUGAUAAGCUUUUCAGAAACCUUUAGCAUGCCAUAAAACAAUUCAUAUAUCUUUCUGCAAAUCAAUCUCAAAAAAUCAUAUCAAAAAGCAUAAUACAAGUUGUGCUGCUAGUGAGUGCACUGAAUAAUAAUACUCCCGGCCCAAUGCCUGCACCUUAGUCUCUGUGCCCGUAGCCAGAGAUAUCUCCCUCCCGGCCCAAUGCCUGUCUCCGUGUCCCUCAGCCUUUCGCUAGGGAUUAUUUCUCCCGGCCUCAAUGCCAACACCAGAUCCUCGCCCCAGGCGGCAUAGUGUUCACUAGGUACGCACAAAACAUAAUUCAUCUCUAAAAUACAACUUCGUAGCAUAAAUUCAUCGAUCCUCAAUUCAAAUAAUUCUGCAAGGCAUGCUAUUAAAUUAUGCAGUUCUACCAAUAAAACAUGCAACUUUUCGAAGGUGGUCCACUCACAGAUACUCCAUCAAAAGCUGCGCCACUAGUGAAGACAGAAACGUUGCGAUAAGUGUCCCUAAGUACAAGAACGUACAGUUAAUCAAACUACCCAACAAUAUAAUUCUAGGAAAUGGAAAUGGGCCUUGGAUUUGGAUAGGUUAGGAUCAAGAGGUGGUUUGGGCUUGAGCCCAACCCAUACUUAUACACACACGGCACACACACCAAACAUUUACACAUAAAUAUAUAUAUAUAAACACACACACUCCCACGCAUGCACACACACACACAUAUAUAUAUAUAUAUAUAUAUAUAUAUAUAUAUAUAUAUAUAUAUAUAUAAAUACACACACAGAGGCAACAUGCAUAUAUAUAUAUAUACAUAUAUAUAUAUAUAUAUAUAUAUAUAUAUAUAUAUAUAUAUAUAUAUAGAUACAUACAUAUAAAACACACGCAUGCACAGCAUGCAUAUAUAUAUAUAAGCACACACACGCACAGCAAGCAUACUUACACACACACACACACGGUUCACGCACACACACUUGCACAACGUACACACUGCACAAACACACACUCACGAACUCGCCGGAGUUCGUCGUCGGAACCGGACAUGCAUGCACAAGGGAUGGUAAGAGUUAGGGCUUGAAUAAGGGGUUCUAAAACUUCACAAAUAUACCUAAGAACUCACCUGGACGCACUGCAGCAGGUUUUGGGAAGAGAUGGACCUCGAACUCGUCGGAGUUCGUCGUCGGAGCUAGAUUGUUAGCACAGUGAAAAACUGAGAUCAAAACCCUUGAGUUUUGUCAUAAAACCAGCAUGCAUAACCCAGAAAUUUGAAGGAACACAAUCUUUACCUGGGUUCGAGUUUUAGAGCUUUGAAGCUCUCGGCUUCAAUGGCAGAAAAACCCACGGUGCUAAGAUGGCGCAUGCAAGGGUAUCGUUGAGUUCGUUAAGUCUCAAGGAUCCCAAAUAUAUGGUUUUUUGGGUUUGAUUUGUGAGGGAAGUGAGGUGAAAGCUAGAGAGAAGCUCUCGGAGCUUAGAGAGUGUGAGAGAGAGAGAGAGAAGAAACCGAAAGAAAGAGAGCAUUGAGAUUCUGAGAUGAGUUUCGGGCAGAGAUGAAAGGAAAGAGGGAUCUGAGAGCUGCCACAUGGCAGUUUAAGAUCAAUAGCCUUUCUAGAUCAAGGGUUAGGAUUAAAAGAGAAUAAGGGACUAAAUUGAUAGAUAACAAAUAUGUUCUAGGGGAAAAAUAGAAAUAGGAUGAAAAAUGGGGGUGGGGUUUAACAAGCUUUGUUCAGUCUUUCUAAUCUGAUGUGAGAUUUAAGAGACACCAUUAAGGGAGAAAGAAGUGAAAAAAUUAUUCAUAGUUUAACCAACUUUCUACUCCACAGAAGACAAUUACUACUCAAUGACCACAGCAAUUCAAGAACACAACUACUGAGCCUUAUCCCACUAAGUGGAGCCUAUAUAAUCCUAGAACGCCACAACGCUCGGUUUUGUGCCAAUGCAAGAAGUACCAAAUAAAUUUCUUUUCGCUGAAAACUUAUAUAGAAUGAAAAUUUAAUUACAAGUAAUCAGAAAUCAAGUUUAUAUGUACUAUCAAAGGACACUUUUUGACAUGUGGUAUUGACAAUGAAAUCACUUCUGUAGUGUUCUCUCUUCCGAAGUUGUUGGAUUCAUCAACGACGCAAACCUUUUCGAUCGCGAUCAAGUCGUUUCAUCGAAUGCCAUCACCUAGAAAGCCAAACAUAUAAAUCCAGAGUAAAACAAUAGAGGUUGCAGGAGAAAAGCAAUAUGCUUUAUUACAAUUUGUCAUAUCAGAUAAAAAGCCUAGAGAAAUAACUUUAGGAUGGACUUUCUUAUUUUUUAUAAUCGACAGUACAAAACCAAAUUGCUUGAUCAAGCAGCUCGAGUCUGUGCGUGUUCGUGAGGGAAAAAGAUAUUCGAGUACUUCAGGAACAAAAAUAAAUCGUUAAAACGUCUAACCUUCACGUGACUGCAGUAGACUAGAACAGUUAUCUUUCCACUAGUCAUAAAAUACGAAAGAUGCAUAGCAAUACAUCGGCAAUGGUGGAAUUUGCCUAUAACGUAACAAAGUAACACAAAUACUUGACUGUAGUUGAAAACUAAAAGCCGUUACGACCUACAGAUUAUCAUCAUUAUGAAGGAAAAUGUUACCUUGCCACAAACAGGGCAGCUUUCACUUCUCUCCAUCCAUUCAUAUAUACAACCAAGGUGAAAAUGAUGAGAGCAUUUUGUCAUUAUUUUGGGGUUUUCUGGCGUGUAUUCUGCAUACAACGACAACGGAAAAAAAAAUGAGAAUUUAUAUAUCAGAAGUUAUAUGUACCAUAAGGGUACACUUUCCAGAACCGUAAACCAAUCAAAAUUGCAACAAAUAUUGCAAAUCCACUUAAGUGCGUUUAACACUCUAUCCUAGCAAAGCUAGAAUUUGACAUGAAUGGAGGUGAAUAUCACUACCCAGACCCUUCCCUCCUAGCUUCGGACCCAACUUAAUGAAGGAGCGGAAUUUCUAGGGAAGCAAAGCAAAUGCACCAUGAAAAUGCACCCUUUGCAUAUGUAUUUGAGUUUAUUCAAUUCGGUAAACAAACAUUUGCAAUUACCAGAUUCUAAACAGGACAGGGUCAUCAUUCAUGUCGAGUAUUUUAAAGUGGAAACGACCAUCAGACGCACAAAAAAGUAUAUACGAAGAAACUUUGGUACUAGAGAUUGAGGAAGAAGGAGAAACACCACCAGUCAAAGAAACCCAAAUAAAAAUUACCUUCAAGACAUGUUGGGCAAACAUCCUCAUCCUCUGAUGAUGUAUAGAAGUUCCCAACUCCAGUUGUGGUUUUGGCUGAUGAUAACUUCAUUGAGGACUUGGAACGAUGUUCUAUUGACCCAUCUUCACAAGCAGAGCCAUUCCAUUUUUCUCCUGUACUCAAACUUUCAGAAUCUGCAUCAGUAUCACUUCUUAGAGGUUCAGCCUCCUCAUGAGAGUGGCUUGAGCCCUUCUCCCGCCUAGAAAUCAACCCAUCCCGCUGUAACCGGAUGUAUCUAGGGUCAGCAUCAUAAGGCAAGGGCCUUGGAGGCGAACGAUACAUGUCAGAUAAGGAGUUGUCAAGUGAUCCCGAGGAAUUCAUUGAUGCAGCCCCCUGAAUGGAUGAGGGGAUUGAAUGCACUUCCCCUCUUCUGAAUAGUGAUGUAUACUGCAAAAUAAGAGAAGAUAGCACGUUAUACUUCCAUCUUGAAGAUUUAAGUUUUUAUCAUCAAUAUUAAUAUCUUAAGAAGCAUCAGUUUCAGUUUUUAUACUCUUCAAAACUUCUAAACAGUGAGCACCUGCCUACUUGAGCAAUCAAAAGUAAACUAGAAAAAACGGCUUUUAAUUUGUUCCAGCAAAAUAUCCACAGGGUUGCCAAUGCAAUAGAAGAUAAGUGAGGGCACAAAAGCAGCACUGAGCAUAACUACAAAUAAACAAAAGAACUAUGAUGAAACUUUUAUGCAUUCUAAAUAUGUGGAACUCAGAAAAUAAAAAGGACAAGAAAAAAGAAGAAUUAGUUCAGUAAUGAGGAUGACGAAGGCAGAAAGCAUACCACAUUUAGAAAGUUCUGAAGAAAACAACGAAGACAGACACAUUCCCUAUAUGCAGAACUGUUUGGAUUCACAUAAUCUUCAAAAUCCUCAGCAUUCAAACAACAACAAACAGAACCCAUUGUGCCAGCUUCAAAAUAAAUCUCGGCAACAAUUCCACACUCUCAUCGACCGAAACCAACCAAGCUCCACUCGUGUAAUAACCAAAAGAGUGCUAGGAGCAAUAACUGUACUUUGACAAGUAUGAGAGAGGACACAAAGCUCGCAGAAGUUCCACUGCCUCUGCGGACUAGUACCCUCCCUCUUUUAUUUAACAAUGUUGAAUGCCUCAGUGGUUUUGGUAUAACCUAAGGUUAUAUUCUUCACCUGCAAAAUAGAAGACAGUAAAUAUUCAAGUUUCAAACAAAACAACAACAUCGACAAGGAAAGAUCUAAGACUCAAGAGUGCUAUCCUCAAACAAAUUCACCAGCUGCAAAAGACCCAAAAAAAUGCAAUUCAUGUUGAUCAGUUUAAUGGUACAGAGAGUUCAUACAUUUGAAAUAAACCAAUCAUGUCAUUGUCAUGUUUCCUGCGAAAGAUCGUAAGCACCUAACCAAUUGCAGCUACAUAAUACCAUGACUUCAAUAAUAAGUAAACAUAGAAAAUUGAGAAGGUCAUUAUGAUUAUAAUGUUCCACCAAAGAGGUAUUUUAAGACAUAAAUUCCCCACAUCUAUUCAGAAAGCAACCAUCUUUUGGUUCCUCACCCUCCCUCUAGUCUGGUGAAAGAAAGGCAUAUACCAACCAACACAAAAAUUCAAAGAAAUGUGAAGGUAAAGUCAGUCUAUCCAAAAACUUUAAAAAGUAAAUUGUGAAAGGAAAACAAGCAGUUAUUCCAAUUUUUCAAAGAUGAUUGAAUUAAAAGAACCCAGAAAAACACAUAAACCAAUGUAAUUAGACAGACCCUUUGGCAAAAAUCAAAUCUUGGAACAUCCAAAAGGUUCAAAAAACAAAACCCAACUGCAAAAAUCAAAUUUGCAGCAAUCAGAAUGUUCAUGGAAUAAAACCCACUAUCAGAAAAAGCAAACAAAUAAAAAAAUCAAUCCCUUCUGCAGAUAUCAAUUCAUUCCUGAUACAUGAAUAUUCAAAACACUGCAGAAAGCAUAUAAGUAUCAGAAAAAAUUACAGAUACAUAGAUUUUUAAAUUGAAUAGUACCUGAGAGAGGUGGGAAGGAAGUGGAAGGAGAGAGAUGGAGAUUGAUAUUGGUGGAUGGACAGAGACAAGUGUCACCAAGGAAUCGGAAAUUCAGCAGAAUCAGGAACUGGGUGUUUUGAUAAAUAGAUGAUUAAAAAAUCGGAUGCUAAAUUUGGGUGGGUGGGUUGAGUAAUUUGGGUCUUCGAAUUUGUAAAAUAUGUGUUGGACUUUCGUUGUAUUUUGGAUUUUGGGAGAUAGAAGCCAUGAAUGCGCUCCUUUAAUCUUUUGUCUCCUGACGGUGGGUGGGUGGAAGGAAGAAUCUAUAUUUCCUUCAUAUGUUAUUUUGCAUUAACAAUGGAAAUUAACUUUACUUUAAUGAUCCCAAUCCCAAUCCAAAUAUAAAAUAAAUAAUUCUCCCCCAAAAAAAAAAAAAAAGUUUUGUGUUUUUUAUAUUUUUAUGCUUUAAAUGUCAAAUGGUCUCUGUGUUUUACUCUAUAGGCCAAUUUAGUAUCUGUGUUUUGCUCUAUAGACCAAUUUAGUCUUUGUGUUUUCAAUUUUGUCAAAUUGGUCUAUAUAUUUACAUCUGUUAGCCAAUUCAAGACAAUCCGUUAGAGGAACGUUAAAAUUGACAUGUGUCAGGCACGCGAGAUGACAAAAAACAUAAUCACCCACUAAAUAAAUAUGAUGUCUAUCUUUAGAAAUUGACAUUUUGUUUAAUUCACUUGAGUACUACAUAGUUUAGGACAUGUUAAUAUUAACUGUCUUUUAACAUAUUGUCUUUAAUUGACUAACGGAUGUAAACAUAGGGACCAGUUUGGCCAUAUUAAAAAUACAGUGACUAAAUUAGACGAUAAAGUAAAAUACAGAGACCAUUUUGAUAUUUAAGCGUAUUUAUAUUGGUAGAACCUUAAAAAAUUGGUGUCUAUUUAUUUAUCUUUUCUAUUGGUGAAGUAUAAAUUGUCAUGACAUGUUUACUUGAAUUGGCUAGGAGUUGUAAUUAUUCUGUUCUUUAAUUUUUCUUUGUAUUUACCCAUGGUAUGUUUUUUUUUAUUGUUAAUGAUCUGUUUUCUUAUCAACUAUAACCACUAAUUUUAUCUCAUUAAGUGAAUCGGUGAUGCAAAUUCUAGAUACCAUUGUGUUUGAUUUCAGAAAUUAAGGUAAGACCUACCUUUGUUUUUCAUUUCUUAUAUGAGAAGUCAAAGAGUUAGAAUCAUUCUUUGUCCUCUCACACUCAUUCUUUCUAAUUUUUCAUGUGUAAUGAUCAAGGAAGAAAAUAUCGGUAAUAUCAGAAAUAUCGGUAGUCCGAAAACACGGAAAUAUCGAUGGAAAUAUCGGUAAAAUAUCGAUAUCGAUAAAAAUUAUAUGGAAACCACGGAAAUUGUAAGAAAAACUUGAAAAUUUUUAUUGAAACUUUGCAGGAUGUUUAUUUAGUCAAUUAUCUAUUAGUUUAUCACACAAAAAUUGGAAGGAAAUGCAUUGCAUGAUGGAUUUAAUAUUAUCAAGUUGAUUAUAUAGCGAGCUAACAAACAUUAUGAGUGUAGAAAAUAUGUAGUAAUUAAUGAAAGAAGUCUAAACACACCAUAAUCAUUUAUAUAUAAUGAAUUAGUACAAUAUUUUACACAAAAGCCUAAAAAAUUAAAAUCCUAAAAUUUUACUUUCCCACCCCCAAACUUAUUGCACACCUUGUCCUCAAGGUGUGUAAAAAUAAACAAAAGAUUGAAGAACAAAAAUAAAAACUGUAAAAAAGAUAAAACAAAAAGCCUAAAAUAAAUAAACUAGAAGAAAAGGAAAAUAGAAAAGAAAACAAAGAAAUUAAAAUAAACAAAUAAUAAAACAAAAAUAAAAGAAGAAGAACAAAAAUAAAAACUGUAAAAGAUAAAACAAAAGCCUAAAAUAAAUAAACUAGAAGAAAAGGAAAAUAGAAAACAAAACAAAGAAAUUAAAAUAAACAAAUAAUAAAACAAAAAGAAAAGAAGAAAAAGGACAAAGAUCACCUGGAUUCGAACUGAAGACCUGGUGCUAUUGAAGAGAAACACGGCCCAACACGUCCAAGUCCACACUUGUGUCAAAGUGCAGCAACAACUACAAUAUAUGCUGAUGCAGCAGCUUCCUGUUUGAAUUGAAAAACCCUAGCAGCUGCUACAUAUUUUGCCCUUGCCUCGAGCCCAGAGCCUCAAAAGGCUCUCUAUCUCUCCGUAGCAGACCAUCCCUUUCAAUCUAUCCAUUGUUUCUCAGUUUCGCACCCCUUUUCAACUAAGAGCCAAGCAACAUACAUACCCAUUUUCGCACCCCGUGGCUCUACCUCAAAUCGGUCAUCCUCAUCGGCGCCCUCUACUUCCUUUCCCUCUGCUCCUCCCUCGCCUUCCUCCUCGUCAAGCCCGUCACCAUGUCCCGCGGGCCGCGACCUCUACCUCUCAUCCGUCGUCCCCAUCGGCGCGAUCCUCCUCGUCCGCGUCUCCCUCUGCUCUCUCUCUCUCUCCUCUCUUUUAGCCGCUGAUCGAAUACGAUCUGUGAAAUGCUUGCUCAUUGAUCUCUGAGCUCCGUCCGAUCCGCGACCUUCCAAAGAUGAUGAUCUUUAGCACUGUAACUGCCGGUGAGGUACUCGAUCUCUCAGCUUCUACUGUUUUCUUCCAGAUCUUGCUCGAAUUCAAGCCCUUGCUUCUCGGAUUAGUGUAAUUUUGUCACUGAUUUUGGUAUAAAGUGGUGAUUUUUGUUGAAAGAUAGUGAUGAUUUUGUUCCGUUUGGUUGCAGGUUUCGUUCUUGCUCGGAGUUAUUCCGAUUCUCCGGCGAGGUUGUGACUGACUGUCGAGAAACCAAAAAUAUCGCGAUAUUAUCUAAAAUAUCGCGAUAUUAUCGAUAAUAUCGCGAUAUUUUGACGAAAAUUCCUCGGAUACCUAUUAAAAUAUCGGUAAAGCAAAAAACCGAUAAUAUCGGCGAAAUAUCGCCGAUAUUAUCGAUUUUUUCUUCCAUAGUAAUGAUACAUAUGAAAUCAGAAGACAUUUUAGACCACAUUCGCAAAUCAGGUGACGUGUCGCCAAUAAAAAAAAACAUGUAAAUCAACACUUAAAUAAUAAUCUAAUCAUCGACAACCACGUCAUAUUAUUUACAAAAUAUGAUUUAAACAAAGAGUAAACUGCCGAUUUGCCCCCUGAACUAUCACCCAACUUUCGAUUUGCCCCCUGAACUUUUUAAUUAGAAAAUUAAGGACUUAAACUAAUUUUUUUGGCCGAUUUCCCCCCUACCGUUAGUUUUUCAUAAAUUUCAUCCAAAUUAACGUUAACUUUUAUCAUGUGCAAACCACGUAACUCUCAUUUGUGGACAAAAGCGUCAUUUCACUAGACCUUCAGACAGAAAAGCUAUAAAAUCACACAUAUUUGCAUAGGUUUAUAUUUUAUAAAUCUAAGGUUUUCAAUUAUUUUAAAGAAUGAAGUGACCGAACUACCCACACAUGUUGUGCAUAUGCUUCCAUUUAACAGAAAUUUGGAUGGAAUGAAUGAAAAAUUAACAGCAGGGGGCAAAUUGGCCAAAAAAAUUAGUUUAAGUCCUUAAUUUUCCAAUUAAAAAGUUCAGGGGGCAAAUCGAAAGUUGGGUGAUAGUUCAGGGGGCAAAUCGGCAGUUAACUCUUUAAACAAAUGAUUUCACUUGCAUUACCCUUUUCCAUUUUUGGUAGGAUGCAUGAAUUAGUGGCCGAGGAUCAUAUUGAUGGUCUAUAAAGAGAUUAGCAAUUUGUUUUGGCUUUUUGGCCAAAAUGGUCAUUGAGAUUGAUAUAACUUCUCAUUUUGGUCUAUGAUUUUUUAAAUCAAUGGAAUUAGUCCUUGAGUUUGUUUACCAUAAAUUAUUUUGGUCAUUUUCGUGAAAAUCUUCAUUGAGUAAGAAUAAAAUGACAAAACAACUCUCAAUGAUUGGUGUGGACAAACUCGAUGACUACUUUUAUCGAUUUCAAAUCUCAAAAAUCAAAGUGAAGAAUUUUACCGAUCUCAUAGACUAUUUUAACUAAAAAAAACUCUUUGUUGUUCAUCAAAGUGUCGGCCUUGCUAUUAUAUGCAACAAACACCGGGCACCAAAUAAAUAUUACAGUUUGAGAAAGAAACAAUAGAAAGGACGCAUUAUCUUGACAAACAUUGCACGCCAAACUCUAAUUUUUAUUCAAAAAAAUCGGUUUCUUAGUAAGGAGCUUUUGGUUGAGAAUUCCUCACAUUUCCGCUUCAAGUUUUAUGUUCAAUUUCUCAAAUUAUAUGAAAAGAAAAAUAGACGAUUUAAGGGAAGUGACUUAUACAUACAUACAUACAUAUAUAUAUAUAUAUAUAUAUAUAUAUAUAUAUAUUUUUUUUUUAUCUUCGUGCAUACUCAUAUUUAUUUUUAGCCACUAAAUUACUGUGAUUUUCAAAUUUUUGUUUGUUUUCAUUUUAGUAGUAAAAAACUUUUAGUUAAGAAUAUUUACUUUUGUUGUUAGAUUUUAAAUUUAGUUUCCCUCUCGUAAAAAAAUAAUAAAGAUGCUGAUUAUUACUAAAAACAAAGAAUUUAAAUUUAAUAGUACCUAGCACUAAGUGGUACGAACAUUGAAUAACUAAUAUUAAAAAUAUUUUUUUUAAUAAUUCUGAAAAUCAAAAUUAACAAUUAAAAUACACAAAAAAAAAGUGUGUAUAAACUUAUUCAAAACUCAAAACUUGACACAUCAGCAUAUGUCAAGGGAAGCAUUAAAUUUGAUUAGUUAAAUUUAAAAGGUUGACAACUUGGAUUGAUACCGUACGUCUUGUCGUAGAUUUUAAUUUGAAUCAAACAAAAUUACACGGCUCGUUUCAGUUGUUUAAAAAUCAUCAAAUUACCGUUGAACACAUAAGCUCUCCGCCGGUGACGUCUCAGAUCUACUUCUCCCUCCCCAACAUUUUCCCCCAAAUUCCAAACCCUAAUUCUCACAAACUAGCGCAGACACCUCCAUUGCCCCCAAUCCGCAACCUUUCGCACUCUCCCGGCGCUGGUAGCAGUGUCAGUGUGAGGCGUUUGAAGUAAUUUAGCUCCAAUUUCAGUUUGCCAGUGCACGAAUUAGGGGAUUGAAUGUUCGCCGCGGAUGGCGAUUUAGUUUCUGAAGCUUUUGUUCUCUGAGGAUUCGUGAGAGUCUAGAUUGUAUACGGAAGAAUGCAGGGCUCGUCGCAGAGCUCUGCGGCGGCUCAGCCGGAGGCGAUAUUGCAAUGGCUUCAGAAGGAAAUGGGGUACCGGCCUUUGGGUCCGUACAGUGCUGCUUCUAGCAAAUCGCAAUUGCCCUCAAUCGACUCGAUGAGGAAGAUUUGCCGUGGGAACAUGAUACCCAUUUGGAAUUUCUUGAUUACCCGCGUGAAGUCGGAGAACACGGUGAAGAAUAUUCGGAGGAAUAUAACGGUUCACGGUGGUGGCGGUGGCGGGGAUGGUGGCGCAUUGGUAAAAUCGAGGAAGGAGGAGGGUACCAGGAGUAAAGGAGGUAGGAGAAAGGAGAAGCUUGGGGAGGGUACGAGUGCGGCGGAGACUAGGGAGGCCGCGCUGCAAGAGAGGGACUUGGCGGCAAAGGAGGUGGAGAAGUUGAGGAACAUUGUGAAGAGGCAGAGGAAGGAUUUGAAGGCCAGAAUGUUGGAGGUUUCAAGGGCCGAGGCCGAACGGAAGAGGAUGCUUGAUGAACGCUCUAAAAAAAGGUUUGCACUUUUCUGAAAGAUUGGCAUUAUCAUGUGUACAUGAUUUGGUUCAGUUGAAAACUUGCUUUGUAAAAUCUAUUGUGAUAUGUGAUUAUCAUCAUAUACAAGAUUGAUAUGAGCUACGUAGAUUAUUUAGGGAGGAAAUGCUAUGCUAUUACUCUUUGCAAGGUUUAUUUGAGAAUGAUCUUAUUAUUUGAAAAAUCGUGUUAGUUCAUUGAUCCACGCAACAAAAUGAUAACACCUUUUUUUGGAAGGCCGUGUAAAUGCAAAUGAUAUUCACAGUAUAGUAUUUCAAUUUUCUAGUUAUUCAAUGUGGAUUGCGGGCUAUGUUGAUAUAUCCUUGAUCUUAAUGCAGGCAUAAGCAAGUAAUGUUGGAGGCUUAUUAUCAACAGUGUGAUGAAGCGGAAAAGAUAUUUGCAGAGUAUCAUAAACGUCUUCGUUAUUAUGUUAAUCAAGCAAGAGAUGCUCAAAGGUCUGGUGUUGAUUCAUCUCUUGAAUUGGUUAACAGUUUUGGUUCAAAUAGUGAAAAGGAAGCUGUUUAUUCAACUCUUAAGGGCAGUAAAGCUGCAGAAGAUGUACUUCUUAUUGAAACCACUAAGGAAAGAAAUAUCCGAAAUGCCUGUGAAUCUCUUGCAGCACAUAUGAUAGAAAAAAUUCGAUGUUCUUUUCCUGCAUAUGAAGGAAGUGGUAUUCAUUUGAAUCCUCAGUUAGAAGCAGCCAAGUUAGGCUUUAAUUUUGAUGGGGAAUUACCCGAUGAGGUUAGAGCUGCAAUUGUGAAUGGGUUGAAGAAUCCUCCUCAAUUGCUUGAGGCAAUUACUUCAUACACAUCACGGUUGAAAUCUCUAAUUUCCAGAGAGAUAGAGAAAAUUGAUGUUAGAGCUGAUGCAGAAACUUUGAGGUAAAUACUUCCUUGUUAGUUCUGUUGGAGAUUUGGAGUUUAUUCAAUUUUCUCUUUGCCUUAGCUUCUACAGACAAGGCUGUUCAACCACAAUAUACCUUCUUUGUUUUUUCUUUGAAGAGUAGCUGAGCCAAAGAUUGUUGAUAAUAUGGUCUCCCCAUCCCUGCCCAAUCCCCUCGUACCUUUAAUACUUGAAGCUGCUUGAUUUAAAUAAUAGCAUACCUUUUUCAAAUUCGAUCAUUUCGGCGUCUGAAUUCUCAUUCAUUCUUCAUAUGCUUGACUUUUGUUUCAUAAAUUCCUUAAUCAGGUACAAGUAUGAGAACAACCGAGUUAUGGAUGUUUCUUCUCCUGAUGUGAGUUCACCAUUACACUAUCAACUAUAUGGUAAUGGAAAGAUAAGAGCGGAUGCACCUUCUAGAGGAACUCAACUUCUUGAAAGACAGGUUAUAUUCUUUACUAGAUAGUAGCUUUUCAUUAAUAUUUAAUUAUAUUUUCAUCUAUUCACUUGUAUCAUCCAUCAUAUCAUUCUCAUUUUCACUACAAGGAUACAUUGUUCCUACUCUUUCUUUAAAUGAUUUAUCCCCAAAGUAUAAUAGUUGGUCUAAACCCUAAUUCCAUAAACGACCAUACUGUUUACAUGAAAUAAUUGCUCGGUUCCAUUUUACCCCCACCUUUUCUGCUUUUGUUUUGUUGCAAGAGUUUAACUUGUUAUUUGGAAUAUAUUGUUCACAGAAUGCACAUGUUCAGCAAUUUUUGGCUACUGAAGAUGCACUGAACAAAGCUGCAGAAGCUAGGGACCUAUGUCAAAAACUUAUAAAACGCUUGCAUGGCAAUAGUGAUGUAAUUUCUUCAGGAACAUCACAAAAUGUGGGCAGUCUUAGGCAACUUGAGGUAAAUCUUCCUUGCAUAUUAAAAGUAUUAACUACCAAUAGUUGGGUGGAAAUAGCACCAUGGGUGACAGGUUUGAUUAGUUUCAGUCUUUUGAUCCUUUUCAUAGUUGUAUACUGUAUACUAGGUUACUUUUAGCCUGCACUGUGUUAUCAUAUGGUUUUUUACAGUCGUCCAUUUUCUUCGUGUAGCUGGAGGUUUGGGCCAAGGAAAGAGAAGUUGCUGGCUUGAGGGCUAGCUUGAAUACACUGAUGUCUGAAAUACAACGCUUAAAUAAAUUAUGUGCGGAAAGGAAAGAAGCUGAAGAUUCUUUGAAAAGAAGUGGAAGAAGAUUGAAGAAUUUGAUUACCGCAGAUCAGAACUUGAAAUCAUAUAUACCUCAUUACUAAAAGUUAACAUGGUAAGGAUCUCAGCUUCAACAGUGCUUAUAAAUUUUCUAGUCACUUCAUAUACUGGCAUUGUAUAAGCCAUGUCUGGUCAUUCCAUGGAGCGUUGGCUCUUUUUCUUUAAGUUCCAGGCAAAAGUUCAUAUAUAUAAUAUAAAAUUCAAGACAAAUUUUUCUAGCAGUUCAAUGAGUAGAUGGACUCUUUUUUUAUUAAAUGAAAUCCACGGUCUCCUCUUUAGAUGCCCAAAGACCCUAUUUAUGGUUAUAGGUCUGGGGUUAACUCACCAGGAGACUUCAAUUUCCCUGGAACUUAUGCAAAUGAUAUCACCAAUUGCAUAGUUUUCAUUUGUUAUUCGUAUCAUAUGGUAGAAUAUUUCAAUAGAGGCAGCUAGGAUAAUGCUUAUCUAUCUCUUUGUCUUCUGUCGGGAAUAUUUUCUAAUGUUAUUUUUGUCUUCUACUUGGUAGGAUGCUGCUGCCUUCUGGAAUCAGCAGCCAUUAGCCGCACGGGAGUAUGCAUCAAGCACUAUUAUUCCUGCAUGCACAAUAGUCAUGGAUCUUUCAAAUGGUGCAAAAGAUCUUAUUGAAAGAGAAGUUUCUGCUUUUGACCAAAGUCCUGAUAAUAGCCUCUACAUGCUUCCAGCAACUCCACAGGUUUGUUGAGUAAAUUUGUGGCUUUAUCAUUAUUAAAGAAUUGUUAUUCCUGUAAGUAUCACUCUUUUACUUUUAAGUUGGCGAUUGAUUGGUUUAAUGCUAGAAAGUAAAAAUUGAUGAAUCUGUUUCUUAUGUCCCUUAUCAGGUUGUCAUAAUUAGCGACUAAUCAUAAUUUGUAUAUAAUCUCUUUACGAUUUUAAAAUUCAGGACUUAUAUAAUUUGUGUAAGAUCUUGAUUAUCCUGAAGUUUUUCUGACUGUUCUUUGGCUAGAAAAUACGAAUCUGUCUUUUCUUGUUCACCUUCUAUAAUCUGUGUAUGUAACGAUGUAAACCAUUAAUUACUUUGUAUCAGGCACUAUUGGAGUCCAUGGGUACAAAUGGGUCUACUGGACCUGAAGCUGUUGCUGCUGCAGAAAAAAAUGCUGCUAUAUUAACUGCAAAAGCAGGAGCUAGGGAUCCAUCAGCAAUACCAUCCAUAUGUCGCAUAUCUGCGGCCCUUCAGUAUCCUGGUGGUGAGUCUUCAUUCAUCCGCUAUGACACUAUAGGAAUGCCUAAGAUUGGAAGGCACUGCCUCCAUUAUAGGCUUGGUUUUGGAAGAAAUUCAUCCUCCCCACUUGUCCCAGGCUUGGCAACAGAAGAUCCAUUUUGCCUUCUUUUUUGAGUUGUGUGUGUAAUGGUUUGUCAAUUGCACUUAAGAAUAAAAACAAAAUGCAUCAGUUUUUCAAUAAAUUGGUAAAGCUCACUGCAAAGUUAGAUUUCAUGCUGGUGAGUAUGGAGGUGCUGUUACAUGACAGCCUGCAAGGAUCUUGUUUUGAAUAAUUUUAAGCCCUAGUAGGCAGUGGGACAUUGUGCAUAAGUGACCUCGUGCUCCCUAAGCUUGUUACUUGUAUCAAUAGUAAUAUAAAGAUAAUCAGUUUAAAUUUGCUCCUUAAACUUAAAGAUGCUUAGCCUGAGCUUAAUGAAUGCUACCAUAUGCAUGUUCUGAUGUGUUAUUUUUUUCUAUUUCAUUGUUUGUGUGCCUGCUUAAUGAGUGCUUUCAGUUCGAACUUACAUUUACUGGAUAACAGGUUUGGAGGGUUCAGACGCUGCCCUAGCAUCAAUCCUAGAGUCCCUGGAAUUCUGUUUGAAACUUCGUGGUUCUGAAGCUAGUGUGUUGGAGGACUUGGUAAAGGCAAUCAAUUUGGUCCAUACACGACAGGAUCUUGUUGAAAGUGGUCAUGUAUUGUUGAACCAUGCCUAUAGAGCUCAACAAGAAUAUGAAAGGUAAAACUUCACAUGGCCUUAUUUUACAGGAAACUAGACUGUGUUAUCCUCCAAAACCUGAAGGUUUCAGUAAGCAGACCUCAGUCAAAUAAUAUAGACUUGAAUUCCAUUUUGAGCAUUGUGAGAUGAGGGAAAGUGCCAAAAACUGCUUUCUUAUUUCAUUUGAGAUUCACAUGGUUUGUUGCGCUAGAUGUUCUGAAUUUUUUUCAUCCAGAUUCUAAAUACAUUACAGUUUGCUCUUUGUUCUAAUCUGUUGUCAAAACUAAGGAUGUAUAGCUCUGGUGUUACGUUAAAUUCAUUCUAAAUAUUAAACCAUUCAAAUAUGUGAUGGUUAUUAAUUAGCAUUUUAGGAUCUCUGACUAUGUUUUAGAUUAACAUGCACUUAAUUUGUAUCUACUACUCUGCAGGACAACGAGCUAUUGUUUAAAUAUGGCUGCUGAGCAAGAGAAAAUUGUCAUGGAGAAAUGGUUGCCUGAACUUAAGGCUGCAAUUUUGAGUGCUCAGAAGUGCUUGGAAGAUUGCAACUAUGUUAGGGGAUUGGUGAGUGACCACCAUACACGGAGUUAGCCUGCAUUUUUUAGUUCUAUGGUUGUUGUAUAGACAGUCCAUUUUUCUACGUUAGCAGUACUAAUUCUUUUGUUGUCUUGUUUUCCCCCUCUUUAAUUGUCUGAACUACAAUACGUUUCUGCAGCUUGAUGAAUGGUGGGAGCAACCAGCAGCAACUGUUGUUGACUGGGUCCUAGUCGAUGGAUUAAACGUUGCUGCCUGGCAUAAUCAUGUGAAGCAGCUCCUUGCAUUUUAUGAUCAGGAGCACUUGUGAAUAUUAAUCGAGUACUCAGCAAACAAGAUUUUCUCGGGAUCUCCCUGGUCUUCCUGGAUCAAAUUUGCCACUUCUACAAAGCCCUGGUCUCAUUCAUUCUGGCAUUACUAAAAACACCUACAAAGGCCUGGUAGAAAUGGCUCAAGCUUGACUUCCUGCUUGGAAGGUGAUUUGUCAUCUCUUGCUGGUCGGGCCAGUCUUGUUCAGUCUUCCACCUCCACUAUCCCAGUAUAUGGUAUGCAGACAGGGUUUAGGGUUUAGAGUUUAGGUAUGCAGACAAGGGUCGGGCUAAGUUUGCCUUCCGAAGUCUCUUGGUGGGCUUGGCUUGAAAAACAUGAGAGUUAUGAACAGCUCUUCUUGCUAAGAACUCUUGGAGAUUGAUGGAGGGGAUAAUGGUCUCUGGGCAAAAGUUUUCAGUGGCAAGUACAUUGACCAUUGGGUCAGUUACUCUGAUAAAACUGCUUUGGCUCUUCUUGCACUUGGAAAUGUAUUCUUGAAGGGACUAAACUUUUGUAUGAACGGCUACUUUGGCGAAUUUGGAAAUGGUAAUACGGUAAAAGUUUGGACUGACAAAUGGGCUAAUGUGGUAUUUUGCUUCAUCAUGGUAGCUGCCCGCUCUUCAACGAUAUGCUUUAAAGCUACCGUAGCUAAUUAUUGUUACAAUAAUGGUUGGGAUAUUGGUAUAUACUACUUGUUUGACCAAAGGAGAUUGUUGAACAAAUUCUUAGCAUUCUAGUUGGUUUUGAUACUUUGGAGGAUACGUGUAUUUGGAGUGGAACACAAGUGAUGGUAAUAUGUUGGCCAUUAAUUCUAGUGGUUUUCCUAAUUUGCAAUCUAAUCUCAUUUGGAAUCUUCGUAUUCCUUCAAAAGUUUAGAGUUUCUUAUGGCUGCUCAUUCUUGAUAAGCCAACUAAUGAUCAGAGGUUGAAAGGGUUACGACUGAUAACCCUGAGUGUUAAAGAUGUACUUGUGGCUUUGAAUCAACAGCUCAUUUUUUUUAAGAUUGUCCUAAGGCAAGAGAAGUCUGGCUGAGGUUGAGAAUGUAUAAUCAACUGUCUAACCAAAUUGAUUUUCAUGAUUGUUUUCAUUUUAAUCUCACCACUGAUUUAGGAGGUUUAGAGUGAAGGUUAGUUUUUUCGUUGUUUGUUGGUUUAUUUGGUAUUGGCAAAAUAAAUUUGUUUUUGAGCAGGAUUUUGCAAUGUUUGAUGAGCCUAUAGUUGCUAUUUGUGCAUGUCUUCGUGAAUGGUUGAAGGCUAAUACUCACAAGAUUGAUAAAUGACAUAUGAUUGAAUCUUUGCUCCACUGAAAAGCUCUUUAUUCAAAUUGAUAUAAGCUUAAUGUUGAUGGUUGUAAGAAGGAAAAUAAUAAUUCUUUACGUAACCAACCGACAACAGACAAGGGUUCUUUACGUAACCAACCAACAGUAAACAAGGGAUAUGUUGAUGUUGAUGGUUGCAAGCUCUCCACUUUUUUUUUUCUCUCCCCUCCUGUUUAAACACUCAAGAUUUUAUCUUUACAAAGAGAGAAGAAUAAAAUAGAGAGAGAGAGAGAGAGAGAGAGAGAGAGAGAGAGAGAAGAAAAAAAUCUAUGAGAGGAGGGAAGGGAGGGGAAGAGAAAGAGGGAGGAGAGAGAAUACCGUCCUUAUAACUUGGUCCCUUAUUAAAUGAAAGGACAACUUUUGCUUAGCUUAAUGGAGUAUGAUUCUAUUCCCUCUUUUUUUCCCUGCAGUUUCCUUCCCUAUUUGAACGGUCAUAGUUAAGCUACGAUAACAUCUUAUAUUAAUUUUUUAUAAAAAGAGAAAGAUAAAAUAGAGAAUAUAAGAGGAGAGGAUAGAAGGGGAUGGAAAGAGGAGAGAAGAUAAUGCUAGUCCUAGCUUAAUACCUCUUCAGUCCAAUUGUCUUCUUGUUCUGGAAAUUGACAACUCCAUGCGAUGAAAAAACAUCUCAUGUAUUUUUGUACGGAUGAAAAGGCUGCUUUACACUAUUACAUUUUAAGCGAAUAGAAAUUUCGUGAAAAUUUACAAUAUCUCGUUGCAUUGAUGAAUGAGUGAGAUAUAAAGAAACAAAAUUUUAUACCUUCAUCUACUACAUUGAUGCUUAGGCGCACCGAAAGUCACGGUUUAUUGUACCCAAAACCCCAAAAUUCUCCUAAUGAAUUAUGUGUCUAAUAUUUUUCAGAGUUGUAAUCAGCACUUGCAAACAGUGUUUUAUGCAUGUCAGUCUCGAAGUAAUCCAUGAGGGAUCAUGAUAAUUAUUUGAAAAUGUUAAUAAUAGCUCUCUUUGCUUAUUCUCGGUAGGUCGGCUACAUCCCUACAAUCUCAAAAUAUGCUUAAAUUCACUCAUGUACAUUUAGAAAAUGCCAAUGACAGACAAUUUGGAAAUUGGUGAGACAUGAAAAAGUCCUUAAACCUCACUCCUCAAGCGGCAGCCCUAAACUCGCCCGUGAUCGGAAGACAUGACAUGUCUUUUGCGAAUGACAGGGAAUUGGACAAAGCCAUCCCUUCUUUGUUUCAAUAAUUGUUAUGAAUUAUUGUAUAUCGAUCAACCUGUAAGUAGAUACCAACACAAAUAUAGAUACCUCGUACACGACUAAAUUGCCACUCAUUUUCACUAUAAAAGGAAAACAUUUCUUCACAAGAUUGCACUGGGGACCGAGAGGGUUGUGGUUGUGGUUGUCGUAGAUGUUUAGGUUUCCUCACAAAGCAGGAAAUUGAAUUAAGAAUAAAACAAUCAGAUUGCGUGACACACCUCGACCGAGAUCAAGGCAUGUUGGCUGUCACGUGAGGGUGGUGUAGCCAUGUGUAUAGUGCGGAAGUAGUUAAGAUAAGAAAUAUACGAAUAUUUAAAAACCGAAACUACUAGAGUGUACUAGAAAAUAGGAAGUGUUAGGAGUCAGUUACAAAAGUAAAUACUCCUAAUCAGAGCAUAAUAAGCCUAGGUGCAGUCCAGUAUGACAAGUACUGGUUAUACAGUACUAGGAAUGUCCUACUAUUAUUUAGAUAUGUCAGAACCGCCGAAAUCCUCAAGGCCACCGAUAGCAAGCUUACCUAAAACCUGGAGGGGCGCAAAACAGGAAACGUGAGUGGGCAAAAACAAAUGUUUUACAAAAUCAUUUCAUUCAUCAAUAUUUCAAACCCCUCGCUGUAAAACAUGUAUAAUUCUUCUUAGAAUCAGAAAAUAAGCAUAUACAUAAAUAUAUCAAUUCAAAUCAUGCUUCGCAAUAUCAUAAUCAUAUGUACGCCAUGCCAAGAUAUAACAGAGUAAGCAAUUCAGGUGAGAAUAAUUUCAUAUAAAUAUAACAUGUUAGCCGGAAUCUCGGUGGUAGUUUGUACGGCUGAAUUCAUAGCUCAAAAGUCAAUCUAGCCGGAGUCACUACAAUGACCUAUACGACAUUAAACUGCACAAGAGUCGGAAUCAAAUGAAAAGGUCUGUACGACAAUAAUGGGUGUAAUAUAAUCAUGCUCAAUACUACUCACACAUAAUAGCUGGGCGAUAAAUCGCUAGUCACCUACGAGUCGGAACCACUAAGAUGGUCUAUACGACAGGACUGUGCACCUAAAUUGGAUCCAAUGUGAGCAUAGGGUGCAGGAGGUGACAUUAUAUACAGGCAUGUGCCAUAUCUCUGGCUAAAUCACAAUCACCCUAGGUGCAGUUUUAUGAGCUCAACAUUAUUCAAUCACAUAUCGCAUCAUUGAUAAUUCACAUAACCAAACAUAACUCACCUGAGCUUACCUGAGCGUCCACAGCACCGCAAUUAUAUAUAAUGCAUCAUAUACCAAUUCAUAUACGAAAUAUAAAUUCAUAUGCAUGGCAUUUAAGGCAUACUUUCAUUUAAACUUAUUUUUCUGGGAAAAUAUCAAGUAUAUAAAUAUAUACUGAAAACCAAAAGCCCACUCACUGGUAUGUCGAAGGGUCGUAGCCCCCGAGUCGCCCUUGAACACGCUCGUCCUCGGGAUAAGUCUCACAUAUAUGCGAAUUAACUAUAAAAACGUUAUUUAAAGCACAUAGGCAAAACUAGCUAAUAACUUCUCAUACAAUGCUCAAUUUUGGUAUUUGAAUAUACCACAGUGACCUACACAACCUCAGGAUCAUUCCUAAAUUUUUAGAAUAUUUUUCUGACCCCUCACGCGCGGCCAUGCGCCGACGAGUGCGCGGUAACACGCGCAGGGAAUCCUAACGGAUUCUCUAACUGCCGUUAGGAAUAUUCCAUGGAAUAUUCAGUUAAAACCCAACAGUAACUGUUAACUCUAAUUGACGGCGUCAGAAUAUUUCGUCAAAAUUGACGGAAUUCCGUCGUCUUCUUCCUAAAUCCCCAGCGACCGUCACCAUCGCCGGAAACUGGGGAUUUCGAAAAAUCUUAUUUUCUCACUCUUUUCUUCACCAUUUUCUAUGAAAUUUGCACCAUUGGAAAGCUGGAGAUGAGAGGAACGACAUUAUACAUGUUUUAGGACCUGUAACCCACAAAUUCUUGCCGGAGAAAUUCGAGAAAACUGGCCAACUUCGAAACUAGCUAUCUUGACGUCCAAUUUCUUCCAACGAACUACUCCGAGCCUCAUGAAGACCUUAUAAAGCUCCAUGUGUCCUUAAAAUUCCCUGAAACACAAGAUUUUACGUCCACAUGAAUAGUAUCUCAAAUCAGAGAUAGGAUUUUCACGGGGUUUCGAGGGUUUCCUUACCUGAAAAUGGUACCUUUGAACUUGUAUGGUCCUCACGAACACAAUGGUGAUCUUAAAACCUUCGAUCUACAAGGUUUGAGAGGGUUUUUGGGUUGGUUCGUUCGAAGAAGGGAGAGAGAGAGUGAGAGUCUGCGAGAGAGAGAGAGCACGGGAAUGAGAGAGAAAAAGAUGGGUGUGUGUGUGGUCCAAAAGCCACCAAUCAACACAAAGAAAAGUCUUAGUUCUAAUUGGGUCAUCAAUCUAAAACAAUUUAACCCAAUAAUAACUCACACACAUCAUUUAACGUCCAAGGAUAAAACCGUCAUUUUACAUUACCGAUAAUAAUAAUUCGGGGACGGGCUGUGACAUUGCGGGUAGGAAAAUAAAUUUUUUUUAGUGUGUCACUGUUUGGUACACCUACUCUAAUAAUAUAAUUGGAUGGAAACUUGUAGAAAAAAACAAAGAAGUAUAUCAUACCGUAUUUCCGACGUACUAAAAAAAUUUCUAAUAGGAAACGAUAGUUUGAUGCAAAGGGAAUCUAGGUGCGACACCAACACAUGACUGUACCAAAACCCUAAUUUGGAUGUUAUACACAUCUUCACUUGAAAGUGAGAGGUUUUAGAUUUGAAUCUCGUGGAUAAUGAAUUCGAUACCAAAUUAGGCUACCCAUUAUGUGGUUUAGCCGAACUCCUUAUUUCCUUAGUGUAAAAAUAUCGAUGGAUUAAAAAAAUAAAUUAAUAAUGAUGCUAAUGAUUCAGUUAAGUGUCCUGGCACAAGUACAAGACAUCCACGAGAUUUGGAUGUCACACAUACAAAUAAAGCCCCUUAUUAAUGUCACACAUAUAAUUAAAGCCCUUUAUUAAUGUCACAUUAUUAUGUCAUGAUAAGAUCUUUAUUUAUUUCUUGCUCAAGUCCUAUUGAGAAAUGCUAAGGAGAUUCUCUUAAAAGUGAGAUUCUUUAUAGAUUCUUUAUUUGUCACUUCAUGUCUUUAAUAGAGUGUUUUAUAAUGUUGACACCAAAAUUGACUGUAAACUGGAAGGCGACAGAGAGUCUAUGAAAAGUCUUAUUUUAAGAGGGUUUCCUUAACAUUUCUCAUUCCAUAUUUUGACAUCAUGGUAAGUAGUCAUUUUUAUUGUAAGUUUAGUUUUCACACAUAUUUAUGUUUUGCGAGACAACCGCAAAUAAAUCUUUCUGUAUGUACAACUUUUAUCAAGUUUAAGAGUUAUAAUUAAUUAGAUAUUCCCGGUUGUAUAUAUGAAAUUCUUUGAUUGGUUUUUCCUAGAGAAAUGAUCCUUGAUAGGACAACAAACAAUUAACUAGAAAAUGAAUUAUAACAAAUAUAAAAAAUCUAUAAAACUAAAUAUAUAAAUUAUAUAAUAAACUAUUCUUAUUUGAAACGCCUUGUAAUCUUCAACCAACUAUGUGCUUCAAUAUAAUUACCAGGAGUAAGCACUAUUGCUUGUUUUCAAUACUCGGUGGCUUGAUCAAACCAAGCCUCCGCAAUUUCGGAAUCUCCUUGUUGAACGGCUUGUUCUCCCCCGGUUAGAAUAGGGGGUAAACCGUACAUGAGAGUUUCCGACCUCAUACGGCUCAGCGAUCAAAUUCUUUUGGUGUCCUAUUUUUUAAUUACCCUAUCUAAUUGAAUGAGAUUUCUUAGAGAUAUAUCCCUUUUUUUCCUCGAGUUAACCAAAAGAAGGAGGUUAAUUGCAUAAGUUUCAAACUCUAAUAUUUCUUAAUAAGUUUUAUUUAUAUGUUUUUAGUUAGUAUAGUAGGAGCUCAUCAUUUGUGCGUACGUGAUAGAUAUCCCCGGUUACACGACAGAAUCUCACAGGGAUGUCAUAGCCAAUAAAGUAGGCUCCUAUGCAUCAUUUGUUUCUGUGUGAAGAGAAAACAUGAAUAAAUACAUGCAAUAACCUUUUGUCGCUGAUAGUGUACAGCUUCAGACUCAUGAAAUUUGUAGCCACUCUACAUAUCUUGUGUGUAGAGUGUUACAUCAAGUGUGUCGGACUUGGUACAUCAAAUGCCAUAAUGCAAUUGAUUAAAAAACAAGAUUUCAAAUCUUUUUUUCAAGUUUCUCACCUAACCAGGACCCAAUUGAGACUUUUACAGGGACUUGGAUCCUCUCCUGAGCCCAAGUAGGGGAUCCUUCUGACCAAAGGACUUAGGCCGUUGGAUGAAAAUCUAACGGUUAUAAUUAUUAUAACUUUAAAGGGACUCCUUGUUUGUAGCCGUUGGAUUUUCAUCUAACGGCCCAAGUCCUUUGGUCAAGAGGAUCCUCUUCUUGAGCUUAGGAGAGGAUCCAAGUCCCUUUUACAGCAACAAAGAAACAACCUCAAUCUACUUGCCCACCAUCCCAUACCUUUUUUUUCUUGUCUGGUUUGGUGGUAGGGAAUGAAACUUAUCUACGUUCACUUCUUCUGGUUUGCAGUUUACUGGUUUUUCCAUUAGUGUAAAAACGAAGCUUGAUGGACCCCGGGUUAUAAUAUUGCAAAAUAGUCAUUCCUUAUUUGUCUGUCAAUCACAAUUAAUUUGUUGAGUUAAUUUUGUUGUGUACUUGUAUAAUAGCCAACUAGCGUCUUUUUUAUAUUAGUACCCCACAAAAUGUUGAAUCCAUCUCACAUUAAAAUUUAAUAUUAAAUUACUUAUUUACCCCACCAUACAAUGACAAUUUAAACCUUUUUAGGUUAAAAAAAAAAAUUCUAAAUACACCCCAAAUCACUUUUAACGUAUUAUUUAUCUUCUUCAACUCAAAAUCCCUCUCACCCCAAAUCAUUUUUAAUGAUGAUUUUUGACUAGGCAGUGGUUGCAGUGACUAUGGUAUGGCCAUGUCCUUUUGGUAGAUCAUGAACUGGUGGCAAAGUGAGGGCAAAAGCUAUGGCCCCCGAAGUCCUACUCAAUCUCAUAAUUCAAGACUUAGCACUUAUGAAUCUCAUAAUUCAAAAGCCAUGGCCUCCGAACUGAUUGCAGAGUGAGUCAAUGACAUUCAUAAGGUGCUUUCUUGCACAAUACUAAGAUGCUUUCUUGCAGGUGACUUGGUUUGACCAAAUAUGCACAAAAAAAUGGAAACAACAUGGUAGCUUUGAAAUCGUUCUUAUUAUUAUUGAAAAACGUUCAAAUGAAUCUAAAUAUUUUUGAAAUCAUUUGGCCAGCUAAACAUUCAAAUGUUUAGAUUCAGCCCCUGAAAAUAAAAAAUGAGGGUUAUAACAUUUGAGAAAUGUGGGGUGUAUGUAGAAAAUAUAAGGUGUAUAUUGAGAAAGUGGGGUGUGAGAGUAUUAUAGGGAAGUAUGUGGGGGUGUAUUAAGAUAAUUUUUAAUUGAAAAAAGCAAAUGUGGGAUGUAUUAAGUGUAUAGGGUUUAGUCAACAAUUUGUGGGGUAUUAAUAUAAUAAGCCCUAAAAAAUUGUAUAACCCUACAGACGAUAUUUGUAUUAGGCCUCGGCAAUUGAUAUAAAAGGCAACUUGUAUGAACACAUUCUUAGAGUCAAUACCAGAGCUUCUUAGAGGGGAAAUAGACAGGUUGUAAAACAAUGUCUUGGUUUCAAACAGUUAUCUUUCUGGUUACUACUCUUACAUUUCAUGCUCCUUCAGAGGCUAGCUAUGAGGAGAUCCAGCCUUCUGCAGUUGUUGUAGGUACUGUCUACUGUGACACAUGUUUCCAAGAGGAUUUCUCAAAUACCAGCCAUUUCAUCUCAGGUAAAUUCAUCUUAAAUUUUCAACAAGUUCUUCAUCAAUUUUAUUUUUAUAUUGUAGCCCAUUCAAUGAUUUCCGUACACCCUUCUUCUUCUAUACACACUCAUGCUUAUAUUUUAAUCUUUAAAUUUGAAUAAAUCAAAGAAAAAUUAAAGGAAAGAACUAAACAAAAGUGUACAAAUGGAGAAAAUGUAAAAUCUAAUGACUGAAAACCUUUAUACAGGUAUUUCCUAAGAGUCAACCAUACAACUACGAAAAAUUAAAUAACACAGAGCAAAAAAAAAAAUCUCACCUAAACUAACUCCUUGACGGUAGGAUUUUGCUGUCAAUCACGAUUUCUUUCCAACAGACAACAAAACGUCCUGACAUGUUAUGGAUGCAUUAUCCACAAUAUCAAUAAUUUUGUGGGGUUUUUGUGCAGGGGCUUCUGUUGGUGUGGAAUGCAAAGAUGGGACUUCAACAAAACCAAGUUUCAACGCACAAGUGAAAACAAACAGCCAUGGGCAAUUCAAAGUCCAUCUGCCCUUCUCAGUGAGCAAAGAUGUCAAGAAAAUUGAAGGAUGCUCCGUGAAACUAAUCCGCAGCAGUGAACCCUACUGUGCUGUGGCCUCAUCAACCACCUCAUCUUCCCUACACCUCAAGGCAAGAAAGCAAGGGACUCACAUAUUCUCUGCUGGUUUCUUCACCUUCAAGCCUCUCAAGCAACCCAGCUUAUGCAACCAGAAACCCAGCAUUCAGAAUUCCAAGAAAUUAAAUUCCCAGAAGUUCUCAGAGAUGGCAUUCCCGUCCUCCUCUCAGGUGGACCCCAAAAUGCAUGAUCCCUCUCUCAAUCAAUCUGAUCUCCUAGGUCUCCCAAUCAAUCUCCCAGGACUCCCAGGUCUCCCAGGACUCCCAGGCCUCCCAGGCCUCCCAGGACUUCCAAUAUCCCUUGCUGCUGAAAAAACUUCAUCUAAGUCCUCCAACUCCAAAACUUCAAAGAAUGGGCAACUAGGUGAUAAUAGAGAAGUAGCCCAUCCAGAUUCUCCACCAGCAGGUUCAGCACCAUGAUUCCCAACCUGCCACCUAUCCUGGUUUCUGUUGGGUUCCUAUCCUAUUGGGCGUAACCCGUUUAAGUAUAAUAAGCCCAUUUAGGUCUUCUGAGUUGUGGUUUCCUGAACUUCUAUGUAUAUGGUCUCUUCCUUCUCCUUGAGAACUAUGUGAAAUAUUAAGAGAACUAUGUGAAAUAUUGAAUAUUUAAGUUUUAUCUUCUUUUCCCAUUUUCUCUGUAAUUUUCCCUCUUUCUUCUCUAACGAGAAUGUGUCAUGCAUAGACAGCUAGUCAGCUACGAGUACGGUAAUAUAAUACGAUUCAAUUAUUAGUUAAAUACAAUGAUUAUCGUUGAAACUCAAAAUUUCAGGACAAGGGAGUCGCAUGGAUUCAGAUAUAAAAAUUAUAUAUAUAUAUAUAUAUAUAUAUAUAUAUAUAUAUAUAUAUAUAUAUAUAUAUAUAUAUAUAGGGAAUUGUUAUUGGCACUUCAAAAAUCUCAUUCUACACUCCAAAUUUUCUAUGUUUGGAAAGAAAAAAACAUUUGUGAGGUGUGUAGAAUUAGAUUUUUGGAGUGACAAUAACAAUUCCCUAUAUAUAUAUAAAUUAUUAUUGAAUAUUACCCAAGGAUGAAAUAUGUGAUGUUUAUUAACUAAUGAAAUGUGCUUGAAAACUUUGAGUUUUAAUGAUAAGGACAAAAUAAAGGGUAAAGUGAAUAGUACCAGGAUUGACUUUUUAAUGUAAAAAUGUAGUUUUUCGUUAAAAUGAACAGUACCAGGAACUUUUCGUUAAAGUUCCCUUAUUAAUAAGCAUUUUAGGAAUAUCUCUGACUAUGUUUAUUAACAAUUCCCUAUUAUUGAAUAUUAUUGAAUAUAACCUUUUUCAUCCUUGGGUAAUAUUCAAUAAUAAUUUAUAUAUAUAAUAUUAUAAUAAUUUAUAUAUAUAUAUAUAUAUAUAUAUAUAUAUAUAUAUAUAUAUAUAUAUAUAUAUAGGGAAUUGUUAUUGUCACUCCAAAAAUCUAAUUCAGGGACGUCGUCGUUCUGUAAAUUAUUAAACCAUUCAAAUAUGCGAUGUUUAUUAAUAAGCAUUUUAGGAAUAUCUCUGACUAUGUUUUUAGAUUAACAUGCGCUUAGCAACAGAAAAUUGUCAUGGAGAAGCGGUUGCCCAAACUUAAGGCUGCAAUUUUGAGUGCUCAGAAGUGCUUGGAAGAUUGCAACUAUGUUAGGGGAUUGGUGAGUGACCAUCAUACGCGGAGUUGUUCUGCAUUUUUUAGUUGUACAGUAGUUGUAUAGACAGUCCAUUUUUCUACGUUAGCAGUACAAUUUCUUUUUGUUUUCAUCUUGUUUUUCCUCUCUUUAAUUGUCUGAACUGCAAUACGUUUCUGCAGCUUGAUGAAUGGUGGGACUCCCACCCACCAUAACCGUUGCUCAUCCCUAGAUAGGAGCAACCAGCAACAAUUGUUGUUGACUGGGUCUGAGUCGAUGGAUUAAAUGUUGCUGCCUGGCAUGAUCAUGUGAAGCAGCUCCUUGAAUUUUAUGAUCAGGAGCACUUGUGAGUAUUAUUCGAGUACUCAGCAAACAAGAUUUUAUGGGGAUCUAACUGGUCUUCCUGUUGGCAGUCCCACAUUGAUGGGGGAAGUCAACAAGGGUGGCUAUAAAUAUGAUUACGCUACUCUAACUAAUACCAAGGUUUUUUUUGGUAAAACCCCACACUUGACGGAUUGGGCAGGUGAUAAAGUUGGGGACUGUAUCGGUCUUAUUAGAGUGGCCAGUUGGGGACUCUAUAGGUCUUGUUAGAGUGGUCCCUGGGUCCGUCGAUCUCUACGAAGCCCCUUGUUUCAUUCAUUCUCGCAUUGCUAAAAACACAUUUUCAUUCAUUCUCGCAUCGUUAAAAACACCUACAAAGGCUUGGUAGAAACUCAAGCUCGACUUUAUGCUUGGAAGGUGAAUUCAUUAUCUCUGGCUGGUCGCGCCACUUUUGUUCAGUCUAUGACCUCCGCUGUCCAGUAUAUGCUUUGCAGACAAUAUUACCAAUUACCAUUACAGAUAACCCCGAGUGUCAAAGAUUUUCCCAAGGCAAGAGAAGUUUGGCAAAAGUUGGAAAGUAUAACCAAUAGUCAGACCACAUUAAUUUUCAUGAUUGGCUUCAUUUUAAUUUCACCACUAAAUCACUCAUAUUGGGGGGUUUAGAGUAGAUGUUAGUAUUUUCUGUUGCUUGUUGGUUUAUUUGGUAUUGGCGAAAUACAUUUAUUUUCGAGCAAGAUUUUGCAAUGUUAGAUGAGCCUACCGUCGAUAUUUGUGCAUAUUUUCAUGAAUUGUUAGCCUUCUAAUACUCACAAAAUUGAUAAAUGCCGAAAGACUGAAUCUUUGCUCCACUGGGAAGCUCUUCAUUCAAAAUUGAUUUACACUUGAUGGAAAAUAAUGCUCCUUACAUAACUAACCGGCAGCCGUGCCGGAGGCAAUGUGUGUAUGGAAUCAUAUACUGAGGAUAUUGUCACUUCUAUGUUACGAUUUGAGGAGAGAAAGGCGGAGUAGGGAAGCCGGCCGAGAGGAACAGCUCCUGAUCUUAAGAAGGAUAUGUUGUAUCAUAAACUUAUAACUUGGUCCCUUAUUGAAUGAAAGGGCAGGCUUCUGCUUUGAAUAAUACCACUUCAGACUUCAGUCCAAUUAUGUCUUCCUGUUCUGAAAAUUGACAACUCCAUGUGAUAACAAAACAUCUCAUGUAUUAUUGUACGGUUGAAAAUUGCUGCUUUACACUAUACAUUUAACGUGAUUAGAAAUUCCAUGAAAAUUUACAAACAAUACCAGGGAUGUGUCAUAGGCUGAAAAGGAGUAAGGAUGUUUGUACAUAGGCUGAAAAGGAGUAGGGAUGUUUGUACGUUCCUUCCCCACAGCAAAACCACAUAGCAAAAGGAUUACAAACACAGCUAACAAAUCAAUAAACACAAAAUCAUCAUUAGGUCAACGAUCAUAUGAUUAUAUCAGAUGCACGUCAAUUAAAUAAUUCUCAUGUUCAACUAAGGUCACUAAAAGCCCCCUAUUUGGCCUAAUUAGAUAUGGUCUUCGUGGUGAUAGGAUAUUUGUAAUAUAGCUCAUGACUUAAAAAAAAAAAUUCGGAUUUAAACCCUUGUGGUGAUAGGGUAUUUAGAAGACAAUCCAUUUCUAUUGAGCCACAAUGAAGGGAGUGCAGAAAUUCACAGUUUUGUUUUUGGGAUUAACAAAGAAAUAACAGAAAUUUGGUUUUUGGGCUUAAAUCACAACGGACUUCACCACAAGAAUAUAAAUCUGAUUUUUUUUACCACAUGGGCUAUCUUCCGAAUACUCUAUCAUCACGAGGACUAUUUAUACAAUUAGGUCAAUGUUUUUUUAAGGUGAAUAUCACAUGCUAAAACGGAGAAGGAUUCUCUCAUCUUCUAAUCUCUCUCCCAUUCCCUCCUCUCCUACUUGAACAAUUAUGAUUAAGUUAUGUCAAUAUUUUAUAUUGAUAUUUUUAUAAAGAUAAUAAGACAAAAAACAAUGUGUUGAUGCACAAAAUCAGCGAGGACUUUGGUACAACAGAAAGUGUCAGGUUUGUGACAUUCGCUUGGUUGCUUCGAUCACUAGUGAAGAUAAGUACGUAAAUGAAUAGGGACAGGGAAGCAAACACAAGAUGUACGUGGUUCACCCAAAUCGACUACGUCCACGGAGUAGAGGAGUUCUCAUUAAUUGUGAAGGGUUUACACAAAUACAUAGGUUCAAGCUCUCAUUUUUUGAGUUCUAGUGAAUAGUUUAGUACAAAAUGACAUUAGAUAUUAUUGUGGGAGAAUGAUCCCUAUUUAUAGAAGAAAGUUUCUAGUUUUGUUCUAACAUUGACACGUGUCGUGUUGUGAUUGGCUUCUGAUGUUGACACGUGUCGCGCUGUGAUUGGCUUCUGAUGUCGACACGUGUUGCAUUGUGAUUGGCCUCCUGGUUGAAGGGAAGCUCUUCUGGGUCCUUGACGUAUAACGUUGACCGGUGCUCAGUAGUUUCGGGAUUGGUCAAGUAUGGUACAAACAGUGCUCCCCUAAGUUCCCGAGUGAGGGAAGCUCCUCGGUUGGGGACUUGCAAGAUCCAAGCCACUGAGUAAUCACGAAACUUCUAAGUACCGAAGUGUGGUAUCAUUUUCACGCGCCUUAUCUGUCUCAUAUGUAGAUGUGGCAUCUUCUUUGGAAGUACUUUUCCUUCAUCCAUGGGUGGUAUCUUUAACCGAUGAAGAUGCACAAGGUAAUGUAUCAAUUUCACUUGAAGCUUACUUAUAGUUUCGGGCUUGGUCAAGUGCGAUACAAACCCUAUAGUAGGAGUCCCCCAAGUCGCCGAGCUAGGAGAUCUGCCGAAAGAGGUGACAGACAAGGUAAGCAGUCAAACUUCCAAGCAAGCAACCCAGGAUCAGAGGUUCGACUUCGGCUUCCGGUUGAUUGUUCUCCUUCUCCUUGUCUCUCAUUCAGCUGCCGGGAUAAGGAGAGGCAAAUGGAGAAGAGAUGAUAUGAGAUACUUUUGCUUUUGAAGAAGUAACUUUCCACAGGCUUAUUCUUGAACUGUGCUGGAGGGUUUUCUGGUUCCCUUCAGAGUAUAAGGCCGACUCAAGAAUUUGAGGGUCAAAACAAGUCCAUCAAAUCUAGAGUACGUUCGACCUUGAUGAUAUGGGAUACUUUUGCUGUUGACGGAAUAGUGAAUGUGGUAUGGAAAAGUGUCGUGCUGUAGUGAUCUGUUUCAGCUCACCGUUAAACCUUCUGCUUUAAUCUUUUGCAUGGCAGAAGUGGUGUGCAACCUUUGCAUUUAAAUGGUCCUUCAGAACAUUCCUUCAUAGUGACUCAUCCACGCUUGGCAGCUUCAGUGUAAAGAGCCAAUAUCUGAUCAACUGUCAUGAGGUAUGUGCCGGUGGAAUUCAUGACCUUGACAGCAGUUGAGGAUGAGUUCUCGAGAGCAAUGCUAAGUAAGCAACCAGGCAAAGGUCUCAGGCAGUCAGUUCCAGAUUGGAGGUUUGAUUUCAGGUUCCGACUGACUGCUCUCUUUCUCUUGUCCUGCAGGUGUGGACAAGGACGAAGACAAGGACAGGGAGAAAGCAUAAUAUGAGAUACUCUUACUUUCGACCCUGAUGAUAUGAGAUACUCUUGUUCUUGGUGUGGCUUAUUUGCUGAGGUAUUAUCGGGGGGAAAUAAAGCUGAGUAUUUCGAGAGGUUAUGUUGAGGGUGCAUUCUCGAAUGUGAGAAAGGGUUGAGCAUUUUUGUAGGUUUGCCUGUCCGUUGAGGAUGGAGGUCGAUGUAUAUAGGGAUUUCCCAAUAACAAGUAGUAAUGCUAUUCCUUUAUCCUUCUUGGUCACAACAAUGUAGUGGGAGCUGCCAGCUUCACGUGUUUUAACUUUGUCAGAGCACUUUGAAAAAUUGGUAUGUGGUAUCUGGAAAGCUGAUGUUGCGUGUGAAGAUUACAGACAAGCUUUAUCUAAGGAAAUCUGGCUCUCGAAGUUCUGAGAGCUGUGCCUCUUCGGUUUUCGAACAAGCAAUCCCGUCGGGGAUCUAGCUCUCGAGAUUCGGAAAGCGGUGCAGCUUCGGUUUUUGAGAAAGUAAUUAUGUUAGGAGUCUUUUCUCGAAGGUGAGUAAAGGUUGGACGUUCUUGCCAGCCUGUCUUGCCACAGAACACGGAGGUCGACACACAUAGGGGCUUUCCAGUUGUCAAGCAGUGGUGCUGUUCCUUUACCCUUGUGGGUAAUAGUAGGGUAGCUGGAACUUCUAAAUUCUCGUGCCUAAACUUUGUCAGAGAUCUUUGGCAAAGUUAUAUGUGGUACCCGAGGAGUUGAUGGUGCGUGUGGAGAGUGGUGAUUGAACAGUAAGAUUCACGUGCUUUUUAUUUCACCAGAAAUCUUCGACAGAUUGCCCAUAAUUUCCGCAAAGCUGAGUGUGCAUGUGACAGGUGCUGACGAGGCUGAAAAAGCAGGUGCUUCUUCGAUUUCUGAGAUCGGCCCUCGUGGUCUCUGAGCAACUCAGCUUUCGAGAAAGCAAACGCCUCUUCGAUUUCUGAAGCUCUGUCAAGUGUAGAUUUUUAUAGAGGUUGGCAUUAAGUUCCACAUCACACUUGAAUCUCCACCAGUAGAAGCUCCCUUCUUGCACUUCUAAGAUCUUGAUUUGUCUGACCUCUUCCCUCUUCAACACCUUUGAAAAUGUCUAGCUCCUCUGACCGUCGUUUUGACUUGAACCUUGGAGAAGAGACAGCCACGCCUUCUCCAGACAACAUAUGGCGCCCAUCCUUCAUAUCCCCUACUGGUCCUCUUACCGUUGGGGAUUCUGUGAUGAAGAAUGAUAUGACCGCUGCAGUGGUGGCCAAGAACCUUUUCACUCCCAAAGAUAACAUACUACUUUCCAAACGGUCUGAUGAGUUGGCUGUUAAGGAUUCUUUGGCUCUUAGUGUUCAGUGUGCAGGUUCUGUGUCUAAUAUGGCCCAACGCCUAUUUGCUAGAACCCGCCAAGUUGAAUCAUUGGCUGCUGAAGUGAUGAGUUUCAAACAGGAGAUUAGAGGGCUCAAGCAUGAGAAUAAACAGUUGCACCAGCUUGCACAUGACUAUGCUACAAACAUGAAGAGGAAGCUUGACCAGAUGAAGGAAUCUGAUGGUCAGGUUUUACUUGAUCAUCAGCGGUUUGUGGGUUUGUUCUAAAGGCAUUUAUUACCGUCGUCUUCUGAGGCUGUACUGCGUAAUGAAGCUCCAAAUGAUCAACCUCCGAUGCCUCCUCCUUCUGGGGUUCUGUCCAGUACUGAGGCUCCGGAUAACCACCCUUCGGUGCUUUCUCUUUCUGGGGCUCUACCGACUGCUGAGACUUCCCCUGAGCAACCUUUGUGAAGGCUCCCUCUUGUUUGUUUAUUUUGAUUCAUGUAUAUGUACAUAUUUGUAACUUAUCGGAAAUAUCAAUAAACAAGAUUAUCUUCAUUUCAACGUAUUGUGUUAAAUACACCAAGGCAUUCUUCACUAAGUUCUUUGAAUUUUUCCUUUUGUUGAAGCUUGUAUGUUGAAACUUUGUGAGUGAAGCAUGUAGGUUGAGGUAGUGCUCCCUUAAUUUCCCGAGUGAGGAAAACUUCUCGUUUGGAGACUUGAAAAAUCCAAGUCACUGAGUGGUCGUGAGACUUCCGAGUAUCAAGGUGCAGUAGCAUAUGGUAGGAGUCCCCCAAGUCUCUGGUCGAGGGAGUUGACAAAUGAGGCAUUUCCUUUCGAAGUGGUAGCCCAAAACUCCUUCUUCAUAUAUAUUUGUUAUGAAAGUUGUUAGGCCCAAAGAAGAGGAGGCCUAGGCAAAUUUUUUUUUUUUUGAAUUUUCAAAUUUCCGGAUUUUUGAAUUUUCGAAUUUCCGAAAAAUAAAAAAUAAAAAUAAUAUAUAUAUAUUUAAAAGCUUUGUAGGUGAAGCUUUGGUGUUGAAGAUUUGUAGGUGAAGCUUUGAGGUUGAAGCUUUGUUGGGCACCAUGAAUUGAUUUUGCUUCACACUAUCUUGAUGAAGAGUGUGUGAAGCUUUUAUAUGUUUUGGUGUUGAAAUUUUGUAUUGUAGGUGAAACUUUGGGGUUGAAGCUUGAUAGGUGAAGCUUUGGUGUUGAAGCUUUAUAGGUGAAGCUUUGGUGUUGAAAGCUUUAUAGGUGAAAGCUUUGGUGUUGAAGCUUUAUGAAGCUUUAUGUGAAGCUUUGGUGUUGAAGCUUUAUAGGUGAAGCUUUUGUUGGCACCAUAAAUUAAUUUUGCUUCACACUAUCUUGAUGAAGAUAGUGCGAAGUUUUGGAGAUUGAUAUUUGUCCUCCAUUGAUGAAGCUUUUGUUGGCACCAUAAAUUGAUCUUGCUUCACACUAUCUUGAUGAAGAUAGUGCGAAGCUUUUGAGAUUGAUAUUUGUCCUCCAUUGAUGAAGCUUUUGUUGGCACCAUAAAUUGAUUUUGCUUCACAGUAUCUUGAUGAAGAUAGUGCAAAGCUUUUGAGAUUGAUAUUUGUCCUCCAUUGAUGAAGCUUUUGUUGGCACCAUAAAUUGAUCUUGCUUCACACUAUCUUGAUGAAGAUAGUGCGAAGUUUUGGAGAUUGAUAUUUGUCCUCCAUUGAUGAAGCUUUUGUUGGCACCAUAAAUUGAUCUUGCUUCACACUAUCUUGAUGAAGAUAGUGCGAAGCUUUUGAGAUUGAUAUUUGUCCUCCAUUGAUGAAGCUUUUGUUGGCACCAUAAAUUGAUUUUGCUUCACACUAUCUUGAUGAAGAUAGUGCAAAGCUUUUGAGAUUGAUAUUUGUCCUCCAUUGAUGAAGCUUUUGUUGGCACCAUAAAUUGAUUUUGCUUCACACUAUCUUGAUGAAGAUAGUACGAAGCUUUUGAGGAUUGUAGUUGUGUUCCAUUGUUGAAGCUUUGUUUUUCCUUUUUUUUUUUUUUUUUUUUUUUUUUUUUUGGGAAAACUAGAAAUUUGAAAAUGUGGGAGAGACAACAUAUACAAAUUUUGCUUCCAUACUGUUAAGCGAGAGAUUGUGAUGCAAGCCACAUCUUGUAGUAGUCGAAGGUUUGGAUGAACCAUAUAAAUUGAAUUUGCUUCGAACAGUCUUGAUCAAGAGCGUGUGAAGCUUUCUAUGAGUUGUAGUGUUUGCAUUGUUACAGAGGAGAAAUGUCUGAAGCAGAUGCAAGAGGGCUGAAGAGCUUGAUCUUCGUAUACCAUGCACUGAAGCCAUUGUUGGCUUGCAAUAAGACUUUGUUGGUGACUAUAGCUCUUGUUAGGCAUAAGUGCUCCCUUAGUUGAGUUGUAAAGCUUGAUGGUUUUUGAUUAUUUGUGAAUGCUAGGAGUUCACAUGUACAAGUUGUACCACUCGUCUUCUGGUUAGUGGAAUGAAGGGUGGGUUGCUUUCAUCACUUGGUUGGUGGUACGAAUGUGAAUUCCUUAAUCACCUUUCAUCACAUUUCAUCACCUGGUUGGUGACAUGAAGGAGAGUACGCGUUGUACAUUUCAUCACCUGGUUGGUGGCAUGAAGAUGAGUUCCUUCUUCACCUGAUUGGUGAUAAGGGUGGCAAGUUUCCAAAUAAUAUUAGAGUACGGGUUGUACAUUUCAUCACCUAGUUGGUGGUACGAAGGUGAGUUCCUUCAUCACCUAGUUGGUGAGAAUAAGGGCAAGGUGUCGAGGCACAUUGUGGCAAAUGUCGAAUGACACAAAGUGUGUUGAACCCUUUCGAAGCACAGUUGGCUUAUGUAUGGAUGUGUUGGAAUGUAUGAUGUUUAUGCAUGAAUGUGUUGGAAUGUAUGAUGUUUAUGUAUGAAUGUAUUGGAAUGUAUGAUGUUUAUGUAUGAAUGUGUUGGAAUGUAUGAUGUUUAUCCUUUGUAUAGUCUUGUUGACACAUACUUAGAUUUUGUUUUGUAUUAGAAACAUUUGCGUUGAAGCUUCAACACUUGAGUGUUUCAUUGCUCAGAAUGUAAAAGAGUUUAGGGCCGAGUUGGCUAAAUCACCUUUUUAUUGAAUUCAUACCAAAUGGUUUUGUUACAUAGGAUGCCGAACGGCUGUAGCUUAACACUUGUACAAUGUGAGUCUAUUUGUAAUAGUACUUCAAGUCGUCAGCAUUCCAUGGAUGGCCAAAAGUCUUGCUGUCGGAGCUUCUGAGCUUGUAGGAGCCAGGGCGGCUGAUGCUGACGACCUCGAACGGUCCAUCCCAGUUAGGACUGAGUGUUCCUUCAUUCGGGACUCUAUCACAGAGUAAUCUUUUCUUCAGUACCCAGUCUCCACUUUGAAUGAGCGAGGUUUGACCCUUGAGUCGUAGUAGUUGGAGAUGCGCUGCUUGUAGGCGACAUUCCUCAGAUGAGCCUGAUUUCUAUGUUCCUCGACUAGAUCCAGGUUGAGGGUGAGUUGUUUGUCGUUUUCACUCUGCAUGUAGUUCUGGAUUCGGUAUGUUGCUUGCUCAAGCUCAACCGGGACAACUGCUUCUGUACCAAAAGCAAGUGAGAAUGGAGUUUCUCCUGUGGAAGUCCGAUAUGAAGUGCGGUAUGACCAAAGAACUUGGGGUACGAAUUCUGGCCAACAACCUUUAGCUUUGUCCAAGCUAGUUUUCAGAGUGCGCUUGAUUAUUUUGUUAACGGCCUCGACUUGUCUAUUAGACUGGGGAUGGGCUGGAGAGGCAAAACAUAAGUUGAUGUUAAACUUAGAGCAGAACAUCCUGAAGUUCUUGUUAUCGAAUUGUCACCCAUUGUCCGUGACUAUCGCAUUGGGAAUGCCGAAUCUGCAAAGGAUGUUCUUCCAUACGAAGUCUUCUAUUUUUGCCUCAGUAAUGGUUGCCAAGGGUUCUACUUCAGUCCACUUUGUGAAGUAGCCAACUGCAACGAUUGCAUAGCGGACCUUGCCCUUCCCUGCAGGCAUUGGGCCGAUCAAAUCAAGUCCUCAUUGGGCGAAGGGCCAAGGGCUGAUCAUAGGAGUGAGCGGCUCGGGAGGGGAGUGAGGGAUAGUUGCGUAGCGUUGACACUUAUCACAUGAGCGAGAUAUUCUGAUGGCAUCUUGGUGGAGUGUUGGCCAAUAGUAUCAUUGGCGAAAAGUCUUGUGUGCUAGGGAUCGAGACCCAGCAUGAUCUCCGCAGACUCCUUCAUGUAUUUCCCGAAGGACAAUUUCCGCCUCCGCAGGUGUAAGGCAUCUUAGGUAAGGCAGGGUAAAACCUCGCUUGUAGAGUUGGUCAUUAAUGAUCAGGUAGCGAGCAGACUUGUAUCGAAUCUGCUUAGCUUGGACUUUGUCAUUUGGGAGGGUGCCAUGGGCAAGGAAUUUAUAAAUUGGGGUGAUCCAACUAUCUCCUUGUUGUAAAUUGCACACUUCUGCGACCAUGGUGCUUGGUGCUGCCAACAAUUCGACAUGAAUUUUUCUCCCAAUCUUGUCUUCCACUGCCGAGGCGAGGCGGGCCAAAGCGUCUGCAUGACUAUUUGCCGCUCGAGGAACUUGGGUGAUCUGGUAGUGGAAGUGCUUGAGCAAAAGUCGUGUUUGCGCAAGAUAUGUUGCCAUGGAGCUAUCCUUAGCAUCAAAGUUGUUCGUGACUUGGUUGACCACUGAUUGAAAGUCACUGAAGAUAUCAAUUUGUUUAACUCCAAGAUGCUUGGCCAAACGUAAGCCUGCUAGAAGGGCUUCGUAUUCGGCCUCGUUGUUCGAUGCCUUGAAUUUGAAACGAAGAGCGUAUUCUAUCGCCACUUUGUCAGGGGUAGUGAGGACUAAUCCUGCUCCGCAGCCCUGUUGGUUGGAUGAGCUAUCAACAUACAGACUCCAUGCUGGGGUUGUUGAUUUUGUCUUCUGAGCUUCCGAUGGUAAUGAAGCUAUUGCUUCAGGUGUAGAAGCUAUUGCUUCAGGUGUAGAAGCAAUGUCAACAGGAUAUGUGAAGUCGGCGAUGAAAUCUGCUACUGCUUGACCCUUUUCGGCUGGUUUUGGUUGGUAGGAGAUGUCAAACUCACCCAAUGCUAUUGCCCAUUUGAUCAUUCGCCCAUACGUGUCAGGACUCUAGAGUACCUGUCGAAGAGGGUGAUUGGUAAGCACGAUGAUGGCGUGUGCUUGGAAAUAAGGGCGAAGUUUUCCAGCAGACAUGACCAAUGCUAGAGCUAAUUUCUCAAUGUUGGAAUAUCGUGUCUCCGCAUCUUGUAGGGCCUUGCUAGCAUAGUAGACGGGCCGUUCGACACCACUGUCCUUUCGGAUAAGAACAGAACUGACUGCUGAAGCCGAGACCGAUAGAUAGAUAAUGAGAGUGUCACCAACUUCUGGUUUGGAGAGCAGAGGGGCUUUACUCAUGUACUCUUUGAGGUUCCUGAAUGCCUUGGCACAUUCCUCCGUCCAUGUAAUGUACUUCUUAUUUCCCUUGAGUGCUUUGAAGAAAGGAGCACAUCUGUCUGUGGCCUUAGAGAUGAAUCUGGUUAAGGCUGCCACAUUGCCAGUAAGGCUUUGGAUGUCUUUUGAAGUUACUGGCUCUUUCAUGUCGAGGAUUGCUUUGAUCUUUUCGGGGUUAGCUUCAAUGCCUCGUUGGCUAAUCAUGAAGCCUAAGAAUUUGCCAGAUCCCACGCCGAAGGCACAUUUGUUGGGGUUCAACCUCAUUCGAUACCUCUUUAGAAUGGUGAAAGUUUCAGAUAGGUUGGUGAUGUGUUGGUCAGCAUGUUUGCUUUUGACUAGCAUAUCAUCAACGUAAACUUCCAUGCUCUUCCCAAUCUAUUCGGCAAACAUUGAAUUGACCAGUCUCUGAUAAGUUGCUCCUGCAUUCUUUAGGCCGAAAGGCAUGACUUUGUAGCAAUAUAGUCCCUUGUCAGUAGUGAAGGCUGUGUUCUUGGUCUGAGGGGUUCAUGAGGAUUUGGUUGUAUCCUGAAUAAGCGUCCAUGAAGCUCAAGAGCUCACACCCUGCCGUAAAGUUUAUAAGUCUAUCAAUGAGAGGAAGGGGGAAACUAUCAUUCGGGCAUCCUUUGUUUAGGUCGGUGUAGUCGACACACAUUAUCCACAAGACCUUUUGAAGCAGAAGACUUUCUUUGGUCAGAUUUUUCUUAACAAGGACAACAUUUACUACCCAUGUUGGGUAAUUGACUUCACGGACGAAGCCUAUGUCCUUGAGUUUUUCAACUUCUGCUUUCAUCGCCUCGUAUCGUUCAACAUCAUAAGAUCUUCGCUUCUGUUUUACUGGUUUGGUCUUGGGAUCAAUACUCAAGUGGUGACAGAUGAUAUCGGGAGAGAUGCCCGGCAUAUCUUUAUAUGACCAAGCGAAGACCUCGGCGUUCUCUUGCAAAAAGGAGAUCAGCGACAACCGAAGGGGUGGUGACAAAGUGGUGCCAAUCUUCACCAUGCGAUCUGGAUGGUCUUUGGAGAUAGAGACAUUCUCUAACUCUUCAGCGGGUUGUGCUUGCUGGGUGAAUGAGUCAUCUCGAGGGUCGUCGGGUUGACUGUUGCCAUCAUGAAGAUCCGAGUUGGCUUCAUCUGGACUGGUCUUUACUACCUGGUUAUGUAUAGAGAGGGUCUCCUUGAGGACAUGCAGGUGUUGUUGCUUAACUGAAGUGUUGUAACAUGAUCGAGCACUAAGUUGAUCUCCCAUGAUGUAUCCAUUGCCGAAAGGGGUUGGAAACUUCAUCAACAACAUAUGUGUGGAUACCAUGGCCUUGAGAUCAUUGAUGCCUGUGCGCCCAAAGAUGACAUUAUAUGCCGUCGGGCAAUUGACCACUAGGAAGUUAGUGGUAAUAGUAGCUGUGUAGGGGCCUGUACCAAUGGUGAGGGGUAAGUGUAUACUCCCUAAAGGUUGCACGAUAUCGCCAGAGAAGCUUAUCAGAGGAGAAAUCGAGCGAUCGAGCAAGUGUUCAGCUACAUUAAGUGCCUUGAAAGCUUCAGCAAACAUGAUAUUGACUGAAGCACCUGUGUCUAUCAGGAUUCGUUUCACAUCAAAAUUUGCUAUGUGAGCCUCCACGAUCAGCGGGUCGUUGUGAGGGUAGAUGAUACCUCUUUCUUCCUCAGGGUAGAAACAUAUUGGAUCCCAGUUAGGUUUUUGAUACUUGCCUCCCCUGAUGUCUUCCACGUGAAACACUUGAUGGCCAUGUCUCAAAGUUCGUUCACUGUUUUUCAUGGCCCUAUUGGAAGAUUCAGACAUGGGUGUGCCGCCGCUUAUGGAGUAUAUCACAUUCACCUGGCGUUGGUUACGGUUAUCCCUUGGAGGAUGAAGGAGGAACUGAUCAAUUUUUCCUUCACGUGCCAAAGCUUCGAUAUGAUCAUGGAGGAUGAUGCAUUUCUCGCCGUCAUGGCCAUUAUACGUGGUAGCAGCAAAACACGCUCGUGUUCUUCGUGGACUUGUAAUUUGGCUGUCUUGGCUUUGGCUUUGGUAUCAGGUAAGCUAUACUGGGGUAGAUGGCCGCGCAUGUAGCGUUCAAAGGUGUGUAUGUCUCAUACCUCGGGGUAUGGCCUGUCUUGACACGCGAUUGGCCCACUGCGUUGACUGCAUGGGGAUGGGUGUUAUUGUGACGAUAUACUGAGUUAUCGUGAUAGUGCCCCUUAUUCUUUUUAUUAAAAUGAGAUUGGUGAGGAUGGAAAUCUUUCCUUUUGCCCUGGGAUUGAUAUGUCUGCUGACUUGGCGAAGCAUUAAAUGAGGCCGGGGGGUGUGCUGCUACCGUUUGGAAGGUUGAGGUCUUUUCAUUCGGUUGGAUCUGGCCUCCACUCCUACUUGCUGAUAAGGGGUGACUGUAGGGGGUUUCCCUUGAUAUGUCCUUGCCUCGGCAGAGGCAUGGUUGUAAGCUUGUGCCAUCACUUCAGAGUAAGUCUUCCAAGUGUUGGCAUUGAUCAUGUACUUGAAGAAACAGUCACGUAAGCCUGCCGUGAAGGCCUUGAGGGCGGUCUUGUCAUCUGCCUCAGCGCAGCGGGAAUACUCAUGGCUGAAGCGACCAGCAUACUUUCGUAAUGACUCGUCCGGCUUCUGGUGAAUAGUGUACAAGUCAUCUGCGGAAUGCAAGCGAUCGGUCUAGAAGAUGUGUUGAGAGACAAACAACUUCCUCAACUCUUCAAAUGAGUCUACCGUCUCGGGUAGAAGACGACAAUACAGUUUAAAGCUCCGCCAGAAAGGGUGGAGGGGAAGAGAAGGCACCGUUCUUCAUCGGUGUGUCUCCGGUAUACCAUGGUGGACUCAAAGAGGUUAAUGUGUUCAAUCGGGUCUUCCCUUCCAGUAUAGAGUUGUAAGUCAAGCUUCUGCUUUGUCUUCGCUUGGAGGGGGGUGUUGAGGAUCCUUCUUGUGAGGGGGCCAGGCCUGGGUUGGUUCCAGUCAGGUAUCUCGGCUUGACGUUCAGCCUUCAACUUGUUUACUUCCUCCAGGAGCUGUAGGACGAGGGGGUCCUGAGUGGAGUCGUGCAUCACUGGAGUUUUCUUCCGUAAGUCCCCAUCGCCUCUUGGAAGUAGGAAAGUUUGAUCAAGAUAGCAUGAUUUUUCCUUGGACUCGUCACACUGACUCCUAGAGUGAGUAUGUCGGAACAUUUCCGAGUCCCCUGUACCUUCAUGUUCUUCUGGGACUUGUUGCCCAUUCCCUAGAUUAACUGCUGGCCUGGGUCGUGGGAAAGGACCGAGUCUUUCAGAAACUCUUGGGUCAUUGAUCUUCGAGCUUAUGUGGAUGGGAUUCUCUCGACGUUGCUUUAGGAAGUCUCGACAAUCGCGAUAGACAGCUUUUGAUCCUUCCACUCCUUCUGUGAGGAGGUGCUUUCCUCUACUCUUUCUGCUUCGGGUUGAAGCAGCUGGGUUGAGAGAAGUCUCAUGUUGAUUAUCACAUUGAUGUGUAGCUCGAUCCCUAUCAGGGAUGUCCGUGUUGGAUAUUGGUGACCCUCCGUGUUGGGGGGCAUUCAGAUGAUUGUUGACCUCAGCAGGGGCGACGAGCUUGUGUGCUUGAGCAUGCCUAGCCUCGUGAAGCAUCUCGAAAAGUUUUUCAUACUGCUCCUGGAGGACCUCGUUCCUCAUCACUAUCUUGUUGUUCUGAGCUUCUAACUCAUCGACUUUAGCUUGAAGAGUAACUCUAUUUCCUUCCUGCUUUCGUUGCUUCAUACUAGGUCCAAUGGGGGUGUCAUUCUGUGUGCUAUGGCUUCUUUCGCUCCCCAUGUUGGAGAGAGAUGUUUGGCCAAAAGAAAGUGUACGGGCGGUGGAAACCAGCUUAACAAAGCUGAAGAGAGUGGGAGUAAGUGUCUUUCCCACAGACGGCGCCAAAUGUUGAUGCACAAAAUCAGCGAGGACUUUGGUACAACAGAAAGUGUCAGGUUUGUGACCUUCGCUUGGUUGCUUCGAUCACUAGUGAAGAUAAGUACGUAAAUGAAUAGGGACAGGGAAGCAAACACAAGAUGUACGUGGUUCACCCAGAUUGGCUACGUCCACGGAGUAGAGGAGUUCUCAUUAAUUGUGAAGGGUUUACACAAAUACAUAGGUUCAAGCUCUCAUUUUUUGAGUUCUAGUGAAUAGUUUAGUACAAAAUGACAUUAGAGAUUAUUGUGGGAGAAUGAUCCCUAUUUAUAGAAGAAAGUUUCUAGUUUUGUUCUAACAUUGACACGUGUCGUGUUGUGAUUGGCUUCUGAUGUUGACACGUGUCGCGCUGUGAUUGGCUUCUGAUGUCGACACAUGUCGCAUUGUGAUUGGCCUCCUGGUUGAAGGGAAGCUCUUCUGGGUCCUUGACGUAUAACGUUGACCGGUGGUAGAUGGCCGCGCAUGUUGAUGUGGCAUCUUCUUUGGAAGUACUUUUCCUUCAUCCAUGGGUGGUAUCUUUAACCGAUGAAGAUGCACAAGGUAAUGUAUCAAUUUCACUUGAAGCUUACUUAGAAGUUUCGUGAUUACUCAGUGGCUUGGAUCUUGCAAGUCCCCAACCGAGGAGCUUCCCUCACUCGGGAACUUAGGGGAGCACUGUUUGUACCAUACUUGACCAAUCCCGAAAACUACUGAGCACCGGUCAACGUUAUACGUCAAGGACCCAGAAGAGCUUCCCUUCAACCAGGAGACCAAUCACAAUGCGACACGUGUCGACAUCAGAAGCCAAUCACAGCGCGACACGUGUCAACAUCAGAAGCCAAUCACAACACGACACGUGUCAAUGUUAGAACAAAACUAGAAACUUUCUUCUAUAAAUAGGGAUCAUUCUCCCACAAUAAUCUCUAAUGUCAUUUUGUACUAAACUAUUCACUAGAACUCAAAAAAUGAGAGCUUGAACCUAUGUAUUUGUGUAAACCCUUCACAAUUAAUGAGAACUCCUCUACUCCGUGGACGUAGCCGAUCUGAGUGAACCACGUACAUCUUGUGUUUGCUUCCCUGUCCCUAUUCAUUUACGUACUUAUCUUCACUAGUGAUCGAAGCAACCAAGCGAAGGUCACAAACCUGACACUUUAUGUUGUACCAAAGUCCUCGCUGAUUUUGUGCAUCAACACAAUGUAUGAGAGAAGGAAAUGAAAGAUGAUGUGAAUAAGAGGGGAGAAAAUUCUACUCAUGCUAAAAACAAAAAAUAAUGAUCGACUCUGUAGAUAUUGGCCAAACCAAACAUUAGAUGUGAAAAAUUAGCACUUUGCCGAAUAAUAUUCCGAGUGAGCAAAAUAGAGAAAAAUAUAACAAUGGCACACAGAAAAAAUAUAAAAGUUGAGGAGCCGGGUGAUAUAAUAUUAGACAUUGCAAUUGUAGGCUCGGACGACUCAAGGAGAAAAAGGUUGCUUGCACCACUAUAGGAAAAUUACAAAUCAACAAUGCAGAGGUAACGUGCAUGGUCUUCUCUUCUGCCAUGAAAAAUUCAUGUUGCUUUCAUAUAAUUAACUAAUUAACUAGUUAUUAGUGUUAAUUAUUCUCUAACAUUUCCUUCCUCCAUUGUUUUCUUCUUCUUCAGAUCAAAGUUUCAAUAGUUUUUUUUUAUUUUUUAAAUUCCUUUUACUUUAACAAUAUUAGCGAUUCCAAUUCUACUAGCUAGUUUUAGGUUGUAUUUUAAUUGGCUCGUGUGCUUCUGUUGCAGGACGUGUUUGGGGAAAAAGGAAGGAUACUUGAACAGGCAGGAGCUGUAGCAAAGGUAGCCUCUAUGAAAAAACAUAAUGAACUCUUUGUAACGAAACAACUUCGUUUGACUCGUUUCAUUUAAAUUUUUUGUUUUUCUCAGGUGCAAAGCGACGUGGUUUUGUUAAAAAAAAAAAAAAAACUAAAACGGAGCAACGCCCCACUGCAGAAAACCAAAAUGCAGCACCGCAGCACCAGAGCAGAGGGGUGGAAACCUGGAUUUUGGGAACGAACUCCGGCGACCGAAGGUGCGAACACACCUCCUUGAACCUCUGUGGCUUCGCCAAUGAAGGUCUCGAUAUUAUUUAUGAGGAGUUCAUGAUAAUUACUUUAAAGUGUUAAUAACAAUCCUCUUUCUUAUUCUUAUGCUAGUAGGUCUGGUACUUCCUACAAUCUUAAAAUAUGCAUAAAUUCACUCAUAUAGAAUGGGAAAAUGCCAUACGUUACCAUUUGGAAAUUGGCGAGACAUGAAAAAGUCCUUGAACCUCGCUCCCCCCCGCAAGGCAGGCUUAAACUCGCCCGUGAUGAGAAGACAUGUCUUUUGUGAAUGACAGGAAAUAGGACAAAACCAUCCCUUCUCUUUUUUGUUAGUAAAAGCAUCCCAUGCUUUCUAUCUCUUCAUUCCACUGACUAUUUCGAACACAAAACAUCAAUACAAGUAUUAGUAAAAUGAAAACUUCUUUCUUUUAUUCAAUAAUUAUUAUGGGUUGUGUUUAUUGAUCAACCUGUAAGUAGAUAAAACACUAAUAAUACAAUUAGUUAGGUAAAAAAAAUCAGUUUUUUUUUCAAGUUUCUCAACUAACCGGGACCUAAGUAUUCCCUUGGCGUUCUUACACCAACAAAGAAACAACAACGAAACACACAGGAACACAAAAAUUGGGGACCUCUUUUUAUCUACUUGCCCACCAUCACAAAUAUUACCUUUUUUUUCUUGUAUGGUUUGGUGGUAGGGAACGAAACCUAGCUACAUUCACUUCUUCUGAUUUGCAGUUGACUCUGGUUUUUACAUGAGUAUAUACUGAAGCUCGAUGGACCCCAGGCUAUAUAAUAUUCGAAAAUAGUCAUUCCUUAUUUGUCCGUCAAUCACAAUAUAUAUAAUCAAUUUGAUGAGUAAUUUUGCGUACAUGUAAAGUGUACGUACAAUCCUACAGAGAAUAUUUACAUUAGUUAUAAGGCCUCAGCAUUUGAUAUAACUAAAAGGCAACCUGUAUCAACUCAUUCUUCGAGUCAAGAAUAUCUGAGCUUCUUAGAGGGGGAAUAUAGGCUCUAAAACCAUGUCUUGGUUUUUUACAGUUCUCUUUCUUGUUACUGCUCUUACAUUUCAUACUCCUUCAGAGGCUAGCCAUGAGAAGAACGAUCCUUCUGCAGUUGUUGUAGGCACUGUCUACUGUGACACAUGUUUCCAAGAGGAUUUCUCACAUACCAGCCAUUUCAUUUCAGGUAAAUUCAUCUCAAAAUUUCAACAAGUUCUUCAUCAAAUUUAUUUUUAUAUUGUAGUCUGACUAUAAAAUAGACGUCCGUUCAAUGAUUUCCGUACACCUUCUCCUCCAUACACUCAUGUUUAUUUUGUAAUCUUUAAAUUCAAAUGAAUCAAAGAAAAUCAAAAGAAAGGAAUAAAAAGGGUACAAAAUGAAAAAAAAGAAAGUAAAAUCCAAGAAAAUGACUGAAAACCUAUAUGUAAGUAUUUCCUAUAUAUGAGUCAACUAUACAACUACGAAAAGUAUAUAACAAAUCAAUUUCAAAAAAAUCUCGCCUAACUCCUUGGCGGUAAGACUCUGCAUUCAAUCACGAUUUCUUUCCAACAGACAACGAGUGGUAGGGAUAUUAUUUCUCUUGAAGAAAAGUUGGAGGAUAUGUCAUUUGUAUGUGUUGAUAUCAUUGUCGCCAAGUAUGCAUGUCAUCAGUAACUUUAAAUGAUUUAUCCCCAUACAAAGUAUAAUAGUUGAUCUAAAUGAUUUAUCCCCAUACAAAGUAUAAUAGUUGGUCUAAACCCUAAUUCCAUAAAGGACCAUACUGUUUAAAUGAAAUAAUUGCUCGGUUCCAUUUUACCCCUACAUUUUCUGCUUUUGUUUCGUUGCAAGAGUUUAACUUGUUAUUUGGAAUAUAUUGUUCACAGAAAGCACUUGUUCAGCAAUUUUUGGCUACUGAAGAUGCACUGAACAAAGCUGCAGAAGCGAGGGAUCUAUGUCAAAAACUUAUAAAACGCUUGCAUGGCAAUAGUGAUGUAAUUUCUUCAGGAACAUCACAAAAUGUGGGCAGUCUUAGGCAACUUGAGGUAAAUCUUCCUUGCAUAUUAAAAGUAUUAACUACCAAUAGUUUGGGUGGAAAUAGCACCAUGGGUGACAGGUUUGAUUAGUUUCAGUCUUUUGAUCGUUUCCAUAGUUGUAUACUGUAUACUAGGUUACUUUUAGCCUGCACUGUGUUCUCAUCUGAUUUUUUACAGUCUUCCAUUUGCUUUGUGUAGAUGGAGGUUUGGGCUAAGGAAAGAGAAGUUGCUGGCUUGAGGGCUAGCUUGAAUACACUGAUGUCUGAAAUACAACGCUUAAAUAAAUUAUGUGCGGAAAGGAAAGAAGCUGAAGAUUCUUUGAAAAAGAAGUGGAAGAAGAUUGAAGAAUUUGAUUACCGCAGAUCAGAACUUGAAAUCAUAUAUACCACAUUACUAAAAGUUAACAUGGUAAGGAUCUCAGCUUCAAUAGUGCUUAUAAAUUUACUAGUCACUUCAUAUACUGGCAUUGUAUAAGCCAUGUCUGGUCAUUCCAUGAAGUGUCGGCUCCUUUUCUUUAAGUUCCAGGCAAAAGUUCAUAUAUAUAAUAUAAAAUUCAAGACAAAUUUUCUAGCAGCCCAACGAGUAGAUGGACUCUUUUUUUUUUUUAAAUGAAAUCCACGGUCUCCUCUUUAGAUGCCCAAAGACCCUAUUUAUGGUUAUAGGUCUGGGGUUAACUCACCAGGAGACUUCAAUUUCCCUGGAACUUAUGCAAAUGAUAUCACCAAUUGCAUAGUUUUCAUUUGUUAUUCGUAUCAUAUGGUAGAAUAUUUCAAUAGAGGCAGCUAGGAUAAUGCUUAUCCAUCUCUUUGUCUUCUGUCGGGAAUAUUUUCUAAUGUUAUUUUUGUCUUGGUACAUGGUAGGAUGCUGCUGCCUUCUGGAAUCAGCAGCCAUUAGCCGCACGGGAGUAUGCAUCAAGCACAAUUAUUCCUGCAUGCACAGUAGUCAUGGAUCUUUCAAAUAGUGAAAAACAUCUUAUUGAAAGAGAAGUUUCUGCUUUUGACCAAAGUCCUGAUAAUAGCCUCUACAUGAUUCCAGCAAUUCCACAGGUUUGUGUUGGGGCUUAAAAAGACUUCACUACUUUGGAGAUGUUUAUCUCAUAAAGAAGAAUGUAACGCAGCGGAAUUGAUAGCCAAGAAAAAAGAAAGAACACUCAGAGUAUUACACAAAAUUUUUAUUCUCACACAAACUUAGUACAAGAGGAAACACUCAAACACUCUUACACUUCUUCACUCUUUUUCUCGCUUCUUGCUUUCUUACUGACUCUCACUUCUUCUUGCUUCUUUGUUACACAACACCACACACCUAUUUAAAGGUGGUGUUCCCCGACUAUCCUUGUUACCACCGACUUGAGCAUUGCAGCAAUGACCACAUGAUUUGCCGCCUCUAGAUCUUUCUUUAACUUGGAUAUUUUAGGUGAUAACCAUUUGAAAUUGCUGAAAUUUUCCAGCUAUAUUAUCGACAUAGAUUGCUAGCAUUUGCACACAUUUGCUUUGGGUUAGAUCACUUGUCUUGGGCCAAAGACAAGAUUACCUUUUAACAUCCUCCCUUAAUCUUGUCUUGUGACGCCGAUUGAGUUCCUCAGUCUAACAAAGUCUUCUUGUUUGAGUGGCUUGAUGAAUAUGUCAGCGACUUGGUCUUGAGACUUCACGGAUUCCACUUGCACAUCCUUUCUUGCAAUGCACUCUCUUAUGUAGUGAUAACGAGUAUCUAUGUGCUUGCUCCUGUCAUGGAACACCAGAUUCUUUGCUAGAGCUAUUACAGACUUGUUGUCGACAUUGAUCUCUGUUGGCUCUUCUUGUGGCCUGCUUAAUUCUUUCAGCACGUUUCUCAGCCAAAUUGCAUGACAGAUACAUGCGGUAGCAGCUAUAUAUUCAACUUCACAGGCAGACAGUGUGACAAUUGGUUGCUUCUUCAACAUCCAUGUGAAUGCAGUGUCUCCCAUGAAGAACACAAAUCCAGUAAUGUUUUUUCUAUCGUCGGAAUCUCCUGCCGAAUCACUGUCGCUAUAUCCAACAAGCUUGUAGUUAUUAGAGCUUGAAUAGAACAAGCCAAAGUUAAUAGUACCUUUAAGGUAUCAAAGAAUUCUUUUGGCGGUCUUCAAAUGUGUACUUAUGGGAUUCUCCAUGUAUCGACUAACUAAUCUGACGACAUAGAGAAUAUCUGGUCUUGUGCAAGCCAAUAGUGCAAGCUUCUAACUAGACUUUUGAAAAAUGUUGGAUCUACGCUUUCUCCUUUGUCAUGCUUGGUUAGUUUGACUCCGCACUUCAUUGGCGUGCUUAUGGGCUUGCAGUCUUCCAUUUUGAACUUUUUCAAUACCUCAUUUUGUAGCUUUCUUGGGAGAUGAAAAUGCCUUCUUCGUUUUGCUUAACUUCAAUGCCUAGGUAGUAUGUCAUCAGCCCGAUGUCGGUUAUCUCGAAUUCUUUGGUCAUCACUCUCUUGAACUCUUCAAACAUACUUGGAUUACUCACGGUGAAGAUUAGAUCAUCCACAUAUAAGCACACAAUCAAAAUGUCUCCAUCUUUGACUUUGAGAGCAUGUUCAUGAGGGCACUUGAUGAAGUUGUUCUCCUGAAAGUACUUGUCGAUGUGACUAUUCCAUGCUCGUGGCAUUUAUUUUAACCCAUAGAGGACUUUCUUCAACUUCAGAACUUUGUCUUCAUGCCCUUUGAUUUCAUAACCUGAUGGUUGCUGAAUGUAGACUUCUUCUUCAAGGACUCCAUUUAGGAAAGCGGACUUCACAACCAUUUGUUGAAUCUUCCAUUUGUUUUGAGCUGCCAAAGAAAUUAGUAAUUGUAUCGUUUCCUAAUGAGCAACGGGUGUAAAUACUUCAUUAUAAUCGAUUCUGGCUGUUUGACUAUAACAUUUCGCCACUAGUCUCGCCUUGUGUCUUUCGACCUCUCCAUUGGCAUUUUUCUUUGUUUUGUACACCCACUUGACUCCGAUGGCUUUAUGUCAUUUCGGAAGAAUAGUGAGUUCCCAUGUAUCAUUUUUUUGAAUUGCUUUGAUUUCUUCAUCCAUUGCUUUCCUCCAUUUAGUAUCCUGCACUGCUUCUUAGAAGUUGACUAGUUCACAAUCAGCAAAGAGACAGAAAAAUGUAGGAUUAUCAAGUCUUUUAGCCACCUCAUAGAGAUCUUGUAGACUUCUUGUGUGUGGUACUUCUGUUUCAUUUAGACUCCCACUUGACGAUGCUGAUGCUGGUAAAUUGCCAUGAUUGGUUGAUGUUGGUGAAGCAGGUAGAGUAGUGGAUUCUUGUUGAUCUUCUCUUGCUUGCUCCAUUAUUGUUUGUUCAUUAUCUUCUUCAAAUUGAGGAAAGAAGUGAAGAUCACCUGCAUGCAAGCCAAAAUCCCAUUCUCUUUCUUUAUUGAACGUCACUUCUCGACUAAUCACCGUCUUCCCAUUGUUCGAAGUAUACAGUUUAUAGCCUUUUGAAUUUGUGUCAUAGUUGAUGAAGAUGAACUUCUCACUUUUGUCGUCAAGUUUGGUGCUCCUCUUGUCUGGUACAUGUACAUGGGCUAUGCUUCCAAAAACUGUUAGAUGAAAGAUACCUGGCUUUCUUCCACUCCAUGCUUCUUGCGGAGUCCUUCCCUACACACUCUUUGUUGGAGACCGAUUGGAUAGGUAGACAACAUAUGUUACAGCUUCUGCCCACAAUUCCUUAGGCAAUCUCUAGCUUUUGAGCGUGCUUCGAGCCAUGUCGAGGGAUAGUUCGAUCUUUUCUUUCCGCCACACUAUUUUGUUGAGGGGAUCUUGGAACUAUCAAAGGUCAACGAAUUCCAUUUGCUUCACAAAACUCUUGAAAUUCAUUCGAAGUGAAUUCUCCUUCUCGAUCAGAUCUCAUGGCUUUGAUCUUGCAACCACUCUACUUUUCUACAACGGCUUUGAACUUCUUGAAUGCUCCAAAGACUUCUGAUUUCUGCUUCAAGAAAUACACCCAGGUUUUCCUUGAAAAAUCAUCAAUGAAGAGAAGGAAAUAAUUAUUUUUAGCCCAUGGAACACAAAAUUAUAACUUUUUGGACAACAAUACCCUUCUCUUUUUCAUUAAUUUCACUUCGAAAAUUAAACAAAAUUAAUCAAAAUUCCAGAGAUCUCUCAAUUUCUGCACAAUUAGCAUAAAAUAUUCAUUAAAAAUCAAAAUUUACCUCAACAAAUCAACUCAAAAACUAAGUUCUCUUGUUUUUCCAGGAAAUCAAGCUUAUUUGAUCGCACUUCAAAUUUUUUGGGAAACUGAGUGACAAAAACCCAACAAAAAGAAAUUUUCUCUAUGUUUGAUUUCUAUAUUCAAAGAAGAAAAACAGCAAAAUGAAGAAAAUCCAGAUCAGAUAAAGCAUUCUUGAGAAAGCCAAAGAGAGGAAAUUUUCUGGGGAAACAAACAUGAAGAACAGAAGGGUACCGGGGAAAGCCGAUGAAAGGAAGUGGCUGAUGCCGUCGCUCGAGGGAUGGGACAGCGAGGAUUAGGUGGAAGAUGUGAGGGAUGACGUUGAACUCGUAGGCGGUGGCUCAGGUAAGGUCGAACUCGUCGGAGUGGAUGGGUACGAUUGUCAUUUAAUCUUUCGUUCCAUUUCAGCUUGAACAUACACCAAAUGUAGCAUGGAACCUCCGUUCCGUCCUGUUUCGUCCAGUCUGUGUACUAAACGGUACCUUAUUGAAUGAAAGGAAAAGGCUUCUGCUUGGCUUAAUACCACUUUAGUCCAAUUGUCUUCUUGUUCUAGAAAUUGACAACUCUAUGUGAUGAAAAAACAUCUCAUGCUUAUUGUACGGAUGAAAAGUGCUGCUUUACACUAUUACAUUUAAAGUGAUUAGAAAUUCCGUGAAAAUUUAUAUUAUCUCAUUGCAUUGAUGAACGGGUGAGAUAUAGAGAAACAAAAUUUUAUACUUUCAUCUACUACAUUGAUGCUUAGGCGCACCGAAAGUCACCCAAAACCCUAAAAUUCUCCUCAUGAAUUAUGUGUCUAAUAUUUUUCAGAAGUUGUUAUCAGCACUUGCAAACAGUUUUUUAUGCAUGUCGGUCUGGAAGUUAUCUAUGAGGGGUCAUGAUAAUUAUUUUAAAAUGUUAGUAACAGUUAUCUUUUCUUAUUCUCGGUAGGCGGCUACCUCCCCCACACAGCAGCCCUAAACUCGCCCGUGAUGAGAAGACAUGACAUGUCUUUUGCGAAUGACAGGGAAUUGGACAAAACCAUCCCAUCUUUGUUUCAAUAAUUAUUAUGAAUUAUCGUAUACCGAUUAAUCUGUAAGCAGAUGAGAUAGCUACUCAUUUUCACCAUAAAAGGAAAACAUUUCAUCACAAGAUUGCAGUGCGGACAGAGAGGGUUGUGGUUGUCGUAGAUAAACCUAGGUUUCGUCACAAAACAGGAAAUUGAAUUAAGAACAAAACAAACAGAUUGUGGGUAGGAAAAGACAGAUUUUUUAGUGUGUUGAGAACACUGUUUGGUACACCAAGUAUAAUAAUACAAUUGGUUGGAAACUUGUUAAAAAAAAAAAUUUCCAACUAUUUAUAUCAUAUGGUGUAUUAGACCGUGUUCCCGAUAUCAACGAGAUUUGGAUGUCAUGCAUACAAAUAAAGCCCCUUAUUACUGUCACAUUAUUAUGUCUUGAUAAGAUCUUUAUUUAUUCCCUGCAAGUACCAUAUGAGAAAUGCUAAAGAGACUCUCUAUGGAUUCUCUGUUUGUCACUUCAUGUUUUUGACAUAAUAUUUUAUAAUGUUAGCACCAUAAUUGACUGUAAACUGUAAGGUAAUAUAGAGUAUAUGAAGAGUUCCACUUUAAGAGUGUCUCCUUAGCAUUUCUCAUACCAUAUUCUGACACCAUAGAAAGUAGCCAUUUUUUAUUGUAAGUUUUAGUUUUCACACGUAUUUAUGUUAUGCGAGACAACCGCAAAUAAAUCUUUUUGUAUAUACAACUUUUAUCAAGUUUAAGAGUUAUAAUUAAGAUAUUCCCGGUUGUAUAUAUUUAUAUGUUUUUAGUCAGUAUAAUUGGAGCUCAUCAUUAGUGUGUACGUGAUAGAUAUCCUCGGUUACACGGCAGAAUCUCACAGGAAUGUCAUAGCCAAUAAACUAGGCUCCUAUGCAUCAAUUUUUUAUGUGUGAAGAGAAAACACGAAUAAAUACAUGCAACAAUCUAUUGUUGCUGAUUGUGUACAACUUCAGACUCAUGAAAUUUGUAGCCACUCUACAUAUCUCGUGUGUAAAGUGGUACAUCAAAUGUGUCGAACUUGAUACAUCAAGUGUCAUAAUGCAAUUAAUUAAAAAACAAGAUUUCAAAUCUUUAUUUUCAAGUUUCACAUCUAACAGGGACCCAAUUAUUCUCUUUGGGACUUUUACAGCAACAAAGAAACAACCUCAAUCUACUUGCCCACCAUCCCAUACCUUUUUUUUUUCUUGUCUGGUUUGGUGGUAGGGAAUGAAACUUAUCUACGUUCACUUCUUCUGGUUUGCAGUUGACUGGUUUUUCCAUUAGUGUAAAAACGAAGCUUCAUGGACUGAUGCAGUACAUGGGGAACAAAUAUAUUUAAGGUUUUAGUGACUUCUUAUCUCUUAAAAGCCUUUGUGACCUUUCUUUUAAUUGAAUUGCCUAGUAACUAUCCUACUCUUAAAUAUUUAGUAUACCAAUGUUUGUAAUUUCCCUAUUUAAAGGGCUCCAUAUGUAUCCUUAAAGUGGUGAAAUUAGUGAAUUAAAGUUAAUCUAAGAAGAGAGUGGGCUUUCUCCUCAAAAUCAAGUGUGAGAUUUGGUUGUGUCGAGUGAAUCCACGAUUAGUGACGUGAGUGAAUCCGUUGCCCCUGGUCGAGUGAUUCCCAGGUUCUAUCCCUGUAGAGACGUGAGUGAUUCCGUCCCCCCUAGUUGAGCGAUUCCCAGGUUACUACCCCUUGUCUUUUCGAGACCCAUGGUUUUUUCUGCAUCAAGUGGCAUCAAAUAGAGAUGGCAAUUCAAACCGUUAAACUCGAUAACCGUGUAUAACCGCCUGAGAGAGGAUUUGGGUAUGAAAAUUUGGGUAUAUUAUGGAAAUGGGGAAAAAACGUGAACUUUAAUCGGUUAUGGUUUUGUAUAUGAUUAUAAGGGUCCCCAAUCCAUAUCCGUCCCCAAAUCCGAAUCCGAACCGAAUAAUAUAUAAUAUUAUUUGGUUUAUGUAAUAUAUAUAUAUAUAUAUUGUAUUUGAGUGAAGCUAUACCAUCAUUACCAUAUUCAUUAUUCGCUGCAUAAUGUAUUUAGUAUAUUAUUCGCCGCAUAAUGUAUUACAAAAUUCAUUUAUUGUUAUUGUGGAGCCAAAAAUAAUCAUAGGGCAACACAUGGAUUUUGGUAAAAAGGACAAAGUUACUCCUGAGACACACCGGUUCUCCUACGCCUGAGCAGUGGACAGUCAUUCUUUAAUCAAGCCAAGAGUGUCCAAAAAAGGUAACCAAUUCCAAAUUAUCUCAUCCAUCCUCAUCUUAGGUAAUUACUUCAUAACCUACAAAUUAUUCCAUAUACAUAGAGAUUAAUUGGCUAAUUAAUGGAUUAAUUCCUAAUUAAUCCAUUAAUCACCAAUUAAAUCACCCAUUUUCACACCUAAAACCUCUAAGGCCCGGCCACCUCCAUUCCCUAUAUAUAUGACCCUAUUUUUUCUAAAAAAAGGGUUCCACACUCUUGCAAAACUCCCAAAAACUCUCCAAAAACUUUUAUCUCUAAAUUCUAACUUUGGCAUCGGAGGUUCUUCGGCCAAAGCCUCCCAUUCAUUGUGGGCGGGUGAGGCUCUUGGCCUUGACCUAAGGUGUUAAUUGUUUUGUAGGUUCAAUUUUGUCAGGUGCAAUUUUGUCCAAGAAGAAGAAGGCGGAAAUUUGCAUUCAUAAAUUGGUGUUUUCAUUGAGAGAUGAGUACCACACUCGUAGAAGACUCUCGCAUCCAAGGUUUUCUAUUUUCUUGUCCAUUUGUAGAUUUUUCGUACGUUCUUAUUAUUAGAAUUUUUUAUUUGCAAAAAUUCUUUGAUAAAACGUAAAAGAGAAGUACAAUGGCUAGAAAUUUAAAAAAUUCAACAAAUGAAAAUUUCAACAUUUAAGAGAUGGGACCACGGCGAUUCACGAGGCUAAAUGUGACAAUAAGUGGAGCAGCACCACAACCACAAGUUUCCUCCAUGGGAACCACCGUGGUGGCUGCCUCGGUAGCCACUCGCGGUGAGGUCCAUGGCACCAUUACCGCGGCGAGGUCUAUGGCACCAUUACCACGGCCUGAGUCGUGCCAUUAAAGCAAUCCCAAUACAUGUCACUUCAAGCCCAAUGUGUUGCCAAGCCGAGCCCUAGCCUCGCACCCACAUACGCCACACGCCGAGCAGCCUACUCACGUGGCCCAGCCUGCCCCCAUGGCCGAGCCUGCUCCCGCCGAGUAGCCUACUCCUGUGGCACAACAUGCUCUAUCUAAGCAGCCCAUUCUCGUGGCACAGCCUGCUCCCUUUGAGCAUCUCAUUCUCGUGGCCCAACCUGCUCUCGCAGCUCUGCUUGCUCCCAUAACCCUGCCUGCUCCCAUGAUUUCCCAAGCAGCCCAAGUCGGCUCGAGAAUAUCUCGACCAUCCAGAGCAACCAUCAAGCCGGGGGCAUUUUUACCAUAUUUCUCCACAGAUUUGACAUUUCCCAACUCAAAUCUCAUGCCUAGAGUGUUCCAUACUUCCACUGCUUAAUGAGGCACAUUCUUUCUAAGCUCUUCCAAUCUAAAUGGCGAACAACACUUGUCUCGACAAGUCAUAAAGUUGACGAGCUCCCUUGCACAACAGACGACCUUGAUGAAUCAACUUUUGCAAUGCACCGAGAUCUAACGUGCCUUGGACAAGGUAUCCCUAAGUAGGACAAGGGUAGACGAAUCUUUCCAGCAGCAUCCCGGUAAGCAGCUACUCGACCAGCCACGAGCCGAGCGUUCGGGUAGUGUACAUUUCUGAUUAGGCCCCCAAGAUAGCAUAUACUUCCAUCUUAUAGCACGGAGGAGCGUGCACUCUCGACUAGGCCUGAGGAUAAGUAUACACUCACGAUUGGGGCUACACUUAGAUAAUCAACAUGAGCAGCCUUCCAGGCAAUGCAUUCAUUCGCAGCUAGGCCCGUAAAGAAUAUCAUCCACAUCAUAUCGGAGCAGACAACACAGCAGACGGAAAGAAGCAGUCACUCAAUCCGGCUCAAGUUCAACCAGUAGCCUGUGAGUUACACACUCGCCUGCUAGGAAUAUACCACACCCACCGUAGCCGCGGCAUAGACAAGCCGAACAUAUGGAAGAACAGCUUAGACUAUCACAUCACGAUCAGGGGCAAUCAAGAGCUCUGCCACCCCAACAAAGGAAAAUUCAGGAAGAAGUAGAAAGGCUCCUGACCAAGCGAUUGCGCAAUUUCUCGCGCCAACCAAAGCCUCAAAAGGGCACAAGAUGAAACACCUAAUGAUGGCGCAAUAAUUCAGAGAGCAGCUCAUUGCGUUUACACCUUAACGUGGGUUCCACAAACAGUUCACCAAACAAGACCUCGCAGUCUGAAGAUUAUUUCAGUUGUCUAGCAGUCCAGCUUUCCUCAGCUGCACUCACGACAACGACUUCCAUGAUUUCCAGUGCGAAAGGAUAAACUAAUUGCUCUCCAGUGCGAGAGGGUAAACCAAUUCCCCGACACCCAUAUGGGUUUGCUCUCCAAUGCAAGAAGAUAAACUAAUUGCUCUCCAGUGCGAGAAGGUAAACCAAUUCCUUGACACUCGUAUGGGUUUGCUCUCCAGUGCGAGAGGAUAAACUAAUUGCUCUCCAGUGUGAGAGGGUAAACCAAUUCCUUGACAUUCAUAUAUGUUUGCUUUCCUGUGCGAGAGGAUAAACUAAUUGCUCUCCAGUGCAAGAGGGUAAACUAAUUGCUCUCUAAUGCGAUAGGGUAAACUAAAUCCCUGACAGCCAUUUGGGUAAGCUCUCCAGUGCGAGAAGGCUGCAUAGUUUAAAAGAUCAAAUGCUUGAAGAUCAACUAAGCAACAAAUGGUUAGGGGGCAGCAGCCACUUUUACACUUAAUAGUUCGCUCAUCCGACACUUCAUUUUCAGAAACUCUGAUCUUGGCAGCUUUAUCCUUGACUGCUCCAUCUAUGGCAGUUGAAAAAUCAAACUUAAGCAGUUUCCUCAUAUUUAGCAGGCAGCCCAAACAAUUGCCUAUUCCACGCCACUUCCUCGGCCCAUGUCGAACCAAUCAUUGGCUUCAAUCCAGCCGAGUUGCUCAAGCAAUGGCCCCUGCCACAUCACCUCCUUGGCUCAUGCUAAGCCGACUCUUGGCCCCUGCCAGCUGAUGUGUCGUACCACCCUGAUUACUGCCCUGUGGCAGCACCACCCAAGAAGAAGACAAGAAGAAAUUAAGUUUUUAUUACAUUGGUGCGGCAUAGAGAAGACGAAGAAAGCAACAAAAGACGGUCAUUUGCAUGGGCAAGAUGUAGAAGAUUGCUAAAUGAGGGGGAACAAAUAUCCUCUAAACUCUCUCUCUCUCUUGUAAGGUAGAAUAAAUCACUCUCCAAAGUUGAUUUAAUAACCCACUUAAGGUGGACUUAAAUAGGUUUUGAGAGAAAUUUAUUUCCCUUUCCUAGAAUGAUCUAAUUUCAUAUUAAAGAGGGAUUCUACAUCAAAACAGGAAGCGGUUCUAAGUUUCCUAGAGCAAAAAGAUCUUUACACCUGCUGCCCUUUCUUACGAGUAGCCCAACAGGUGUGGGGGCAUUUGUGGAGCAAAAAAUUAUCACAAGGCAACACGUGGAUUUUUGGUAAAAAGGACAAAGUUACCCCUGAGACACACCGGUUAUCCUACGCGCAAGCAGUGGACAAUCAUUCUUUAAUCAAGCCAAGAGUGUCCAAAAAGGGUAACCAAUUCCAAAUUAUCUCAUCCAUCCUCAUCAUAGGUAAUUACUUCAUAACCUACAAAUUAUUCCAUAUAAAUGGAGAUUAAUUGGCUAAUUAAUGGAUUAAUUCCUAAUUAAUCCAUUAAUCACCAAUUAAAUCACCCAUUUUCACACAAAAAACCUUUAAGGGCCGGCCACCACCAUUCCCUAUAUAUAUGACCCUAUUUUUUUUCUAAAAAAGGGGUUCCACACUCUUGCAAAACUCCCAAAAACUCUCCAAAUACUUUUCUCUCUAAAUUCUAACUUUGGUAUCGGAGGUUCUUCGGCCAAAGCCCCCCCCAUUCAUCGUGGGCGUGUGAGGCCCUUGGCCUUGACCUAAGGUGUUAAUUGUUUUGUAGGUGCAAUUUUGUCCAAUAAGAAAAAGGUGGAAAUUUGCAUCCACAUUUAUGUUUUAUUUAUUUAUUAUUAAACGUGGCUAUUUAAUGACAAAAUUAGUAUUCACUAAAUUAUUGUGCGCCAAUUGGAUGAAUAUAAUUUUUUGUUGUUGACGAAGAUGGAUAUAACCAUUAAUUGAUAGGAAAUCCGUUACCCGGUGGGUAUGGUUAUGGAUAAUUCCCGAUAGUUAUUUUGCAGUUAUGGAUAUGGUUAAUUAUCAUGGUUAUGGAAUAGAUAUAAGAUUUCCGUCCCCAAAUUGAACCGUUGCCAUCCCUAGCAUCAGUGCAGGUUUUCUGCUAUGGAGUUAAAAGGAAAAAAAAAAUCAUGUUGUUGAUUCUACACUUCUCUUCAAAUUUCAGUUCUCUUUGUCCUAAUCACCCAAAAGGUUACCUAUAAUUGGAAAGGUCUGCGAGUCCACUUUCUAACAGAACAGACAGUGCCUCAAUCAAAAUUUUUUUUGCAGCAAUUUGCUAGCAAAUAGUGUAAGGUGUAUGUUUUGUGCAAAAUCUGCAAGGCGCAGUUUCGUUUUCAACGAAGAGAUAUACCAGCAUCUUGUUCCAAUGAAUAAUAAUCAGGUAUAUGAAAACCACUCUAGUAUGAUAUUUAUCGAGGAAGAUCUGUUUUAUUCACAAAGAAUUGAUUGGAAUUUACCUCCACUAUAUGAUGAGUAUUCGGAGGAUGGUGUUUUGAUGAUUCCUAUCCAAACAGGUGCUAACGUUGAAGUGAAUGUUGAAGAACAUGCUUUGAUAGAUAUUUGCAGCUUGGAAAGUUCAGAAUAUGAAGGAUUUGGAUUUUUUCAAGAUGAGAAGAUUGAUAGUCCAAUGUUAAGUUCAUCAAUAAGCUACGGGCAUGUAAAAUUGUGGUCACGGCCAAGUGAUGAAGGAGCUGUUCAAAUUUGCUUUUUAAUUCUCCAGCACAUUGUUAAAGAUCAAGUUUUGGGGACAUUACAACCGAUGGCAUAUCGUUGGGAAGGUCGAAAACCUAAAUUCAAAUUAAGAUUAAAAAGAUACAAACUCGAGGACGAGUUUUUUUCGAGAAGAGUAGAAUCAUGCAGUGCAUGGGGAACAAAUAUAUUUAAGGCUUUAGUGACUUGUCAUCUCUCAAAACCUUUGUGACCUUAUCUUUUGAUUGAAUUGCCUAGUAACUAUCCUACUAUUAAAUAUUUUGUAUACCAAUGCUUUGUAAUUUCCCUAUUUAAAGGGCUCCAAAUGUAUCUUUAAGGUAGUCAAUUAGUGAAUUAAAAAUAAUCCAAGAAGAGAGAGAGUUUUCUCCUUCCUUAAAAUCCAGUGUGAGACUUGGUCGUAUCGAGAAGAAGAAAAUGAUGCAAUGCAUGGAGAACAAACACAUUUAAGGCUUCGUGGUUUCUCAUCUUCCAAAACUUUCUGUCACCUUCUCUUUUAUGAGUUGCCUGCCUAGUAACGAUCCUAUUAUUAAAUAUUUAAUCUACCAAUGCUUUGUAAUCUCCCUAUUUAAGGGCUCCAAAUGUAUCUUUAAGGUAGUCAAUUAGUGAAUUAAAACUAAUCCAAGAAGAGAGUGAGUUUUCUCAUUCCUUAAAAUCAAGUGUGAGACUUGGUCGUGUCGAGUGAAUCCACGGUUAGCGACAUGAGUAAUUAUGUUGCCCCUAGUCGAGUGAUUCCCAGGUUCUACCCAUAGAGAAGUCGAGUGAAUCCAUUGCCAUUGGUUAAGUGAUUUCCAGUUACCCCUUGUCUUUUCGAGACCCUUGGUCUUUUCUACGUCAAGUGGCAUCAUAGUAGGUUUUUCGCUGCAGUUAAAGAUCAUGGCUAUGAUUAUCAAUCCGUUUCAAGAUCACAUCGUUGAAGAGAUUAGUUUUGUCAAUUGAAAUUCUCCGCCAAUUUAUGACAAAUAUGUUGAUGACGAUGAGUUUACUGUUGAUGUGGCUCAUCAAGGAGUUUAUCUGCUGCUAGGAGAUGAAGGCUUUGUGGAUUGGGGUUAUCCACAUAAUAUGAGUACAAUGGCGGAAACAUUUUACAUGUAGCUUCAUAAAGAGGAACUAAGGUGUACUUGCUUUGGAAUAACAUGGAAGCGGAGUUCAAAGGAAUAUUUUGUGUGACAGAACAACUUGGACUGCUCUGGAUUUGCUUUUGCUAUUGUGGCUGUUGUGGAAAAAAAUUGAAAGGUAUCCAAAAGAUCGAGGAAAACAAAAUCAAAGGAAACUCGAGGACGAGUUUUUGUUCGAGAAGAGGAAAAUGAUGCAGUGCAUGGAGAACAAAUAUAUUUAAGGUUUUCGUGGCUUCUCAUCUCCCAAAACCUUUGUGACCCUCCCUUUUAAUUGAAUUGCCUAAGUAACUAUCCUACUCUUAAAUAUUUAGUAUACCAAUGCUUUGUAAUUUCCCUAUUUAAAGGGCUCCAUAUGUAUCCUUAAAGUAGUGAAAUUAGUGAAUUAAAGUUAAUCUAAGAAGAGAGUGAGUUUUUUCCUCCUUAAAAUCAAGUGUGAGACUUGGUUGUGUCGGAUGAAUACACGAUGAACGACGUGAGUGAAUUCGUUGCCCCUAGUCGAGUGAUUCCCAAGUUUUAUUCCCAUAGAGACGUAAGUGAUUCCGUCCCCUCUGGAUGAAUGAUUCUCAGAUUACUACCCCUUUAUCUUUUCGAGACCCUUGGUCUUUUUGCAUCAUGGACCCCAAGUUAUAAUAUUCCUAAAAUAGUCAUUCCAAUUUGUCUUGUCAAUCACAAUUAAUUUGUUGAGCUAAUUUUGUUGUGUACGUGUAAAAUAAGCCAAUCAGUGUCCUUUUUAUAUCUAAAAAAUUGUAUAAUCCUACAGAGAAUAUUUAUAUUAGGCCUCAGCAAUUGAUAUAAAAGGCAACCUGUAUGAACACAUUCUUAGAGUCAAUAAUAGCAGAGCUUCUUAGAGGGGAAAGUAGAUAGGUUGUAAAACAAUGUCCUGGUUUCUUACAGUCAUCUUUCUGGUCACUACUCUUACAUUUCAUACUCCUUCAGAGGCUAUCUAUGAGGAGAUUCCAGCCUUCUGCAGUAGUUGUGGGAACUGUCUACUGUGACACAUGUUUCCAAGAGGAUUUCUCAAAUACCAGCCAUUUCAUUUCAGGUAAAUUCAUCUCAAAUUUUCAACAAGUUCUUCAUCAAGUUUUAUUUUUCUAUUGUAGCCAGUUCAAUAAUUUCCAUACACCCCUUCUCUUCUUCUAUACACACUCAUGUUUAUAUUUUAAUCAUUAAAUUUGAAUAAAUCAGAGAAAAAUUAAAAGAAGGAAAUAAACAAAAGUGUACAAAUGGAGAAAAUGUAAAAUCUAAAUUGACUGAAAACCUUUAUACAGGUAUUUCCUACGAGUCAACCAUACAACUACGAAAAAUUAAUUAACACAAAUCAACAGCAAAAAAAAUCUCACUUAAACUAAUUCCUUGACGGUAGGAUUCUGCUUUCAAUCACGAUUUCUUUCCAACAGACAACAAAACGUUGGAAGUUAUGUCAUCGUAACUUGUCAUUUUAUUGUCAGUCAACAAAACUUCCUGACAUGAUAUGGAUGCAUUAUCCAUCAAUAAUCUUGUGGGGGUUUUUGUGCAGGGGCUUCUGUUGGUGUGGAAUGCAAAGAUGGGACUUUAACAAAACAAAGUUUCAACGCACAAGUGAAAACAAACAGCCAUGGGCAGUUCAAAGUCCAUCUGCCCUUCUCAGUGAGCAAAGAUGUCAAGAAAAUUGAAGGAUGCUCCGUGAAACUAAUCCGCAGCAGUGAACCCUACUGUGCUGUGGCCUCAUCAGCCACCUCAUCUUCCCUACACCUCAAGGCAACAAAACAAGGGACUUACAUAUUCUCUGCUGGUUUCUUCACCUUCAAGCCUCUCAAGCAACCCAGCUUAUGCAACCAGAAACCCAACAUUCAGAAUUCCAAGAAAUUAAAUUCCCAGAAGUUCUCAGAGAUGGCAUUCCCAUCCUCCUCUCAGGUGGACCCCAAAAUGCCUGAUCCCUCUCUCAACCAAUCUGAUCUCCUAGGUCUCCCAGGUCUCCCAGGUCUCCCAGGUCUCCCAGGACUCCCAGGUCUCCCAGGUCUCCCAGGACUCCCAGGACUCCCAGGACUCCCAGGUCUCCCAGGCCUCCCAGGACUUCCAGGCCUGCCCCUUGCUGCUGAAAAAACUUCAUCCAAGUCCUCCAACUCCAAAACUUCAAGGAAUGGGCAACUAGGUGAUAAUAAAGAAGUCAGCCCAUCCAGAUUCUCCACCAGCAGGUUCAGCACCAUGAUUCCCAACCUACCACCUAUCCUGAUUUCUGUUGGGUUCCUAUCCUAUUGGGCGUAACCCGUUUAAGUAGAAUAAGCCCAUUUAGGUCUUCUGAGUUGUGGUUUCCUGAAGUUCUAUGUAUUUAGGUCUCUUCCUUCUCUUUCGAGAAUUAUGUGAAAUAUUGAAUGUUUAAGUUUUAUCUGCUUUUCCCAUUUUCUCUCUACUUUUCCCUCUUUCUUCUCUAACGAGAAUGUGUCGUUCAUAGACAGCUACAAGUACGGUAAUAUAAUACGAUUCAAUUAUUAGUUAAAUACAAUGAUUAUAUCGUUGAAACUUAAAAUUUCAAGAUAAGAGAUUCAAAGAUAAUAUAAUAUAUAUAUAUAUAUAUAUAUAUAUAUAUAUAUAUAUAAUAUUAUAUAUAUCAAUUAUUGUUGAAUCUUACCCAAGGAUGAAAAAGGGUAUGGGUAUUCUUUGCAGGGGUGGAAAAACAGAAGUGGGUCGGCCAUGCUUUUACUAUGUGGGCCCCUUAGAGAAAACCUGCUAAAAAUGAACCGUUUCAACAGAAGGAGGCAAAUAGCUGUACGGAACGACGACGUCCCUGAAUUAAGGUCAUCUUCUUCGAGUGCGGACGAGCCGUAUCACAUACCUUUCCUGUUUCCAUCGAGUUUGAUCUACUUCAACUUCUGUUUCGACAGAGUAGCAGGGUAAUGAUUUUGGGAAAAAAAUUUAAGGUUAGGGUUUUGGAGAAUAAUUUUGUGACUAGGGUUUUAGGGUUUUGGAUUGUUUUCACAAAAUCAUUCUCCACUGGUGAAAUAAAUCACCAUAAUAAUAGCAGUAGGCUAUGAUUUUAACUUAAUCAGUACCCAAAUGUAAAAUUUUAUGCUUAUUUCCGCAAAUACUAUUAACAAUUUAACAUGGAGUUUUAAUUUUUUAUGAAAUUUUUGUAGUUGAUUGGGUUUGUAUGAUGAAUAUUAGUGUUUUGAGCCACACUUGUUAGUCCAACUUCAAGCAAAUUUGCAAUCAGCAAGUCCAUUCUCUCUAGCUGCGACCUUCCUUGCAAAGGGAGGAAUCUUAACAGAGUCUUCAACCCUUCCCCAAAAGCUAUGAAUAAAGUCUUUAGCGACGACGGUCCAAUUAAGCACUCUAACUUUGGCCUUAUUGGUAUCGGAACGGGCCUCCCUGGAUCAGUGACAGCCGCCGCAGCUUCUACUGCCGUAAAAACUGUUCUUCACGUACCUUGACACUAACCACUUUUAUGGUGACUACUGCGCCUUUCUUCCCAUUGAUGAUUUGACUGUCUACCUAAAUUCUCAUGCUUCCCAACCCUCCGCCACUACUACCACCAAUUUCACCUCUACAAGUACAAGCCAUGAUGAUUGCAUCGCCUUACCCCUCACCCGCCAGUUGCUGUACGCCGAUACAGAGACCGUUACAUAUGCCCCUUAAGUCCUUGCACAAUAUAAUAGAAGCAAACCUCGGUCAAAUAAUAUAAACUUGAACUCCAUUUUGAGCAUUGUGAGAUAAGGGAAUGUGCUAGAAACUAUUAUGUUAAAUUCAUUCUUAUUAAACCUUUCAAAUAUGUGAUGUUUAUUAAUAAGCAUUUUAGGAAUAUCUAUGACUAUGUUUUUAGAUUGUUUGUACCAUACUUGACCAAUCCCGACACUACUAAGCACCGGUCAACGUUAUACCGUCAAGGACCUAGAAGAGUUUCCCUCCAACCAGGAGGCCAAUCACAGCGCGACACGUGUUGACAUCAGAAGCCAAUCAUAGCGCGACACGUGUCAACAUAAGAAGCCAAUCACAACACGACACGUGUUAAUGUCAGAAUGAAACUAGAAACUCUCUUCUAUAAAUAGAGAUCAUUCUCUCACAAUAUUUCCUAAUGUCAUUUGUACUAAAUCAUUCACUAGUACUCACUAAAGGAGAGCUUGAACCUAUGUACUUGUGUAAACCCUUCACAAUUAAUGAGAACUCAUCUACUCCGUGGACGUAGCCAAUCUGGGUGAACCACGUACAUCUUGUGUUUGCUUUCCUGUCUCUAUCCAUUUACAUACUUAUCCACACUAGUGACUGGAGCAAUCUAGCAAAGGCCACAAACUUAACACUUUCUGUUGUACCAAAGUCCUCACCGAUUUUGUGCAUCAACAUUUGGCGCCGUCUGUGGGAACGACACUUAUUCUCACUCUCUUCAGCUUUGUUAAGCUGGUUUCCACCAUUUGUACACUCUCUUUUGACCAGGCAUCCCUCUCCAACAUGGGGAGCGACGGAAGCCACAACACACAGAAUGACACCCUUCUUGCACCUAGUGUGAAGCAACGAAAGAAGGAAGGAAAGAGGGUUGCUUUUCAAGCUAAAGUCGAUGAGCUAGAAUCUUAAAACAACAAGAUAGCAAUGAAGAAUGAGGUCCUCCAAGAGCAGUAUGAGAAGCUCUUUAAGAUGCUCCACGAAACUAGGCGUACUCAAACACGCGAACUCGUUACCCCUGUGGACAUCAACCAUCAUCUGGAUACCUCCCAACAAGGAGGGUCACCUUCCUUCGACAUGGGUAUCCCUGAUGAGGAGCGAGCUAAUCAUCAAAACAUUGAUCAACAUGAGACUUCUUUCAACUCAGAUGCUUCGACCCGAAACAGGAGAAGUGGAGGAAGACACCUUUUUGCAGAAAGGUUGGAAGGAUCGAAAUCCAUUUAUCAUGACUGCCGAGACUUCCUAAAGCAACGUCAAGAGAAUCUCCUCCACAUAAGCUCGAAGAUCAAUGACCCAAGGGUUUCUGAAAGACUUGGUCCCCUCCCACGUCCCAGGCCGGCUACCAAUUUGGGGAAAGGGCAACAAGUCCUAGAGAAACACGAAGGUAUAGGGGGCUCAGAGAUGUUUCGACAGACAUACCUUGAAAGUCAGUACGGCGAGUCCAAGGAAAAAUCACAUGCUCUUGAUCAAACCUUCAUACUUCCAAGAGGAGAUGAACAUUUACGAAAGAAAGCUCAAGUGGUACAUGACUCCACUCAAGACCUUCUUGUCAUACAGCUUCUUAAGGAAGUAAACAAGUUGAAGGCCGAACGACAAGCUGAGAUACCUGAUUGGAACCAACCUAGGCCUGGCCCUCUUACAAGGAGGAUCCUCGACACCCCCUCCAAACAAAGACAAAGCAGAAGCUUGGCUUGCAACUCUAUACUGGAAAAGAGGACCCGAUUGAACACCUUAACCUCUUUGAGUCCACCAUGGCAUACCGGAUGCAUACCAACGAAGAGCGAUGUCUUCUCUUCCCCUCCACCCUCUCUGGCGGAGCUCUAAACUGGUAUUGUCGUCUUCCACCUGAGACGGUAGACUCAUUUGAGGAAUUGAGGAAACUGUUUGUUUCUCAACACAUUUUUCAGACUGAUCGCUUACAUUUUGCAGAUGACUUGUACACUAUUCGCCAGAAGCCGGACGAGUCACUACGAGAGUAUGCCAAUCGCUUUAGCCAUGAGUAUUCUCGAUGCGCUGAGGUAGAUGACAAGAUCGCCCUCAAGGUCUUCACGGCAAGCCUUCGUGAUUGUUUCUUCAAGUACAUGAUCAAUGCCAACACUUGGAAGACUUACUCUGAGGUGAUGGCAUAGGCUUACAACCAUGCAUCCGCCGAGGCAAGGACAUAUCAAGGGAAACCCCCCACAGCCACCCCUUAUCAGCAAGUAGGGAGUGGAAGCCAGAUCCAACCAAAUGAGAAGACCUCGACCUUCCAAACAGCAGCGGUGCCUCCCUCUGCCUUACUUAAUAUUUUGCCAAGUCAACAGACAUAUCAAUCUCAGGGCAAAAGGAAAGAUUUCUAUCCUCACCAGUCUCAUUUUAGUAAAAUGAGUAAGGGACACUACCGCGAUAACCAAGGGUAUCACCACGAUAAUCCCCGACCCCAGGCAGUCAACACAGUGGGUCAAGCACGUGUCCGGAUAGCCCAUACCCCGAGGUAUGAGGCAUACACACCUUUGAACGCCACAUGCGUGGCCAUUUACCCCAGCAUAGCACACCUGAUACCGAAGCCAAAGCCGAGGCACCUGGAUUACAAGUCCACGAAGAACACAGGCACAUUUUGUUGCUACCACGAGUAUAACGGCCAUGACGGUGAAAAGUGUAUCACCCUUCGAGAUCAUAUUGAAGCUUUGGCAUGUGAAGGAAAAAUUGAUCAAUUCCUCAUUCACUCUUCAAGGGGUAACCGUAACCAACCCCAGGUGAAUGUGAUAUAUUCCAUAAGUGGUGACACACCCAUAUCUAAAUCUUCCAACAGGGCCAUGAAAAAUAGUGAACGAGCUUUAAGGUAUGGCCACCAAGUGUUUCACGUGGAAGACAUUAGGGGAGGCAAGCAUCAAAAGCCUAACUGGGAUCUAAUAUGUUUCUACCUUGAGGAAGAAAGAGGUAUCAUCUACCCUCACCACGACCCAUUGAUCGUGGAAGCUCACAUAACCAACUUUAAAGUACGACGAAUCCUAGUAGACACGGGGGCUUCGGUCAAUAUCAUGUUUGCCGAAGUUUUCAGGGCACUUAAUGUAGCUGAACACUUGCUCGAUCGCUCGAUUUCCCUUCUGAUAAGCUUCUCCGGUGAUAUCGUGCAACCUUUAGGGAGCAUACACUUACCUUUCACCAUUGGUACAUACCUUUACACAUCUACCAUUACCACUAACUUCCUGGUGGUUGAUUGCCCAACGACAUACAAUGUCAUCUUGGGACGCACAUGCAUCAAUGAUCUCAAGGCCAUGGUAUCCAUAUAUAUGUUGUUGAUAAAAUUUCCAACCCACUAUGGCAAUGGUUACAUCAGAGGAGAUCAACUUAGUUCACGAUCAUGUUACAACACUUCGGUCAAGCAACAACACCUGCAUGUGCCCAAGGAAACCCUUUCUAUACAUGACCAAGUCAUAAAAACCAGCCCAGACGAAGCCAACUUGGAUCUUCACGGUGGCAACAGUCAACCCGAUGAUCCUCGAGAUGACUUUUUUACCCAGCAAGCACAACCCACUGAAGAGUUGGAGAAGGUCUCUAUAUUAAAAGAUUAUCCGGAUCGCAUGGUGAAGAUUGGCACCACCUUGUCACUACCCAUUCGGUUGGCAUUGAUCUCUUUUUUGCAAGAGAACACUGAGGUUUUCGCCUGGUCAUACGAGGACAUGCCAAGCGUCUCUCCCGAUAUCAUUUGUCAUCGCUUAAGUAUUGACCCCAAAACCAAGCCAGUGAGACAGAAGCGAAGAUCCUAUGACGUUGAAUUUGUAGGAGACAAUGAAGGCAGAAGUUGAAAAAGUCAAAGGCAUAGGCUUCGUCCGCGAAGUCAAUUAUCCAAUGUGGGUAGCAAAUGUUGUCCUUGUUAAGAAGAAUCCGACCAAGGAAAGUCUCCUACUCCAAAAGGUCUUGUGGAGAAUGUGUGUCGAUUACACCGACCUAAACAAAGGAUGCCCGAAUGAUAGCUUUCCUCUUCCUCUCAUAAAUAUACUUAUAGACUCUACAACAGGGUGUGAACUCCUGAGCUUCAUGGAUGCUUACUCAGGAUACAACCAAAUCCUUAUGAACCCUCUGAACCAAGAACACACAACCUUCACUACUGACAGGGGACUAUAUUCACUAGUACAAAAACAUGUUUGCGCGACGAAAACUUACGCGACGCAUAAAAUUACGUCGCGCAAAGCCGUUUUGCACGACGUAGGUGUACGUACGUCGCGCAAAACGUCUUUGCGCGACGUAAUUUUACGCGAUGCUGUCCUUCGUCGCGUAAACUUUUGGUGCCAAACCAAAAGAAUUUACCGUUUUUUCCCAACUUUGUGCGACGCAUGCCCACUUACGUCGCGCAAAGUUGUUUUGCGCGACGUAGGUGGGGAUGCGUCGCGCAAAGUCAACAACUUUUUUUCUUUUCAUUUGAUCAGUUUGGGAGGCAGAAACUGCAUACCUAGCUGCAGCAACUACCUCCAUUGCCCAUCUCUCUCUUCAAAACCGUCUACCAGAUCAGGUUUGAAGUUUGAAUUGAUAUCAAUUCUUUGUAUUUUUUCGAUUGCAAUCCUUCCCCUUUGCUCUUAAACAUGAUGUAAACUGAAUUAAUAAUAUGUAGAUCCUUCAUGUGAUUCAUUUACGAAAUUGAAAUUGCAAAAUCAAAGGAGAUAACUAUCUUGCUGAUUUUCUUUUUCUCUAUACACCAGAUCUCUUCUUUCUGUAGCGACUUAUUUGUUCGUACAUAAAAGCAGAGGUGAUAAAUUAGUUGGGGAAGACAAAUAGGCUUAUAUCCAGGUGAGGAGGACCCUGAGCACAGCUUAAGAAAUUACUAGGAAUAGCAUUGUGAGGCCUAAAUGUCAAUUGGCCAGGACUCCAUACAUGCGCAAUUUUGGUCUUUAGUAAAAACAUCUAAAUGAUGAUGGGUAUGUCCUUGAUGAAGUACCCGGUUAGCUGUUUUUACGAAGGACAAAAUACCGUAUAUGUAUGGAUUCAAACGCCACCAUCAAAUGGAUAAGAAAUUAGCGUCCAAUCCAUCGAAGCAAUUCAUGAUGUCUCCAACAUGUUGGAAGAUUUAAUUGGCAAUGGGAAGUUAGACCCAUUGAGAUGACGAAGAUGGUUUUCUCACGACGUUAAGAGUAGAAGUGUCAUCUUGAGCUCCUAAUCAAUUGUUAUAUUCCUACUGUAUAUGGUUAAUUUAUGUCUCCACCACUCAUGUAUCAUUCUUUGCAUGCGAUCCAAAAAUAAGGAUUCAAUGACCAAAAAACAUGGUUGUUGCAAAUUCAUCCAAAUUCAUGGGAAAUAAAUUAUGCUUAUAUCUUUCUCAUGAUGUGUACAUAUUAUUGAAUUGAUCUAUUCAUUUGUCAAAAAAGUGAACUAGUCGUGUUUAAUUACAUCAAAUUUGUCAAGCUGAUGUUGCCUAGCUGGUAUUCGUGUCGCCUACUUGCCAAUACGUUGAAAAUACACUCACUACUUGCAUAGAAUUUCAUAAUUGUAGGUUGUAUUUGGCUUGGAGACAUUGUGUUUUUACUUUCUUUACCAUAUUUUGGUUCAGAAAACCAGCAGUUCCGAUGACUGGAGGAAAGUCACUCUUCAGCUGGUACUCACAUUAGUUACGCGAACAAGAGCUACUGCUUACGUAAGGUUAAUGAUGGUGCUUGUCUUACUAACAGUUUCACAAUAAGUGAAUCCGUGAUAGGUGACAUGGUUUUCUGAUAAGUUGCAGUCUUUUGGAUAUUAUGCAAGCUAUUGCAGAUAUGAAUGGUGCAGAUAUUCGUCUUACUCUUCAAUCAUUCAACAGCCACUGAGCACAGCUUAAGAAAUUACUAGGAACAAGAGCACGGCUUAGCGGCCUUCUUUUAGUGUAGAUAAUAUCAUUUGUUAGAGAAAUUUUUUAUAUAUAUAUAACAAGGAAGAAAAUGAAAGAGGACAAAUAAUAAGAGAGCAGACACACGAUCGCCUACAAACUUCCAUGUAAACCCAGCCUGCUUUAUUCGUUUUUUCAGACCGAUUAAACAAAGCACAGAACUUAUUCCUCCUUUUUUAAUCCCUUAUUAAUCCCAAGUCUAUGUCUUAAGACAUUCUUUAUCUUCAACUACUUGCAUGUUUGACAUAUCUUAAUAAUAUUUCGUGUGUAACAUUUAGCUCUGAGUACUUAUCAAACAGACAUUAAGAUGCUGCCAAUCCUCAGACUGCAGCCUAUCAUCAUUUGAACACUUGUUCAAGUUUACAGUUUUGAUCCCCUGUCAACACCUACUCCCUUCUUUGUUUUGAUCCAACACCUUAUUUCAAAUCUGCAAAUAGUCACUUGCUAAGAGAAUGAGCAAUGUAACUGUUGCAUUUAGAAGUCGGAUUGUGUCAGUCGAGUGUAAGCAGGCAAUGAGCCUUUUAGUAACGCCAUCUUCUUAUGUUCAUAGAAGUCAGCAGUCUGCAAGUUUAAGCACCUUGUUUGUACAGUUUUACGUUUGUGUACCUAGUUCCAUUCAUAAGUCAGAUUUUAUCAGUUGAUUGCAAAUGCAAUCAGCAAGCAGAAUAUGUCAAUGUAUUUAGUAACAAAUGUCUCAUGCUUAGUAAAUGACUUGCGUAUUAUCUUCGUAAAUUGGCUUUCAUAACUUGUAUAAGAUUAGCAGCAUCCAUAAAUUUCUGUAGGGAAAGUUUUGAAAUUGGAUUUGUGCAUGAUAUGGGAAUUUGUGAGGAUGUAUGUUUGCUCUUGUUGUCUGUGGUCCUCCCCUGCCUUUUUCUUUAGGUUUGGUUAAAGUCUAAGCUACAUCUCUUUCUUAUUAUAAGUCGCAUGCAGAGAGAGAAGAUGAUGACGAUGGUCCUGUAUGUAUAUAUAUAUAGCUACCUCUUCUUUAUUUUUAUGAUUAUAUGAUUACUAAUUAGUCAUUUUACGUUGAUCAUAUUGAUUAAUCUAGAAUGUUAAAUCUAGUAUAUUGUUCUUGCAGACUUGUAUUUUGAAGGUGAGCAUAUGUUGUUUAGGGGGUUCCAAGCUAUGGCCACCCCACUUCACUAAGCUGUGGCCUCCCAAGUUCAUAAAAACAAAGACGGCUAUUACAUGUUGCAAAGGAUGUGCUCACAAAAUCAAGAAGAAAUUGCAGAACUUAACGGUACAAAAUCAGUUUUUUACUUCCCUCUUGCAGUUGAUCAUCAAAUUAGGAAUAUCUGCACAGAUAAAACCGGUUAAAAAUUCUUAACAAAAAUUAAACUAGGAAACGAUUUUAUUAGAACUUUGUAAUUGGUUCUGUUUGUUCUUAUGGUAUUAGUUUGUUUCUUUUCACUUGUUACUGCCUUUUGUAAUCAACUUUUUCACUGUCAUUAUUUACUCUGAUUGGUGAUGACAGAGGCAUGGCUAUUGUAUCUCAUAUAAGAGGAGAACUAAUAAGGAGAACUAAGGACUAAAUUAAGAGAUAGAUACGUAAAGUGAAAUAAAGGGUGCAUAAAUCACUUUAUAUUAAAAUGAAGUCUAAGAGACAUUUAACUACAUUUGAGAUGUCACAGUGUACAUAAAUCACUUUAUUUUCUUCGCUAAAUUAAUUUUUAUUAAUUUUAUCUAUUUUAUUUAGUUUUAGUAAUUAUUGUGAUUUAGUUUAUUUGUAUGCACAUAUUUUUGUACAUCACCUACAAAAUUGUUUUGUGUUGUACUAAGUUAAUACUACUUAACUUCAUACCCUUUUCUCAGGAAAAGCUUAGUUUCCCGUUUGAGAAUUAGUUGGAUUUCGUGCAUGGAUGUGAAAGCAUGACUGCGGUCCAAUUAAUUAUUGAAUUGUCCCAUUUUUUGGACAGUUUGGGAAUGCCCUAGUUAUGUGUUGUAGUUUGCGGUCCACAGAUUAGCUUUCGAUAGUGGAAAUUUUGGUAACAUUUCCCGAUGUUCUUUGAGUACACGGUGGAUAUUAUGUAUCUACGACGUGCACUUGAAGAACUGUAAGGAGAUGCUGGGAAAUUAGCCCACGUCGAAAUUUAAUCCAUUGGAAUCGUAAAUUACGGCACAUAACUGUGCAUUCUUGAAUGGGAUAGGGCCCUGACCAGAGGAAUAAGGUGACAAGACAAUAGUUUUCAUGUCCUAAUCUGUCUCAUAAUUUGCUUCAAUUGUACUUAAUUCCAAUUUUUGAAUAAAAUGAAUGAAUGCCAGCAGCGGUGUAGAUUUUCAAUGGCAUCCAAUUUCAUAUAGUUUAAUUAGUUAUAUCUCCAUUUACCUAUAUACCUAUUCAUUCCAAUUUUAUAUGAUCGCUUGAUGCAAAACUUUUCUAGAUAUUAUUAGUUGUAGCAGUUGCAUCUCUUAAAGAUCUAUACAACUUAUUCUCACUGGUUCACGGUGGAUUUUGCAGUUACUUCUCGAGCGUGGGGAAGCACGAAGGGUUAUUCCUUGGUAACACAUUUAUAAGGAUUCCGUUGUAGACGUUGUUGUAAUUCUUGUACUUUUAUUCGGAUUGCAGACAAAAUGGACAAACAGUGGAUACAUAAUCAUAAUAGAUGUGUUGUUGAGUACUUGGAUGGAAUACAUGCGUUCAUUGAAUUCGCAACUAGACAUAACCUAGGUUCAACUCAUAUCCGAUGUCCAUGUAGGAGGUGUAACAACUCAACGUGGGAGACAUUCAAGAAUGUUUGAUUUCAUUUAGUAAGAAAUGGGAUGAUGGAGACCUAUACUACUUGGUGUCAUCAUGGAGAACGAUUAGACCAAGCUUCGUCUUCAUACGUGACACGAGUGGAAACUGUUGAAUCAAAUGUGGAUCCUAAUGAACAAGUUAUGAAUAUUCUAAAUGACGUUUAUUCAUACGCCUCGAGCAACACCAAUCAGGAAGAGGGAGAAGAGGGAGAUGACGGCCGUCCAACCAUGGACAGUGAGGCAUUCAAAAACUACGAAAAACUAUUGAAAAAUGCCAAGCAAGAAUUAUAUCCAGGUUGUGAGAACUUUUCAAUGCUCACAACAAUUGUGGAGUUGAUGCAUGGCAAGAUCAAGUUUCGUUUGUCAAACAAGUGUUUUGAUUACUUUUUGGGAGUUAUCAAAAGGAUGGUUCCAAAGGAGAAUUGUUUACCUAAAGAUCAUAAAAGUGCCCAAAAAGUGUUGAAGGGUCUCGGAUUGGGGUAUGAAAAAAUUCAUGCAUGUGUAAAUAAUUGUAUAUUGUUCUAUAAGGAGAACAAAGCAUUGGAUAAAUGCCCUGUCUGCAAUGAGCCGAGGUUUAAAAUGACAUCACAGAAUAGAAACACCAAGAUUCCACAAAAAGUAAUGCGCUAUCUUCCAUUGAAGCCUAGGUUGCAGCGAUUGUACAUGUCGAUGCAUACCGCAACCGACAUGAGAUGGCAUAAAGAAGGAUGGGUAAAUGACGAUGUUAUGAGGCAUCAUGCAUAUGGAGAGGCAUGGAAAGAAUUCGAUCGGAUGUACCCUGAUUUUGCAGCUGACCCGCGCAACGUCAGAUUGGGACUUGCCACCGAUGGAUUUAAUCUGUUCGGGGUUUUAAACCUAAUGCACAACACUUGGCCGGUCAUCGUGUUUCCUUAUAAUUUGCCACCUUGGAAGUGCAUGAAAAAAGAAUACAUGAUGUUAAUUCUAUUAAUUAACAAAGAUCCAGGAAAGUCCAUUGAUGUUUAUUUGCGGCCGUUGGUUGAUGAGCUAAAAGAUUUAUGGGAAAACGAUGUUUGUACAUACGAUAAAUAUACUGGGCAGAUGUUCACCAUGCGAGCGGCAGUGAUGUGGACAAUAAAUGAUUUUCCCGCUUAUGCAAUGGUUUCUAGAUAGAUGACUAAGGGUUAUUUGGCAUGUCCAAUAUGCAAGGAGAACGUAACAUCAUCUUGGCAUGCAAGAAAAGUUUGUUAUCUUGGUCAUCGUAGAUGGCUCCCUUGGGACAACGAGUGGCGUCAGAAUGAUAAAUCCUUCGACAGCACAAAAGAAACUCGGCCAAGACCAAGAGAAUAAUCCAGAGAUGAGAUUUUGGAUCAGUUAAACCGUUUGGAAUUUGGUCAUUUCGGCAAAGGGGUCAGUAACCCCAAACCAACUACACAUCUGAACUGGACACACAAGAGUAUGUUAUUUGAGCUUCUGUAUUGGUCAAAGUUAAAAUUGAGACGCAACCUCGAUGUUAUGCAUAUUGAGAAAAAUGUGUUUGACACUUUGAUCGGGACAAUUCUAGACAUUGAAAGAAAAACAAAAGACACGAUCGAAGCUCGCCUCGAUUUGGAACGAAUGGGUAUUAGGUCAUCCUUGUGGAUGAAGAAUGUCGGUGGUACAUUGAAGAAAGGCCAUCCCUUUUUUACAUUUAAGCCGAAUGGGAAAAAAGAGUUUUUCAACUUUAUUUCUUCUGUAAAGUUUCCAGAUGGGUAUGCUUCCAAUAUCUCGCGUUGUGUGAACGUGAAGGGGUGUAAAUUUCAAAACAUGAAGAGUCAUGAAUGUCAUGUGAUACUCCAACGCCUUCUUCCAGUUGGUAUUCGACACUUAUUGCCUCUUGAUGUGGUGAAACCAAUCGUGUUGUUGUCGAGAUUUUUUUCGCAGUUGACUGCAAGGUGUUUGUGGAAGUCAGAUGUUAAACAAUUGCAGGACGACAUAGUGAACGUCUUAUGCAAGUUCGAACAGAUAUUUCCCCCAGCUUUCUUUACAAGUAUGAUUCACGUGAUGAUUCACUUGCCAGAUGAGGCAUUGCUUGCCGGACCAGUGAACUGUCGAUGGAUGUAUCCAAUAGAAAGGUACUUAAUUAAGCGUCUAUAUAUAUAUAUAUAUAUAUAUAUAUAUAUAUAUAUAUAUAUAUAUAUAUAUAUAUAACAUAUUCAUGAUCAACGAACGCUUUGAAUAAUUUGUAGCAUACCUUUUAUUUGUGCAUAUAUCUUGGUGAGUUGAAAACUUGUGUUCGAAACAAGGCAAAGCCCGAAGGAUCACUUGUGGAUGCAUGGGUCACAUAUGAGUCACUUACUUUUUGUGCAAUGUAUCUUGAAGAUGUUGAGACAGCUUUCAAUCGUCCAGAACACAAUAAUGAUGGUGGUGUCAGAAAAGAGAAACUGUCUAUUUUUCCCCAAAUUGCACGACCAUUCGGCGAUCCUGUAAAAGACGAAUCGUUUACCAAAAAGGACAUGGAGGUAGCGCAUUGGUUCAUACUCAACAAUUGUGACGAGGCUUUGCCAUACCUUGAAGAGCAUGAACAAUUGAUGAAGCGGGAACAUCCUUCACAUUUAUAUGCCAAGAAGCACCGUGACUUGUUUCCUUCGUGGUUUCAUGCACAUGUAAGUUGUAUGUGGUUUGAAUUGAGCAUAUUUUCCAACUUGUUCAUGCCCGUCUUUAAAUUUGGUUAUACUAACAAGUUAAUUUUUUGUAUAUGUUAUAUUAGAUGAACAAAUUGAAGGAAUUGAAUUCACCCUCUUACGAUGAAGAAUUAUAUAACUUGGCGAGAUGACCGCUUCACGUUGAAUUGUUCUCAGGUUGUCAUGUCAACGGGAUCAAGUUCUUGGGGGAAACACGUGAUGACAAGUUGUCUACUUAAAAUAGUGGUGUCCAUGUCCCAGGUGCGGGUGAUAGUGAAGACAUUGAUUUUUUUGGCAAACUAACUAGUGUAGUACAAUUGCUUUACAAAGAUAGGUGUCAAGUGAUAUUGUUUAAGUGUCUUUGGUUUGAUACAAACCCACAUAACCGAACGAGUGUUAAGCGAGACCAUGGUUUACUAUCAGUAAACAUUAUGAGACAUUGGUACGAUGAAGACCCAUACAUUUUGGCAACAAUGGCAAAACAAAUAUUCUAUCUAGACGACCCUAAAGCUGGCAAUGGUUGGAAAGUUGUUCAAAAGAUUGAUCGAAGAGGGCUAUAUGAUAUUCCAUAACAAGAUCAUGAUGACAAUUACGAUAACGUCGCUGACCAACAGUUAUCAUCUUCGAUAGAAAUUGGUGAAGAAACACUCCGGGAUACUAAUAUUGUCCAAGAACCGUUUGACGUAGUUGGAUUUCCUGAAUUCGAAAUAUCAAUUGACCUUGGUGAUCUACCUCAAUACAAUGCAUCGGAAGAGGAAAACGAAGAUGAAGACAAAUGGGAAUCCGGAAAUGAUAGUAGUGAGGAUAGCGAGAGUAAUUAUUGUAGUUCAGAUGAUGAUUAAUAUAAACUUGUAAAGAAAAAUCGUGCUUUUUCGUUUAUAACCGUCAAAAAGUUUUGUCCCUUUACAUAAUCUCUGAAUGUUUGUUUUUUGCAAUUUUUGGCGUCUGCGAUCUCGAAGCAUAUACAAACAAGUUUGACGGUUGGAUAGUUGAAAUUAGUUUUGUACAAUGCGUUUCCCAUCAAGUUCAAUGGUAUAUAUAUUUACUAAGUUGAUUUUAAUUUAUUUAUUUUGUACUUAUAACACUUAAGAAAUUUAAUGAUAUAUAUGUAAAAAAAAAAUUAUUGUGAGUUUUUGUUAGAAAAAUAUAUUAUUGUGGGGUUUAUGUAAAAUAAAUUUGAAUUUGAAAGAAGUAAAAUCACAUUUUUAGUAAUUUUUAUAAUAUUUAAAAAAAAAUAAAAUAAAAAAACCUUGCGCAACGUCUUAAUGUAGUCGUUGAGCAAAACUACUUUGCGUGACGUCAAUUUGUAUACCUACGUCGCGUCAUGUGAUAAUUUUGGCGCUCUAAUAGUGAAAAAUAGGCGUUUGUUUUCAAUUUUCCAAGUUUGGCAAACUUUUGAACCCCAUAGAUCUCUCUCUUCCCGUAUACCUCUCUCUUCCCACUCGCUCUUUCUUUCCCGCACGUAGACAUGCAUCUCUCCCUCUCGCUCUUUCUUUCCUGUACGUAGACCUGCAUCUCUCCCUCUUUCUCUCUCUUUCCCGUAGACCUCUCUCUCCUCUUCGCAACCUUCAACCCCCAAAUCUCAAAGCCGACGCGACGUAGGUUCCCAAAAUCAAGGUAAGGGUUUCUCAUUUUCGAUGGGUUUUUGUUAUUUAGGGUUUAGGGUCAAAUUGCAUGUUGAUUUCUGAGUACUUUGUCGAAAUCUCCAGAUAAAAUUGGAUGUUGGUUCUGAUUUGAUAGGGUUUCAGAUUUGUGAUGGUUUGAGGUUAUGUGGGUCUGUUGAUUUUGUUCAGUUGAUAGGGUUUGAGGUUCUGAUUUAGCACAGUGGUGGGUUUUCUCGAAGAACCUUAAAAGCAUGAAUCCUUACUCUGUCGUCCCUGGUACAAAAUUUCAACUUAUUUUUGUAUAUUUCUGAACCAAAUAUAUAUAUAUAUAUAGCAUCUUGAUCUUCUUCUUCACAGGGCAUGUUCAUCGGCUGUGAGGUGGUGGUUAUCUGUCAGUCUCCUGGUGAAAUUCUCAAUCUUUCUCUCUUAAUUAAGUGUUAAUCAUAGCUUUUAAACUGUUUUUCUUUCACUCAUCAGUCAUCACAUCCACACUCAGCUCAUCCUUCUCCAAAUUAAACUCAUUUUCUGGGUUUUUUUUUCUUUCAAAAGGGAAAUCUCAGUCACAAGGACAUGUAAAGUUCAUUACCCGUAAAUUUCAUUUGGUUUUUGUUACAAAUGGAACAGGAAUGGCUUACUUGCAAUUUAGGACUUGUAAUUUGAUAAUAAUAAAAGAAGGACGUCUGUUUAUUGAGAGAUGCCUAGGACUGGUUUGAUGUUUGUCAACGAAAGUAAGCUUUGAAUUUCAGUAGGCGGUGCUACCAAGCUUCGAACUUAAUUUGACCUACCACCAUUUGUUUUACUUCGAAUUAAAACAUGGAGAGAUCCUGCUAUAGAUUUGUAAAUAUUAUGCUAGCAAAGUCUUUUGAGCAUUAUGAUUUUCUUGUCCUGUAGCAGCAUAAUAAUGCUCAUAUAUGAUGCUAACUGUUACAUCCCAGACUCAAUCGUCAGUUAAUUAUAUUAUGAGUGAGUUCGGGAAUAACAUGAACCUAAUAGGUAAAUACCUCAGAAAUUUUCCUUUUGCUUAUUUAAUUGGCAUUGACUUGCAUAUAGUAUUCAUGCAUGUUAGAUGUAUUCUGGAAUAUCUUGUUCUUUUAAAUAGUUGUUGUGAAAAACCUGUAUUCUUGUUCUGAAGAAUGAGCCCUGCAUAUGGCUUUUCCAGAUUUGUAGGAAGUGUUAACUUUUCACAGGGGAUUGAAACUAGAAAACAUUUGAUGCACAUACUUAUAUAUGAUAUGCCUGAUUGCUUAACCCACUGCCUCAAGCUAUUACGGUAUUACCUUAGAUGAGAAUUUUACUUGAAUAGACUUAAGCAGUGCAGGACCCGACCAUUUAAAUACUGUACUUUUGAGCAGUUGCAUUAUAACCCACAUAUCCCAUGUAAAGUUUAUUCUAAACCUUUCAUGAGGUGGAACAAAUUAGUGAAAAAAUCUAUCAUUUUUGCUCACAAAAUACACAUACUGCCACAGUUUAACUAAUUUGAUCCUUAUAUAGUGAUUCUCUUUUAGGGUUUGUUCAGAUGCAAGAAAGGAUUAGUUUAAAUAUUCUUGUAUUGAUAUUAUUGCUCUAAUUACUUAUAUUACUUUGGUUGCUAUUUUAUUAGUUUCAAAUGCAAGAAAUGAUUAGUUUCUAAUGUUAUAUUUGUAUGGUUCAUAAAGUGUAUAGAUGUCGCAGUUGAUCACUCGUCGUCGGAGUGUGUCCAAUGCAGCUCCUGCAUUAUCAGCAUCUAGUGCUCCAGGUGUGAGUGCUCCAAGCGUGAGUGCUCCAUUGAUUGGGGAGCCUACACCCCUUACGGAGGCUACUCCUACGACGUCCCAGGUGCCCGUAUCAUCAACGUCAUCAGUGUCAGUUCAACCCCUCAGUGCACGGCGGCCUCCCUAGCGCCGCCGCGAGCCGGAGCCUUCUGAUCACACUUCCUUGUCCUCCAGAGUCGAGGAUGGGGCCUCCCAACCAGGUAGUUUUUUUUCUAAUUCUCACUACGUUGCAUUUUUUUUUCAUUUCAAAACUAUUACUUUUAUGAUUGUGAAAAUGUGUUGCGGGUUGUGAAUUACUGUUUUAAGGUACUUUUAUGAUUAGGGGAGGUUUUGCCGAAUUUUUUGUACAAAUUUAAGCUUAGGGUUUUUACCAUUAAAGUUUUUUUGGGUAGCUAAAAAAAAACACCAAGGGGCCCAAUCGAAUGUUGAAGGAGCUACAGCUUGUACGUAUGUCUGCCUCCUUGAUCAAGAUUGCGUAUGAUGAGCGACAUUGUGGAGCGGUUACCUCACAGCAGCAUAACAGCGUCGUUAAUUGCUGUGGUUUUAUUAUUAGGAAUUUUUGUCCUAUGCGGUGGGAGAGUUGGGCAAAAAUUCCCGAUGAGACGAGGACCCUGGUGCGAGAUAAUUUGGAGGUUAGUAAAUUAAUUUUUAGCAAAGUCAACAUCUUUCUCUGCUUAAACUAUUGCAGGGCCAUCAUCUUGAUUAAUAAAGUCAAGAUCUUUCUCUCAAUUUCUGUUUGGUUGCUAAGAAAAUGUAGGGGGGAAAGAGAAAUCAGGUGCAUUUCAUUGUUUUGCACCUGAUAGCCGAGUGUUGUUGUGGUGAAUAAUUUGGUCAUGUAUUUUGCACACUCUUCUUCUAUUCAUAAUUGGGAGCAGGUGUGGUCCUUUAGUUUUGGUUAAUUUCAGUGAUUUGCGGCACUGUUCUUUGUUGUCUGAAUGCUUCAUGGGAAGGAAAUUGAAAAAUAAUUCCGUGAACCAAUGUUAAAAUAAUGAUUAUGUUGGUUAGGUGGAAGGAUUACUAUCUUAUCUGAUGCAUAUUUAUGGGUUUUUAGUUUUGGUCUACGUCCUUGCUUAAUGAUUUAUGAUAGUGUUUAAGUGAGUAUGCAUGCCGUCUCUAGUACAUUGCUUUGCUUGUGUUGUGCAUCAGUUAACCUGAUCCAUAGUAUCCACUGGUUGAGCAACAUCGUGAUACCUAAACAUUAUGCCUAUACAUGCUGUUUUGUUUUAAUCAUUAAGUGCUUCUUGGGACUGGCUAUACUAAUCAAAUAAUCUAUCUUUUACCGAGCGAGUCCUAUGUAUGGUUCUUGACUUUGCCUCAAUUUGAUAGUGAAUUGUUUUUAGUUGUUGUCCUGGUUUUAUUUAUUAAAGUGAACUACGAAAGCAGCCUUAAAUAGUCGAGUUAAAUCCUUUGUUGAGAAAUUGUGCUAAGGAAAGGAAUUUGAUAAAUAAUUUGAGUGUUAACCUUAUGGUUUGAACAUUAAAGGUUUGACACUUGCGUGAAGCUGAGGUUUGACACUACUUUCCGAACUAGUAUGAAUGAUCCUAUAUAUAAAAAUUGUUUAUAAUUUUGUAAGCUUCCUGUAUAUUACUGUAACCACUUUCUACACAUUUACUUACCUUCUUAUGAAGUUUUUCUUCGAAUCUGCUAAUAUUUGUUGGGUCAUUUAGAAAUGACAUGCUUACUACAUGCUAUUCUUAGUGGGUUGCAGUUGGACAAGAGUCUCAUAAACAUGUUACACAAUUUGAUUUCUGUAGUUGCAGCAGCAUAAUUUUCAUUCUGUCAGUUUUACUACUUCUGGAUUGUAAGCACAACCAGUUUAAACAGGCAUGAUGUUGUAAAUUACUUUAACGAAGCUCACAUCUUAAGGGGUAAAUUGGUUUUUGGUUGUAAAAAUUAGAGCAUGUCCUUAGUAACAGCUAUUUGGAAGCCAACAUGAUUAACUGACUGUUAAAGUGGGAUAUGAAAUGCUUGUAUGCAAUAGGUUACCUUUAUGGAAUUGCAUUAAAUUGUACAUGCAUGACUUUUUUUUUCUUUUUGGGUAAAGUAUAUAUAAUAGUAGUUGGCUUACAUCCUAACAAAUCAUUUAACAUGCUACUGGAAUAGUUGAUCUUGAGUUACAGUCAGUGCAGUUACAACCUCUCUAUAAAAUGUUGAAUUUCCACCUUUGGUCUCUGUACCGGUGGAAAGAGGCUCACAUGGGAGAUCAAAACCCCACUCUUGAGAUCUUUCAUAAUAUAAACAUUAUAUUGUUUGCUUCCUAACAAAUUAAGAUUCUAGUUAUUAUUGUAAACCGACAAACUUUAUCAGUAUCUUAUAAACUAGUUGUCAAUUAUUCUGAUACAUGGUCAUUUUGUUUGUCAUUUUGUUUUUCAUAUUUGUAGGUCGUUUUUGAAAUGGAGGACAUAUCCCCUGAGGUCAGUGCCUACUUAGAGGAGACCUUUGCAAGCCGGUACAAAGAUUGGAAGAGCACUCUUCACAAGCAUUUUUAGCUAUGGGAAUCUCCGGAGAUUGCUCGCCUACAGGGUUGCCCACUCGAGUAUAAGGAGCGGCGAGAGGAUUGGGAGUGGCUCUGCACACAUUUUACGGAUCCAAAAUUUGUGGUAUGUACAUAAUACUUUAAUAAUAAUUUAUUGUUUUUGUUAUUUCAUUUAAGCUUUUUUUAAUAAUUUCUUUCAAAUAGUCGCACUAACAUGUAUAUUGUAUGUUUAACAGAAUAAAUCUGUUGUUGGCAAGAAAGCUCGGGACUCAAAGACACUUCUCCACCAUUCCAGUUCGAAGCCCUUUUCGUAUAGGGUUGAGGCACGACGUGAGGUAAAAGUAUAUUAAUUUUGAAAUUUUAUACAAUCUAUUUUUUAUUAUUGAUUAAUAAAAUUUUCUUAAUGUUUUUUUUUUCUUUAGAAGGGUUCUAAGUUCCCACAGAUUGACCUGUUCAAGCAUGUUUACGUUCAUCCCAACAAUGAGAAUAGUGACCAGCUUUAUGUAAGUAUAUGUAAUUGUUAUUUUUCUUAUUUUUAUGAAUCGUUCAAAUAUUAUUUAUAUUUUGUUAUUAAACAUAGUGGAAAAGAGCACUGCUAUUCUCCAAGAAGCAACAUCGCAGCUUCCCCCAAAGACCCCGAUCGAGGACGUCAUUGUACCCAAGGAUGCAAAUGUUCAGAUCGUGACUGAGGUCCUGGAUCAGAAGUUCGGUCGUCAUCAUGGUAAGGUUGUUAGGUGUACGGGGAAGGCGGGGGUUCGUGAAACGGGUGCCUCUUCUUCCAGAUUGUCCACAGGAAAGGUCAAUUCCUUGAAGGAGGAAGUGACAACCCUAAGAGGUCAGGUUACGGCCCAGGGCGACCACAUUAGGGCCCAGGACGAGAGGAUGAAUAUGAUUGUUCAGGCCUUAGCGAUGUCUGGCCUCCAAAUCCCGACGAUGCCAACACCUAAUGUUGCUCCACCUUCGACUUCCCAGCCACUUUACCCAGAUGAUACCGAGUAGCAUGAUGUAUUAAACUUAGAAGACUUGUAGUUUUUUAAUUUCUUGUUCGGACAAACGUACAUUUUCAUAUAUUCUAUAAUUAAUUACUUUUUCUUGGUUUAUUAAUUAUUGUUUAGAAUUUAAUUAUAAUAUUUAUUAAAAAUUAAAUAAAAAAAUAUAAAUGACAAAAAAAAAGGUUUGCGCUACGCAGUGCCUACCUACGUUGCGCAAAGCUACUUUGCGUGACGCAGGACCUACGUCGCGCAAAUUUACUUUGAGCGACGCAGUGCCUACGCGACAUAGGACCGUCGUCGCGCAAAGUCAAAAAUACGUCGCCCAAAAAUUAGCUAAACGAACCUUCAUCGCGCAAGAACCGUCGCGCGAAGGUAGUGAAGGAAGGGUUUGUGCGACACAGUGCCUACCUACGUCGCGCAAAGCUACUUUGCGUGACGCAGGACCUAUGUCGCAUAAAUUUACUUUGAGCAACGCAGUGCCUACCUACGUCGCGUAAAGCUACUUUGAGCGACGCAGGACCUACAUCGCGCAAAGUAGCUUUGCGCGACGUAGGUAGGCACUGCGUCGUACAAACCCUUCCUUCACUGCCUUCGCACGACGGUUCUUGGGCGAUGAAGGUUCGUUUAGCUAAUUUUUGGGCGACAUAUUUUUGACUUUGCGCGACGACGGUCCUAUGUCGCGCAAAGUCUUUUUUGUACUAGUGAUUGCUAUAAAGUCAUGCCCUUCGGCCUAAAAAAUGCAGGAGCGACUUAUCGGAGACUGGUCAAUUCAAUGUUUGCCGAACAGAUUGGGAAGAGGAUGGAAGUUUAUGUUGAUGAUAUGCUAGUCAAGAGCAAACAUGCUAACCAACACAUCACCAACCUAUCUGAAACUUUCACCAUUCUGAAGAGGUAUCGAAUGAGGUUAAACCCCAACAAAUGUGCCUUCGACGUAGGCUCUGGCAAAUUCUUAGGCUUCAUGAUAAGCCAACGAGGUAUUGAGGCUAAUCCCGAGAAGAUCAAAGCAAUCAUCGACAUGAAGGAACCGGUAACCUCAAAAGACAUCCAAAGCCUUACUGGCAAGGUGGCAGCCUUAACUAGGUUCAUCUCUAAGGCCACAGACAGAUGUGCUCCUUUCUUCAAAGCAUUUAAGGGAAGUAAAAAGUACAUUACAUGGACUGAUGAAUGUGCUGAGGUAUUCAAGAACCUCAAAGACUACAUGAGUAAAGCCCCUCUGCUCUCCAAACCUGAGGUUGGUGACACUCUCAUUAUCUAUCUGUCGGUAUCAGCUUCAGUAGUAAGUUCCGUUCUCAUUCGAAAAGAUGGUAAUGUCGAACGGCCUGUCUACUACGCUAGCAAGGCCUUACAAGAUGAGGAGACACGAUACUCCAACAUUGAGAAAUUAGCUCUAACAUUGGUCGUGUCUGCUCGAAAACUUCGCCCUUACUUCCAAGCACACUCCAUCAUCGUGCUUACCAAUCAUCAUCUUCGACAAAUACUCCAAAGUCCUGACACUUCUGGGCGAAUGAUCAAAUGGGCAAUAGCAUUGGGUGAGUUUGACAUCUCCUACUAACCAAAGCCAGCUGAGAAGGGCCAAGCAGUGGCAGACUUCAUCGCCGACUUCACAUAUCCUAUUAACAUUGUUUCUACGCCCAAAGAAGUGGUUUCAUUACCCUCGGAAGCUCAGAAAACAGAACCAACAGCCCCAGCAUGGAGACUAUAUGUUGAUGGCUCAUCCAACCAACAGGGUUGUGAAGCAGGACUAGUCCUUACGACCCCUGACAAAGUGGCAAUGAAGUAUGCUAUUCGUUUCAAAGUUAAGGAGUCGAACAAUGAGGCCGACUAUGAAGCCCUCCUAGCAGGCUUAUGUUUGGCCAAACACCUUGGGGUUAAACGAAUUGAUAUCUUCAGUGACUCUCAAUUGGUGGUUAACCAAGUCACCAACAACUUUGACGCUAAGGAUAGCUCAAUGGCAGCAUAUAUGGCACAAACACAAUUGUUGCUCAAGCACUUCCAGUACCAGAUCACCCAAAUUCCUCGAGCGGCAAAUAGUCAUACAAAUGCUUUGGCUCACCUCGCCUCAGCGGUGGAAGACAAGAUUGGGAGAAGAAUUCAGGUCGAAUUGUUGGCAGCACCAAGCACCAUGGUUGCGGAAGUGUGCAACUUACAACAGGGGGAUAGUUGGAUUACCCCGAUUUAUAGAUUCCUUACUCAUGGCACCCUUCCAAAUGACAAAGUCCAAGCUAAGCAAAUUCGAUACAAGGCUACCUGUUACUUGAUCAUUAAUGAUCAACUUUACAAGUGGGGUUUUAACCUACCAUACCUAAGAUGCCUUACGCCCGUAGAGGCGAAAACUGUCCUUCGGGAAAUACAUGAAGGAGUCUGCAGAGAUCAUGCUAGAUCUCGAUCCCUAGCACACAAGGCUUUUUGCCAAGGAUUACUGGCCGACACUCUACCAAGAUGCCAUCAAAAUAUCCCGCUCAUGUGAUAAGUGUCAACGCAACGUAAUUAUUCCUCACUCCCCUCCCGAGCAGCUCACUCCUAUGAUCAGCCCUUGGCCUUUCGCCCAAUGGGGACUUGAUUUGAUUGGCCCAAUGCCUGCAGGGAAGGGCAAAGUUCGCUAUGCAAUCGUUGCAGUUGACUACUUCACAAAGUGGGCCGAAGUAGAACCCUUAGCAACCAUUACUAAGGCAAAAAUAGAAGACUUCGUAUGAAAGAACAUCCUUUGCAGAUUCGGCAUUCCCGAUGCGAUAGUCAUUGACAACGGGCGACAGUUCAACAACAAUAAGUUCAGGAUGUUCUGCUCUAAGUUCAACAUCAACUUAUGUUUUGCCUCCCCAGCUCAUCCCCAGUCUAAUGGACAAGUUGAAGCUAUCAACAAAAUAAUCAAGCGAACUUUGAAAACCAACUUAGACAAGGCUAAAGGUUGUUGGCCAGAAUUUGUACCCCAAGUUUUUUGGUCAUACCGCACUUCGUAUUAGACAUCAACACGAGAAACCCCAUUCUCACUUGCCUUUGGUACAGAGGCAGUUGUCCCAGUUGAGCUUGAAUAAGCAACAUUUCGAGUCCAGAACUACGUGCAAGGCGAAAAUGACAAACAACUUACCCUCAACUUAGAUCUAGUUGAGGAACACAGAAACCAGGCUCACUUGAGGAAUGUCGCCUACAAGCAGCGCAUCUCCAACUACUAUGACUCAAGGGUCAAACCUCGUUCUUUCAAAGUGGAGGAUUGGGUAUUAAAGAAAAGAUUACUCUGCGACAGAGUCCCGAGUGAAGGAACACUUAGUCCAAACUGGGAUUGACAGUUUAAAGUUGUUGGCAUCAGUCACCCUGGCUCCUACAAGCUUAGAAGCUCCGAUGGCAAGACCAUUGGCCAUCCAUGGAACGCUGAUCACUUGAAGUACUAUUACAAGUAAACUCACAUUGUACAAGUGUUAAGCUUCAACAGUUCAUCAUCCUAUGUAACGAAGACUAUUUGGCAUGAAUUCAAUAAAGAGGUGAUUUAGAUAACUCGGUCCUAAUCCUCUUACAUUCCUAGCAAUGAAACACUCGGGCCCAAAGCUUCAACUCCAAAGCUUCACUUACAAAAGCUUCAACACAAAAGCUUUACCCACAAAAGCUUCAUCAUUUGAGGACAACUACGAAUUCUCAAAAGCUUUACACUAUCUUGAUCAAGAUAGUGUGAAGCAAAAUCAAUUCAUGGUACCCAACAAAAGCUUCAACUCCAAAGCUUCACCUACAAAAACUUCAACAUAAAAGCUUCACCCAUAAAAGCUUCAACACAAAAGCUUCACCCAUAAAAGCUUGACCCACAAAAGCUUGACCCACAAAAGCUUCACCUACAAAAGCUUCACCCACAAAAGUUUGACCCACAAAAGCUUGACCCACAAAAGCUUGACCCAUAAAAGCUUGACCCACAAAAGCUUGACCCACAAAAGCUUGACCUACAAAAGCUUCAACACAAAAGCUUCACCUACAAAAGCUUCACACUAUCUUGAUCAAUUCAUGGUGCCCAACAAAGCUUUAACCUCAAAGCUUCACCUACAAAGCUUCAACACCAAAGCUUCACCUACAAAGCUUAAAAAUAUAUAUAUAUUUUUUCAGAAAUUCAAAAAUUCAAAAAUUCAAAAAAAAAAAUUCAAAAAUUCGAAGAAAAAAAAUUCGCCUAGGUCUCCUCUUCUUUAGGCCUAACAACUUUCAUAACAAAUAUAUAUAUGAAUGAGGAGUUUUGGGCUACCAUUUAAAAAGGAAAUGCCACAUUCGUCAACUCCCUCGACCGGAGACUUGGGGGACACCUACCAUAUGCUACUGCACCUUGAUAUUCAGAAGUCUCACGACCACUCAGUGACUUGGAUUUUUCAAGUCUCCAACCGAGAAGUUUUCCUCACUCGGGAAAUUAAGGAAGUACUACCUCAACAUACAUGUUUCACUCUCAAAGCUUCAACAUACAAGCUUCAACAAAAGAAAAAAUUCAAAGAACUUAGUGAAGAAGGCCUUGGUGUAUUCAACACAAUACGUUGAAAUGAAGCAAAGCUUGUUUAUUGAUAUCUUCGAUAAGUUACAAAUAUGUAUAUAUACAUGAAUCAAAAUAAACAAACAAGAGAGAGCCUUCACAAAGGUUGCUCAUGAGAAGUCUCAGCAGUCGGCAGAGCCCCAGAAAGAGUAGGCAUCAGAAGGUGAUCAUUCGGAGCCUCAGUACUGGUAGAGAACCCUAGAAGGAGGAGGCACCAAAGGUUGAUCAUUCGGAGCUUCAUUACGUGGUACAGCCCCAGAAGACAAAGGCAAUAAAUGCCUUUGGAACAAACCCACAAACCUCUGAUUAUCAAGCAAAAUCUGACCAUCAGAUUCCUGCAGCUGGUCAAGCUUCAUCUUCAUGUUUGUAGUAUAGUCAUGUGCGAGCCUGUGCAACUGUUUAUUCUCAUGCUUGAGCCCUCUGAUCUCCUGUUUGAGACUUAUCACUUCAGCCGCCAAUUAUUCAACUUGGCGGGUUCAAGCAAAUAGGUGUUGGGCCAUAUUAGACACAGAACCUGCACACUGAACACUGAGAGCCAGAGAAUCCUUAACAGUCAACUCAUCAGACCGUUUGGAAAUUAGUCUGUUAUCUUUAAGAGUGAGAAGGUUCUUGGCCACCACCGCAGCGGUUAUAUCAUUCUUCAUCACAGAGUCCCCAACGGUAAGAGGACCAGUAAGGGAUAAGAAGAAUGGGCGCCAUAUGUUGUCUUGAGAAGGCAUGGCUGCCUCUUCACCAAAGUUCAAGUCAAAACGACGGUCGGAAGGGCCAUACAUUCUCAGAAAUGAUGAAGGAGAAAUGAGGUGCAAUAAAUCUCUGAAGUAAGGGGAAAAUUCAUACAAGCAAUAACUCUCUGAAUGUACUUCUUGCACACAAUUGGUGCCCUUAUAAAAGAAAGGGUAACAAGGCCGUUGGUUCAAAAAUCGAAAAGGCAUCACUCUUCGGAUUUCAAAGAGACACCACUCUCCACACGCAACAUCAGCUCCUCGGGUACCACAGAUAACUUUGCCAAAGAUCUCUGACAAAGUUUAGACAUAUAAAUUUUGAAGGUCCAGCUACCCUACUAUUACUCACAAGGGUAAAGGAACAACACCACUACUUGAUAACUGAAGAGUCCCUAUGUGUGUCAACCUCCGUGCUCCGUGGCAAGGUAGAUUGGCAAAAAUGCCCAACCUUUACUCAUAUUCGAGAAAACACUCCCAAUAAGAUUACUUUCUAAAAAAUUGAAGAGGCACCGCUCUCCGAAUCUCAAGAGCCAGACUCCCAACAGGAUUGUUUUCUCAAAAAUCGAAGAGGCACCGUUCUUCGAAUCUCAAGAGCCAGAUCCCCGACAGGAUUGCUUGUUCGAAAACCGAAGAGGCAUCGCUCUCUGAACUUCGAGAGCCAAAUUUCCUUGGAUAAAGCUUGUCUGCAAUCUUCACACGCAACAUCAGCUUUCCAGAUACCACAUACCACUUUUUCAAAGUGCUCUGACAAAGUUAAAACACGUGAAGCUUGCAGCUCCCACUACAUUGCUACGACCAAGAAGGGUAAAGGAAUAGCAUUAUUACUUGCUUAAAAAUCAAAGAGGCACCGCCAUCUGAAUCUCUAGAGCCAGACUUCCAACAAGAUUACUUUCUCAAAAAUUGAAGAGGCACUGCUUUCCGAAUCUCAAGAGCCAGACUCUCAAUAGGAUUGCUUUCUCAAAAAUCGAAGAGACACCGUUCUCCGAAUCUUAAGAGCCAAACUCCCAACAGGAUUACGUGCUUAAAAAUCGAAGAGGCAUCGCCCCUUCGAAUCUCGAGAGCCAGACUUCCAACAGGAUUACUUUCUCAAAAAUUGAAGAGACACUGCUCUCCGAAUCUCGAGAGCCAGACUUCCAACAAGACUGAUUUCUCAAAAAUCGAAGAGGCACAAUUCUCUGAAUCUCGAGAGCCAGAUCCCCGACAGGAUUGCUUGUUCGAAAACCGAAGAGCACCGCUCUCAGAACUUCGAGAGCCAGAUUUCCUUGGAUAAAGCUUAUCUGCAAUCUUCACACGCAACAUCAGCUUUUCGGAUACCAUAGACCACUUUUUCAAAGUGCUCUGACAAAGUUAAAACACGUGAAACUUGCAGCUCCCACUACAUUGCUAUGACCAAGAAAUGUAAAGGAAUAACACUACUACUUAUUGUUAGGGAUACUCCUAUAUAUGUCGACCUCCAUCCUCCAUAGCCAGGCAAACCUGCAAAUAAAAAAAUGCUCAACUUUUCUUCACAUCCGAGAGGGCACUCUCAGCAGAGUCUCUCGAAAUACUUAGCUUUUUUUCCUCCCGAUAAUAUCUCUACAAACAAGCCACGCCAGAGCAAGAGUAUCUCAUAUCACCAGGGUUAAAAGAAAGAGUAUCCCAUAUCAUGUUUUUUCCCUGUCUUUUCCUUUGGCCUUAUUCUUACCUGCAAGACAAGGAGAAAGAGAGCAAUCAGUCAGCACUUAGAAUCAAGCUUCCAGUCAGGAACUGACUGCCUGGAACCCCUUGCUUGAUUACUUACCUGACAUUGCUCUCGAGUAGUCAUCUUCAACAUCUUAUGCUUCCAGAGAAGAUACCACAUCUGCCUGAGGAACAGAUAGGGCAAGUGAGAACGAUACAAGAAAGCAUGCGAAGACAAGCGUAACAGAACACGUGCCGAUAUAUCCACUACUUUGUCAACAGCAAAAGUAUCUCAUAUCAUCAGGGUCGAAUGUACUCUAGAUUUGAUGGACUUGUUUUGACCCUCAAAUUCUUAAGUUGGCCUUAUACUCUUGAAGAAACCAGAAAACCCUCCAGCCCAGUUUAAGAAUAAGCAUGCGGAAAGUUACUUGUUCAAAAGCAAAAGUAUCUCAUAUCAUCUCUUAUCCAUUUGCUUCUCAUUAUCCUUAGUGCUAUUUACGACAUAAGGAGAAAGAAAACAAUCAACCGGAAGUCGAAGUCGAACCUCCGAUCCAGGUUGCUUACUUGGAAGUCUGAUUGCUUACCUUGUCUGUUACCUCCUUCGGCAAAUCUCCUAGCCUGGCGACUUAGGGGACUCAUACUAUAGGGUUUGUAUCGCACUUGACCAAGCCCGAAACUACAAGUAAGCUUCAAGUGAAAUUGAUACAUUACCUUGUGCAUCUUCAUCGGUUAAAGAUACCACCCCUGGAUGGAGGAAAAGUACUUCCAGAGAAGAUGCCACAUCUACGUAUGAGACAGAUAAGGCAAGUGAAAAUGAUACCACACUUCGGUACUUAGAAGUUUCGUGAUUACUCAAUGGCUUGGAUCUUGCAAGUCCCCAACCGAGGAGCUUCCCUCACUCGGGAACUUAGGGGAGCACUGUUUGUACCAUACUUGACCAAUCCUGAAACUACUAAGCACUGGUCAACGUUAUACCGUCAAGGACCUAGAAGAGUUUCCCUCCAACCAGAAGGCCAAUCACAGUGCGACACGUGUUGACAUCAGAAGCCAAUCAUAGCGCAACACGUGUCAACAUCAGAAGCCAAUCACAACACGACACGUGUCAAUGUCAGAAUGAAACUAGAAACUCUCUUCUAUAAAUAGAGAUCAUUCUCUCACAAUAUUUCCUAAUGUCAUUUGUACUAAAUCAUUCACUAGUACUCACUAAAAGAGAGCUUGAACCUAUGUACUUGUGUAAACCCUUCACAAUUAAUGAGAACUCAUCUGCUCCGUGGACGUAGCCAAUCUAGGUGAACCACGUACAUCUUGUGUUUGCUUCUCUGUCUCUAUCCAUUUACAUACUUAUCCACACUAGUGACCAGAGCAAUCUAGCAAAGGUCACAAACUUAACACUUUCUGUUGUACCAAAGUCCUCACCGAUUUUGUGCAUCAAAAUAGAUUAACAUGUAGCAAGAGAAAAUUGUCAUGGAGAAACGGUUGCCCAAACUUAAGGCUGCAAUUUUGAGUGCUCAGAAGUGCUUGGAAGAUUGCAACUAUGUUAGGGGAUUGGUGAGUGACCAUCAUGUGCAGAGUUAGUCUGCAUUUUUUAGUUGUAUAGUAGUUGUAUAGACAGUCCAUUUUUCUACGUUAGCAGUACAAAUUCUUUUUGUUUUCAUCUUGUUUUUCCUCUCUUUAAUUGUCUGAACUGCAAUACGUUUCUGCAACUUGAUGAAUGGUGGGACUGAGAGAUGAAACCAGAAAUUUUACUAAAAGGGGGCACCUUAAAAUUUUUGAGCUCCUUUUUUAGACAAAUAAAGCUAGUUCUUUUACAAAUGCUAAUUUUGUCUUUAAUUGUUGACAAUAUAAUGCUCAUUUGUACUAAUUAAUCAAGAGAGCUGUUAUUCCCACCCCCAAUGUCUUAUUUUUUCACCCACCUUUUUAUGAAUUUUUUAAUUACAAAUUUGUCAAUUUGUAAAAUGACUAACAAGGACCUUAGUUACCCACUUUUGCAUUACUUUUUUUUUAUAAAAAAUAAAAAAGAAAAGUUUGGGCGUGAUAAUUCUCGCACUAUGUUUAGACGAUUUGUCUCCCUUAAACCCUAACUCAUCAUUCCCAUCUCUUUUCAUUCAGAGAAAGCAAAAAGAAUGAACUUAGCAAAUGAUGUUUUUAUGGAAGAAGUAGAUGAUUAUGUUUCCGUCGAAGAGGUAAAAGAUAAUUUUAUGUGGGUCAUCUUGAUUUGUCGACAUCAUAUAAUUGAAGUAUAGCUCUGUGACUUUUUAUCUCUAAUUAUAUAUAUAUAUAUAUAUAUAUAUAUAUAUAUAUAUAUAUAUAUAUAUAUAUAUAUAUAUAUAUUAAGGGUUAUUAGGAAUAAUAGUGGGUGGGAAAAUAACAUUUUAAUUUUUUACCUUUUUAUAGUGGGUGUAAAUAUAACAUGGGUGGGAAAAUAAGACAACGGGGUGGAUCUAGUAGCUCCCUUAAUCAAAUACAUGCAACUCAACAAGGUUUAGACAUUAGUGCGUGAGAAAAAUAUACAAGACAAAGGGACAUUUAAAAACUAAAAGAGGAUUCUCACUAUUUUAAUAUGAUUAAUUGAAUAAUCCGCAAAGCAAAAAAAUUGGGAAUGAUUAAUUGAAUAAUUUGUAAUGAAAAAAAAAAGGAUGGGAGGGGGCAAGUGCCCCCAAUAGGCCUUACCUCCCUCCGUCCAUGGUAGUGGGACUCCCACCCACCAUAACCGUUGCCCAUCCCUAGGUAGGAGCAACUAGCAGCAACUGUUGUUGACUGGGUCUGAGUCGAUGGAUUAAAUGUUGCUGCAUGGUAUAAUCAUGUGAAGCAACUCCUUGAAUUUUAUGAUCAGGAGCACUUGUGAAUAUUAUUUGAGUACUCAGCAAACAAUAUUUUAUGGGGAUCUAAUUAGUCUUCCUGUUGGCAGUCCCACAUCGGUGGGGGAAGUCAACAAUGGUGAUUUUAAAUAUGAGUACCCUACUUUAAUUAAUAAUGAUGUCUUUUAUGGUAAAACCCCACACUUGACAGAUUAGGCAGGUGGUAAAGUUGUCGAUCUAAAAAUUUCAACAUGGUAUCAAAAACCCAUGAUUAAGGGCAUGUGCAAGCCAAAAGCUUGUCACCAGGAAGUGUGGGAUUGGAAACAAGCUUGGACUCUUAACAUAGAGCCAGUCUCUGAGUUCUUAAGAGGCACUUCUUGAACAGAUUGAAACAAGUCUGGACUCCAUUGGAGCUAACCCUUAAGUUUCAAUUGAUGAUCCUCUUCUUGAAAAGAGUGAAAACAAGUCUGGACUUCAUUGGAGCCAACCUCUAAGUUUCAAUUGACGAUGUGUGGAUCUCUAUAUGUGAACCACUAAAUGGGGUUACAAGUGAGGGGGCAUGUUGGUAGUCCCACAUUGGUGGGGGAAGUCAACAAGGAUGGCUUUAAAUAUGAUUACCCUACUCUAACUAAUACCGAGGUCUUUUGUGAUAAAACUCCACACCUGACGGAUUGGGCAAGUGGUAAAGUUGGGGAUAGUAUCGGUAUCAUUUUCUUGAAAAGAUUGAAAACAAGUUUGGACUUUAUUGGAGCCAACCUCUAAGUUUAAAUUGAUGAUGUGUGGAUCUCCACGUGUGAACCACUAAAUGGGGUUACACGUGAGGGGGCGUGUUGGCAAUCCCACAUCAGUGGGGGAAGUCAACAAGGGUGGCUUUAAAUAUGAUUACCCUACUCUAACUAAUAUUGAGGCCUUUUGUGGUAAAACUCCACACCUGACGAAUUGGGCAGGUGGUAAAGUUGAGGACAGUAUUGGUGUCGUUAGGGGGCUCCUCGAGCUCGUUGAUCUAAAAAAUUCCAACACUUCCUGGAUCAUAUUUGCCACUUCUACAAAGCCCUUGUUUCAUUCAUUCUCGCAUCGCUAAAAAAACCUACAAAGGCUUAGUAGAAACUCAAGCUCAAAUUUAUGCUUGAAAGGUAAAUUUAUUAUCUCUUAUUGGUCGGGCCACUUUUGUUCAGUCUGUCACCUCCGUUGUCCAGUAUAUGCUUUGCAGACAAUAUUACCAAUUACCAUUACAGAUAACCUUGAGUGUCAAAGAUUUUUCUAAGGCAAGAGAAGUUUGGCAAAAGUUGGAAAGUAUAAACAAUAGUCAGACCACAUUGAUUUUCAUGAUUGGCUUCAUUUUAAUCUCACCACUAAUCACUCAUAUUGGGGGGGGGGGGGGGGGGUUUAGAGUAGAUGUUAGUAUUUUCCAUUGCUUGUUGGUUUAUUUGGUAUUGGCGAAAUAAAUUUGUUUUCGAGCAGGAUUUUGCAAUGUUUGAUGAGCUUACAGUCGCUAUUUGUGCAUAUUUUCAUGAAUGGUUAGCAUUCUAAUACUCACAAGAUUGAUAAACGCCGUAAGAUUGAAUCUUUGCUCCACUGGAAAGCUCUUCAUUCAAAAUUGAUUUAAACUUAAUGUUGAUAGUUUUAAGAAGGAAAAUAAUAAUCCUUACAUAAAUAACUGGCAGCCGUGCCAGAGGCAAUACGUGUAUGGAAUCAUAUACUGAGGAUAGGGUAUUUGGAAAACAGUCCAUUUCUAUUGAGCCACAACGAAGGGAGUGCAGAAAUUCACAGUUUCGUUUUUGGAUUUAACAGAGAGAUAAUGGAAAUUUGGUUUUUGAGCUUAAACCUAACGAACUUCACCAAAAGGGUUUAAAACCGAAUUUUUUUUACCACAUGGCUAUCUUCAGAAUACCCUAUCAUCACGAGGACUAUUUAUACGUGAACUUUCUUCAUUGAACGUGAAUAUCACAUGCUAAAACUUCUCUUCAUUGAACUUUCUUAAAAGCAAAAAAUACUAAUCGACUCAACACCUACUUGUGCAGAUAUUGGCUAAACCAAACAUUAGAUGUGAAAAAUUAGCACUUUGCCAAAUAAUAUUCCGAGUGAGCAAAAGAGAGAAAAAUAUAACAAUGGCACACAGACAAAAUAUAAAAGUUGAGGAGCCGGGUGAUAUAAUAUUAGACAUUGCAAUUGUAGGCUCGGACGACUUAAGGAGAAGAAGGUUGCCUGCACCACUAUUAGGAACAUUACAAAUCAACAUUUCAGAGGUAACAUGCAUGGUCUUCUCUUCUGCCAUGAAAAAUUCAUGCCUUCAUAUAAUUAAUUAAUUAAUUAACUAGUUAUUAGUGUUAAUUAUCUAGAGAGCACUCUCUAACAUUUCCAUCCUCCAUCGUUUUCUUCUUCUUCAGAACAAAGUUUCAAUCAAUUUUUUUUUUUAAAAUACCUUUUACUUUAACAAUAUUAGCGAUUAGUUUUAGGUUGCCUUUUAAUUAGCUCGUGUGCUUCUGUUGCAGGGCGUGUUCGAGGAAAAAGGGAGCAUACUUGAACCAGCAGAGGCUGUGGUAGCAUCUAUGAAAAAACUUUAUGAACUCUUUGUAGCGAAACGACGUAGUUUGACUCGUUUCAUUUUUAAAUUUUUGUUUCCUCGGGUGCAAAGCAAUGUUGUUUGGCUUGGGUUAAAAAAAAAUAAAAAAAUAUAAAAAUAUAAAAAAAUAAAAAAACUAAAACGGAGCAACGCCCUGUUAGCAGUCCAGAAAAGCAAUGACUUUAAAUAGGAAUACUCCACUGUAACUAAUACCAAUAUCUUUUGUGGUAAAUACCAAUAUCUUUUGUGGUAAAACCUGACGGAUUGGGCAGAUAGUAAAGUUGAGGACAGUAUCAGUGUCGUUAAAGUUGCCCCCCCCAAAGCCCAUCAAUCUAAAAAAUUUCAGCAUGGUAUCAGAGCCCACAGUUACGGGCCUAUGCAAACCAAAGGCUUGUCACCUGGAAGUGUGGGCUUGGAAACAAGCUUGAACUCAACAUAGAGCCAGCCUCUGAGUUCUUAAGAGUCACUUCUUGAAAAAACAAGUUUGGACUCUAUUGGAGCCGAUCUUUGAUUUUCAAUUUCUGAUGUGUGGAUCUUCACGUGUGAACCACUAAAUGGGAUUACACAUGAGGGGGCGUGUUAGCAAUCCCACAUCAGUGGGGGUAAAGAAAAGCAAUAACUUUAAAUAGAAUUAUACCCCACUCUAACUAAUACAGAGGCCUUUUGUAAUAAAACCUCAUACCUCACAAAUUAGGCAAGUGCUAAAGUUGAAGAUAGUAUCGGUGUCGUUAGAGCGCCCCCCUCGGACCUGUCGAUAUAAAAUAAUUUCAACACGCCCCACUAUAGAAAACCAAAAUGCAGCACCAGAGCAAAGGGGUGAAAACCUGGAUUUUGGGAACAAACUUCAGCGACUAGAGGUGCGAGCACACCUCUUUGCGUCUUUGUAGCUUCGCCAAUGCACGUCUCGAUAUUAUUUAUGAGGAGUUCUUGAUAAUUACUUUAAAGUGUUAAUAACAGUCUCUUUCUUAUUCUGUUAGGUCCAGUACACCCUACAAUCUUAAAAUAUGCAUAAAUUCACUCAUAGAAUGAGAAAAUGCCUUGUGUCAUUUUCAAGUUUGGAAAAGGAUCCUCCCCGGAUCCUUUUCCUUGGGAUCUUAAGAAUCCCUUGAUCAUGAUCAUGAAUCGUACAUUAUACGGUCAGUUUUUGUUUAGUACUAUUUAUAUUUAAUUUUAAAUUUUAAAUUUUGAAAUGAUUUCUAACUACACGAUAUACGAUGAACGGUCACGAGAUCCCUAGAAUCCCCAGGAAAAGGAUCCGGUGAGAACCUUUUCCGUCAAGUUUGACACCAUUUGAAAAUUGGUGAGACAUGAAAAAGUUCUUGAUCCUCACUCCCCCCCACAAGGCAAGCUUAAACUCGCCCGUGAUAGAAUUUGUACCCGCGCGUUGCUGCAGGGUUGAAAAUUAUAUGAAAGAUAUUGGAAAAGGUUACCACUUCAAUGCUUAUAUACAUCGAACUUAAUCUUAGAUAUAUCCAUAGAAAAUUGGAUGAGAACGACGACCACACAACGGCCUAGGAUCUUGCACAAAGAGAAUAAAAGUAAAAAAAAAAAAGUCUAAAGAGAGUGAAAAAAAACAUUAUAUUUCAUUGCAUUCUAUUACUCUAAUUAUACACUUCACAACGGCCUAAGGAAAGUGGUUUCUUAUUGAUUAAAUGAAGCCUCACUGACUCACACAUACAGACUGAUCUAAACUAUUCAAGAAUGUGCAUCUUCUAGAGCUCACUUGCCAUUGAAGCCUCAUAGUCCUAACCGAGUUAAACCAAUUAAUAAAGCUCAUUUCGAUAAAACUUGCACACAGAAUGAGAAGCCAGUCUCAAGUACAAAUGCUUACUUGAGUAAUAUGAAAAGCCUGCUCAAGACGCUGAAUUUGAAUCCAUUGUUCACCAAAAAAUGUUGUUCAUCUGCAAGCAAAGACAAAGAAGCCAAUUGCAAAAUGACACCAUACUCAUAGUCUCAUAGACCGAAGAUUGUAGGAAGCAUAUCAGCAUAUAGUAUACGACCUUUUGAGCAUGCGAGGCAACUGUUCCAAGUCGAUCCUUAGCAUCCCGUGCUUUCGACGAUCAAAGUUGAACCUUCUAGACGCCUCCCAUAAAAUCCAUACCUAAAAAGCAAUUCCAAAACUUAUUUCUCAAAGUCCAACACUGGAUUGAAAAAUUGCAAAAACAAACUGGAAAAUUCGAAAGAAUUUAUAAGGCGGUGGGAUGUUGUACAGGGUUGGUACCUGGAGCUUGAGAAAUCAAAGAGCUUGCCAGUUUGGGAAAAGAUGAUAACAACAGCUUCAGAUUCACACAGAAUGGACAGCUCUCCAGCAUUCUUCAAAUCCACUCUUCUCCUCUUUGAGAAGGUCACCUGCCUUGCCGGCAAGUAAUCGAUCUUCCUGAUCUUGAUCUUCUCCCUCAUCAUUUUCUCCAAUUCUUCCUACCCCUUUCAGAAACAAUAAUUCAAGUAAAAUAAAAUAAACCAACUACUUCGAAUUUCCACAUAUAUAUAAAUGUCCACAAACUCAAAAACUACGUUAUAUUUUCUGGGUUUCUGAUAAUUUUAAGGAUUAUUGACCACAAAACCUAGCAUUUCAAAUCUAAAUAAGUAAAACAAAACCCAGAUCAACCCAUCAACCACAAUCAACUGUCCAAUAUUUCGUAUUUACCAAACUUGAUUAACACCCAAAAAAAAAAAGAAGCAAAACUCCCUAAUUUUACAAAAUACAAUCAAAUCAAUAAAACCCAGAUGAUUUCAUGAAGCAAAAAACAAAUUCAAUCAGAGGCAGAACCAUAUAAACCCAGAAAGAAAUUCAAACAUUCCAAAUUUCUGAAGCAACAUAUGACCAUAGAGAUUGAGCGGAGAAGACCAAACAAAACUCUAAAAUCUUGAAAUCACUCACCUUAAAUAGAUAGGGAUUUGAAGGCUGCAAACAAAAGCCCCAAAUCCGAAGAACCAUGAUUUCCUAAAGAAAAAAAUAAAACAAAAGUAAACACCAUGAUGGGGAAUCCAAAGCUAUAAACAAAAUCCCCAAACUUAUACCGGGUCACCACGCCCUUGUCUAUGGAAUCCGACGGAACCCACGCUGGUGAACCCCUUUGAUUUUCUUAUGCUAAGCAGGAGAAAUGGAGGGUGAAUCGGUGCUGUAGCUGGUUGCGAGAUAGAAACAGAGAAGUCGAUGGAAAAUAAGGAAAAGAAAAGUGCCGAGGAAAAGAAGAGCAAGGAAGCAGGGGGAACACCCCAGCUCUUUCAGAGCACUUUCAGCUUUGGCUGGAGCUCGGGGGACAAGCCAGCAAAUAGGGCCUGAGAGCCCGGCUUAUUGACUCCAGCUUGUGGGAGCCCGAGGGACAAGCAGGCCCGAGCACCAGGCCUGUCACGAAUUGCCAACUCGUUAGCCCAAAGGCUAUUUGACGCAAGGCUAACAUCAGCUCCUUUUUUAUUUUUUUCUGUCAGACGCGUGCACUGCACCCGUGCUUUGGGCGCGUCACCCGAAAUGUUUUCAGCGAAUGGGGCAUGCGGCGCAGUUUCAAAUUAUUACCGUUGGGAAACCACGUGGCUUCCCAUGGUCCGUUGGAUCUCAACAGCAAGAAAAUGUGGACCGUCAAAUUUGCAACGGUAAAAAAAAUAAAUAAAUCUUAUUUAAUAUCAACCGUUUGAUCUGGGAUCAACAAUUUAUAUUAUUUUCCUUUAUAAAUAAAAAAAAGAAAAAGUAGUUUUAAAAUUCAGAAAUGUUACCAUUGUGCCAUGUGGCACAAUCUGGAGUGUUGGAAUUCAAUUUUUUUUAAAUCCAAAGGCAGAGAUUAAUUAGUUGAAAAAAAAAUUUAAAAAUAAAUAAAAAUCCGAAAAAAAAAUUUUGAAAUUUUUUAAAAAAAUUUGUUUUUACUUUUCUAUAUAUACCUUCUCAUUAUCAUCUACCUUACACCACAAAUUUAUAUUUUCUCAACUAUUUUCAACCACAUUCUUAUCUUUCUCUCAAAGUUUCAGUCCAAAUUUUUUUAACAAAUGACUACUAAUGCAGGUACGAAUAUGACGCUUCUUGAAGAUGUUGCGUUGUGUACUAGCUGAGAUGCAGUUGCGAAAAAUGUGGAGUCUUAUUCAUACCAAUUAUCUUGAGAAAAUGGGUGGGAAAAGAACCAAAGAAUCAAUGACUCGACAGGGCCUGCAAAUCUAACCCACAACUUGGAUGACUCGACGGGAAUGUGAGGCUCUGCCCAUUCUUGCUUCGUCAUCUUUCCUUCUACACUCUUCAUCCUCUUCCCUCUCAUUUUGGGCCACCUGGAGAUUGAACAUUCCUUCUUAUUGGUUAAACAAUUAUUCCUCUUGCUGAUCGAUUUCCCACAUCAUCCUUGAAGAAGAAGACAUUGUAAAAAUGAAGCAGAAACUAUGAAUAAUGAUAGAGAUCUUGAGAAAAUUGGUGUGAGAUUUGUGAGGAUGGAUGGUGGAUUAUAUAGAGGAUUCAGAAAGGAUUAGGUUGUAGAUAAUGUCACGUGGCAUGCCUUCAUUCGUUAAAAAUCUAAUGGAAAUCUAUCCUCAAAGAUUAUGACACGUGGCGCGACGUGAUUGGUUAAUAAUCUUAUCGGAAAUCCAUCACCAAUAAUUGUAUUUUCGGAUAAUGACACGUGGCGCAACGAGUAUGAUUAAAAAUCUUAUCGGAAAUCUAUCACCAAUAAUUGUCUUUUCGGAUUUUAUGACAUGUGGCUCAACGAGAACGAUUAAAAAUCAUAUCCGAAAUUACAAAUAAAAUUAUUUUGUAUUAUUUUAUAACUUUUCGGAUAAUAACACGUGGCGCAAAGAGAAUGAUUAAAAAUCUUAUCGAAAAUCCAUCACCAAUAAUUGUCUUUUCAGAUUUUAUGACACAUGGCGCAAGGAGAACGAUUAAAGAUCUUAUCCGAAAUUACAAAUAAAAUUAUUUUGUAUUAUUUUAUAACUUUUCGGAUAAUGACACGUGGCGCAAUGAGAACGGUUAAAAUUCUUAUCCGAAAUUACAAAUAAAAUUAUUUUGUAUUAUUUUAUAAAUAAAUAAAAUACUAAUAUUUUAUUGCCUAUUGCUAGGGCUAUUGAAGUGCAACGGUGGAAAUGCAAAAGGCGAUUACUGUUCAAUGGGUGGAUAGCAUAGUGUAUUGCCUGGGGGGUGUUCCCACGCUGGAACUGCUCUCAGCCUGCUUCCAUUUCACUGAUGACAAACACGUGUAAAACAUGGCGCAACUAAAAUCAAAUAGACCAAGCAGCGGCAAAUCCGCCAUUUCACUGUUAGUGAACAAUGCUCUCUCUCACAUGAUGAACGGUAUUUUUGUUGCUGAGUUUAGUAUAUAUAAAUAAAUGUCUUUUGUGAAUGGCAGGGAAUUGGACAAAACCAUCGCUUCUUCUUUUUAAAAGCAUCCUUUUUUUAAUGGGAAUUUUAACAAAAAGCUUUCAGUAUUGUUCAAUUUAACGAAAAACCACAUUUUUACAUUAAAAAGUCAAUCCUGGUACUAUUCACUUUACCCUUUAUUUUGUUUUUAUUGUUAAAACUCAAAAUUUUCAAGCCCUUUUUAUUUGUUUUUCCUUUUUUUUUUUUUUUUUUUGUUAAGUAAAAGCAUCCCCUUUUUUAACUUCAAUGUGCAUUCUCACUUCCUUCCUGACUAUUUCGAACACAAAACAUCAAUACAAGUAAACAGUGAGUCAACACUCUUAGUAUAUUAGUAAAAUGAAAAAAACUUCUUUCUUUUAUUCAAUAAUUAUUAUGAGUUGUGUAUAUUGAUCAACCUGUAAGUAGAUACAAACACUAAUAAUGCAGUUAGUUAGAAAAAAAAAAAUCAUUUUGUUUUCUUUCAAGUUUCUCAACUAACCGGGACCCAAUAUUCCCUUUGGCAUUCUUACACCAACAAAGAAACAACAACGAAACACACAGGAACACAAAAAUUAGGGACCUCUUUUAUCUACUUGCCCACCAUCACAAAUAUUACCUUUUUUUUCUUGUACGGUUUGGUGGUAGGGAAUGAAACCUAGCUACAUUCACUUCUUCUGAUUUGCAGUUGACUGGUUUUUCCAUGAGUGUAAUGCUGAAGCUCGAUGGACCCCAGGCUGUAUAAUAUUCGAAAAUAGUCAUUCCUUAUUUGUCUGUCAAUCACAAUCAAUUUGAUGAGUUUUGCGUACAUGUAAAGUGUGUAUAAUCCUACAGAGAAUAUUUACAUUAGUUAUAAGGCCUCAGCAUUUGAUAUAACUAAAAGACAACCUGUAUCAACUCAUUCUUCGAGUCAAGAAUAUCAGAGCUUUCUUAGAGGGGGAAUAGAUAGGCUCUAAAACCAUGUCUUGGUUUUUUUAUAGUUAUCAUUCUUGUUACUGCUCUUACAUUUCAUACUCCUUCAGAGGCUAGCCAUGAGAAGAACGAUCCUUCUGCAGUUGUUGUGGGCACUGUCUACUGUGACACAUGUUUCCAAGAGGAUUUCUCACAUACCUGUUACAAUUUGGUAAGGUUAAUUCUAUGGAAGAAGAGAAGAUGAAUAGUUUUGGAAUGAAACAGGGAGAGAAGAAUGAGGUUGUUCUUUUCUCUGCAAAGUUACAGAGGAAUAAUUGAUUUCAUUAAUUGUCUCUCACUAUCUUGCACACAACGUGCAAAGAGAGAUAUAAUGCCUUUUACAAAACUGAGCUGGAUCAGUACAAAUUGAAAUAGAUCUCAGCCACACAUUCAGCUAAUAGCUAAGAUCAUCACACAUGGCACUCAUGGCCUUUUAUACCUAUAUACCCUCUCACUUAGUAUUUAACAUAAGUGCAUACACAUAUUAACAUCACAACUUAUUUCUAAUCAGAUUUUGGACUUAUACUUCAACACUCCCCUUUAAGUCCAAAGCUGAUAUAACUCUUAGCUUGUCCCUGAGAUAGUUAAACCUGUCCUUUGGUAAUGCCUUGGUGAAAAUGUCUGCCACUUGUUCUUUGGUAGGACAGUAAACCAAGUCAAUUAUCCCUUGCUGCAAGGCAUCCUUGAUGAAGUGAUAUCUCCUGUCAAUGUGUUUUGUCUUUUGGUGAAACACAGGGUUCUUGGAUAUUGAGAUUGCAGAUGUGUUAUCACACUGCAGAGGGGUUGCAUCAACUUGUAACUCUCCAAAAUCUUCCAGAACAAAUCUGAGCCAUAUGGCCUGAGCUGUGGCUUCAGAAGCACUGAUAUAUACUCGGCUUCUGCAGUAGAAAGAGCAACACAGUGUUGUUUCACAGAGGCCCAUGAGAACACUCCACUUCCAAAAGAAAAUGCAUAGCCUGAGGUGCUUUUGCUGUCUUCAAGAGAUCCUCCCCAGUCACUAUCGCAAAAACCAAUUAAGACUGCCUUCUUGCCUUUCUCAUACUUCAAACCAUAGUCCAAUGUGCCCCUAACAUAUCUGAGCACUCUCUCUUAGCUGUUCCAUAGUGUUUAUUGGUAGGACAAUGCAUAUAUCGAGCUAAUAAACUAGCUGCAUACAUUAUAUCUGGUCUUGUAGCAGUAAGAUACAGUAAACUGCCUACAAGCUUUCUGUAUUUCUCUUCAUCUGCUGCACCACUGCCAUCUUCUUUACUCAACUUUUCAGUAGCCACAAGAGGUAUAGAGACAGAUUUACAUUCUUUCAAUCCAAACUUAUCCAACAGGGAAGAGGCAUACUUCUUUUGAUGAAUGAAGAUGCUAGAUUCUGUUUGAAUUAUCCCCAUUCCCAGAAAAUGAUGAAGAAGGCCCAAGUCUGACAUCUCAUACUUCUCCUUCAUAUCUUCUUUGAACUCAUCCAGCAUGUCUUGAUUGUUUCCAGUAUACACAAUAUCAUCCACAUAUAUGGAGACUAUUAGUAUAUCCUUUUCUCCCCUUGUCUUAGUGUAGAGAGUUGCCUCACUUAAGCUUUUCUCAAACCCACACUUAGUAAAAUAACUGUCAAUCUCUCCAUACCAGGCUCUAGGUGCCUGUUUUAACCCAUAAAGAGCCUUAUGCAAUUUGUAGACCUUGUCCUCCCUGCCAUUAACUACAAACCCCUCAGGUUGAUCUACAUAUACUUCUUCCUGCAAUUCUCCAUUCAGAAAAGCAGAUUUAACAUCUAGUUGAUAUAAUUUCCAGCUUCUCUGUGCAGCAAGAGCUAUCAAGGUUCGGAUUGUGUUCAAUCUUGCAACCGGGGCAAAAGUCUCAUUGUAGUCAAUUCCUGGUUUCUGCACAUACCCCUUGGCAACUAGUCUUGCCUUGUUCUUUUGGACUGAACCAUCUAAGUUCAACUUAGUUUUGAACACCCAUUUAACUCCAAUCACCUGCUUAUCACUUGGUCUGUCAAGCUCCCAAGUUCCAUUCUUCUCAAUCAUUUGCAGUUCUUCUUCCAUUGCCUUUAUCCAAGCCUGAUCUUGUGCAGCUUCUUCGAAUUUUUCAGGUUCCACAAUACAGAGAUUGCACUGUGCCAUAAUAUCAUUUAUGUUUCUCCAUUUCACUGGAGUAUGAUCAUAAGACUGAGGGAUCUCAACAGAUUCUUGAAUGCUGCUUUCUUGUUCUUUAGUAUGAGAGGAGGUAUAUGAACUGGAGGCACUGUCUUGAAUCUCAUCCAACUCAUGUGAAUUCUGAAUGUGGGUCACAGCAACAGAAUUCUCUGAAUGUUUCUUCCAAUUCCAGGUUAUAGUUUCAUCAAAAACUACAUCUCUUGAAAGAAUUAACUUCUUAGUGCAUGGAUCAAACACUCUGUAUCCCUUCUCACAUGUAGCAUAUCCAACAAACACACCUUUGACACUCUUAGCAUCUAGCUUCUGUCUUAUUUCAGAUGGUAUAUGCAUAUAGCAUACUGAUCCAAACACCUUUAAAUGGCCAACCCCUGGUUUUCUGCCACUGUAAGCCUCAAAUGGUGUUAAAUUAUUGAGUGCCUUUGUAGGUGAUCUGUUCAAAAUGUACACAGCUGUGUGUACUGCUUCUGCCCACAGAAAGUAUGGCAUGCUUUUAUCAUGAAGCAUUGCCUUAGCCAUUUCUACAACCGAUCUAUUCUUCCUCUCCACUACUCCAUUUUGUUGUGGAGUGUAGGCCAUAGAUAACUGUCUUUGAAUCCCUGCAUCUUCACACAGUUUGUUGAAUUCACAAGAUGUGAAUUCUCCCCCUCUGUCACUCCUCAAACAUUUUAUCUUAAAGUCACAUUGUAAUUCCACCAUGGACUUGAAUUUUCUAAAACAUAUCAAUGCAUCUGACUUGUAUUUCAGAAAAAAUAAACCCACAUCAUUCUUGUACAGUCAUCUACAAGAAGCAUGAAAUAUUUGUUGCCCGCAAGUGAAUCAUUCUGCAUAGGACCACACAAAUCCACAUGCACCAGUUCUAGAGGUUUACUUGCUCUCCAUGCUUGAUUCUUUGGAAACCACUCUCUAUGUUGUUUUCCCAAACUGACAACCUUCACAAACUUCAUCCAUUUCUUCUAAAACUGGGAGACCAUGCACCAUUUCUUUGUUUUUAAGCUGCUGAAGACCCCUAACAUGCAGAUGGCCUAGUCUCUUGUGCCAUAUCCAAGUAGACUUAGAAAUACCUGCCCUCAGUACAACCUGAUCAUUUGGUAUCAGUGUCAAGGGGUAACACCUGUUCUUUUUCAUUUCAACUUUGAGUACAAGACAAUCCAAUGAAGGUCCAUCAAAAAUACUGCACAUCUUUCCCCCAAAUAACAGAUAGUAACCGUGUUCAUCCAUUUGCCCCACACUUAACAGAUUUUCCUUCAACCCAGGUAGAUACAUUACAUCUUUGACAUAUUUUCUGCCUUUGCUAGUAUCUAUCAUAAGUGUUCCAAAACCUGCCACAUUCAUGAGUUCCCCUGUGGGCAUUUGAACCUUGCCAACCACAUUUGUCUUCAUGUCUAUUAACAAAUUAGAAUCCCCUGUCAUAUGGUUGCUACAACCACUGUCUACAUACCAUUCUCCAUUCACUUUUGAUUCAGUGAUUGUGCUAUUUGCAUAAAACAGGUUCCCUGUCACCUCUACCUGAUUAGCACUAUUUGCCUUUUGCACUAAUUUACCUACUGUGCACUCUCUAGCCCAGUGACCAAACUUUUCACAGUUAUAGCAUUUAGGUUUCCCUUUAUACCUACACUCUCCAAAGUGAAACUUAGAACAUACCCUGCACUGUGGUUUUGUACCUAUCUGCCCCAUUGACUGUGCAUUAUGUGCAGGACUAGCAGGAAAUUUCUGCUGAAACUUAGGUUUUGAACCCCAUUUCUUGCCCUUAUUAUUCCAAUUUUUCUGGAACUGAGAUGAACCAGAUUGACCUUCACCCCUAUUCUGCUCUUUUGAAUUCACUGAGAAAGAUGAGAAUGCUUUACCAGUAGUAUCAACAGUAUGCAGAUCAAACCGUUGUUCUUGACUCUUCAAGAUUGCAACUACUUCCUGCAAUUCUACAGUCUCUAGACACUUUUUGUGUUUUCUAUAACCAAACAGAUAGAAUCAUAAGGUUUACUAAGACUAAUCAGAACCUUCUGCACAAGUCUCUCAUUCGACAGAGAUUCACCAAAUGUUCUCAUUUGAUUAAUUAGCUCAUUCAGCCGUGUAAGAUAGCUAGAUAAAGACUCAUCAUCUCUCAUCCUAGCAUAUUCAAACUCUCUCCUAAGAUUCUGCAAUUUCACAGAUCGUACCUGAUCACCACCAUGAUACUCCCCGUAUAACAAAUCCCAUGCCAUCUUAGCUGAUUCGGCAUUGGCGAUUCGUGGGAAGAUCUGAUCCGAGACUGCAUUUUGAAUGAUUCCUAGAGCCUUCGCAUCCUUCAUGAACACAGCAGCCAUUUCUUCAUCGACUGCAUCGUCCGAUGACCCUUCAACUUCCUUCUUCUUCGAGUCAGGGGUUGUAAUCCCUUUGUCCACCAGCUUCCAUAACCCAAGCGAUUUGAAUAUCGUUACCAUCUUAAUCCGCCAGAACUCGUAGUUCUCACCGGAGAAGAUUGGGGUUCUCACCUCCGAGCUUCCAGAUCCAGACAUCUUGAUCCGUCUGUUGCUUUCUCGCCUCAAAUGAAAACUCCGGCGACUUUCACCGAGCUUUGACUUAGCUUAGUGACUUCACAGCUUCACGCCCAGAUUCAAUUGAUCGAAAAUCGGCUCUGAUACCAUGUUACAAUUUGGUAAGGUUAAUUCUAUGGAAGAAGAGAAGAUGAAUAGUUUUGGAAUGAAACAGGGAGAGAAGAAUGAGGUUGUUCUUUUCUCUGCAAAGUUACAGAGGAAUAAUUGAUUUCAUUAAUUGUCUCUCACUAUCUUGCACACAACGUGCAAAGAGAGAUAUAAUGCCUUUUACAAAACUGAGCUGGAUCAGUACAAAUUGAAAUAGAUCUCAGCCACACAUUCAGCUAAUAGCUAAGAUCAUCACACAUGGCACUCAUGGCCUUUUAUACCUAUAUACCCUCUCACUUAGUAUUUAACAUAAGUGCAUACACAUAUUAACAUCACAACUUAUUUCUAAUCAGAUUUUGGACUUAUACUUCAACAAUACCAGCCAUUUCAUUUCAGGUAAAUUCAUCUCAAAUUUUCAACAAGUUCUUCAUCAAAUUUAUUUUUAUAUUGUAAUCCGGCUAUAAAACAGACAACCGUUCAAUGAUUUCCGUACACCUUCUCCUCAUAAACAGACGUCCGUUCAAUGAUUUCCUUACACCUUCUCCUCCAUACACUCAUGUUUAUUUUGUAAUUUCUAAAUUCAAAUGAAUCAAAGAAAAUCAAAAUAACGAAAAAAACAAGUGUACAAAAUGAAAAAAAAAAAGAAAGCAAAAUCCAAGAAAAUGACUAAAAACCUUUAUACAAGUAUUUCCUAUAUCUGAGUCAAAUAUACAACUAUGAAAAGUAAAUAACAAAUCAAUUACAAAAAAAUCUCGCCUAACUCCUUGGUUGUAAGGCUCUGCAUUCAAUCACGAUUUCUUUCCAGACAACGAGUGGUAAGGAUAUUAUUUCUCUUGAAGAAAAGUUGGAGGAUAUGUCAUUUGUAUGUGUUGAUAUCAUUGUCGCCACAUAUGUAUGUCAUCAGUAACUUUAAAUGACUUAUCCCCAUACAAAGUAUAAUAGUUGGUCUAAAUGAUUUAUCCCCAUACAAAGUAUAAUAGUUGGUCUAAAUGAUUUAUCCCCAUACAAAGUAUAAUAGUUGGUCUAAACCCUAAUUCCAUAAACGACCAUACUGUUUAAAUGAAAUAAUUGCUCGGUUCCAUUUUACCCCCACAUUUUCUGCUUUUGUUUUGUUGCAAGAGUUUAACUUGUUAUUUGGAAUAUAUUGUUCACAGAAAGCACAUGUUCAGAAAUUUUUGGCUACUGAAGAUGCACUGAAAAAAGCUGCAGAAGUUAGGGAUCUAUGUCAAAAACUUAUUAAACGCUUGCAUGGCAAUACUGAUGUAAUUUCUUCAGGAACAUCACAAAAUGUGGGCAGUCUUAGGCAACUUGAGGUAAAUCUUCCUUGCAUAUUAAAAGUAUUAACUACCAAUAGUUUGGGUGGAAAUAGCACCAUGGGUGACAGGUUUGAUUAGUUUCAGUCUUUUGAUCCUUUUCAUAGUUGUAUACUGUAUACUAGGUUACUUUUAACCUGCACUGUGUUAUCAUCUGGUUUUUUACAGUCUUCCAUUUUCUUUGUGUAGCUGGAGGUUUGGGCCAAGGAAAGAGAAGUUGCUGGCUUGAGGGCUAGCUUGAAUACACUGAUGUCUGAAAUACAACGCUUAAAUAAAUUAUGUGCGGAAGGGAAAGAAGUUGAAGGUUCUUUGAAAAAGAAGUGGAAGAAGAUUGAAGAAUUUGAUUACCGCAGAUCAGAACUUGAAAUCAUAUAUACCUCUUUACUAAAAGUUAACAUGGUAAGGAUCUCAGCUUCAAUAGUGCUUAUAAAUUUACUAGUAACUUCAUAUACUGGCAUUGUAUAAGCCAUGUCUCGUCAUUCCAUGAAGUGUCGGCUCUUUUUCUUUAAGUUCCAGGCAAAAGGUCAUAUAUAUAAUGUUGAAUUGUAAUCUUGUCUUGGCCCAAGACAAUUGAUCAGGCCCAUACACAAAGAAAGAUUCAUGCACAUGCUAGAGAGUUCUAGCAAAUUCAAGUUGGUGGAAUGCAUGCAUAAAUAUCCAAGGCUUUUUGUAGAAAGAUCUAGAAUCUUGUAAAAUUGUGUGGUUGUUAAGCACUAGCUAGAAAGUUCUAGCAAUGUCAAAGUUGGCAAACGUUGCCUAUAAAUAGGUGAGGUGCUAAGCUAUGUGAUGUAACAACCAAGAGAGCAUGUAGUGAGAAGUGAGAGUGCCAAGUGAGAAGUGAGAAGAAGCAACAAAGCUUCUAAGAGUGUUUGAGUGUUUCCUCUUGUACUAAGUUUGUGAGUGAAUAAAAAUCUUGUGUAAUACUUUUGAGUAUUCUUUCUUUCUCUUGCCUAUCAAUUCCGCUGCAUUACAUUCUUCUUUGAGAGAUAAACAUCUCCAAAGUAGUGAAAUCUUUUUAAGCCCCAACAAUAUGCAUGCUCUGAUGUCUUAUUUUGUUCUAUUUCAUUGUUUGUGUGCCUGCUUAAUGGGUGCUUUCAGUUCGAACUUACAUUUACUGGAUAAAAGGUUUGGAGGGUUCAGACGCUGCCCUAGCAUCAAUCCUAGAGUCCCUGGAAUUCUGUUCGAAACUUCGUGGUUCUGAAGCUAGUGUGUUGGAGGACAUGGUAAAGGCAAUUAAUUUGGUCCAUACACCACAGGAUCUUGUUGAAAGUGGUCAUGUGUUGUUGAACCAUGCCUAUAGAGCUCAACAAGAAUAUGAAAGGUAAAACUUCACAUGGCCUUAUUUUACAGGAAACUAGACUGUGUUAUCCUCCAAAACCCGAAAGUUUCAGUAAGCGGAACUCGGUCAAAUAAUACAAACUUGAAUUCCAUUUUGAGCAUUGUGAGAUGAAGGAAAGUGCCAGAAACUGCUUUCUUAUUUCAUUUAAGAUUCACAUGGUUUGUUGCUCUGGAUGUUCUGAAUUUUUUUCAUCCAGAUUCUAAAUAUAUUACAGUUUGCUCUUUGUUCUAAUCUGUUGUCAAAACUCAGGAUGCAUAGCUCUGGUGUUACGUUAAAUUCAUUCUAAAUAUUAAACCAUUCAAAUAUGUGAUGGUUAUUAAUUAGCAUUUUAGGAUCUCUGACUAUUUGUUAGAUUAACAUGCACUUAAUUUGUAUCUACUACUCUGCAGGACAACGAGCUAUUGUUUAAAUGUGGCUGCUGAGCAAGAGAAAAUUGUCAUGGAGAAAUGGUUGCCUGAACUUAAGGCUGCAAUUUUGAGUGCUCAGAAGUGCUUGGAAGAUUGCAACUAUGUUAGGGGAUUGGUGAGUGACCACCAUACGCAGAGUUAGCCUGCAUUUUUUAGUUCUAUAGUAGUUGUAUAGACAGUCCAUUUUUCUACGUUAGCAGUACAAAUUCUUUUGUUGUCUUGUUUUUCCCCUCUUUAAUUGUCUGAGCUGCAAUACGUUUCUGCAGCUUGAUGAAUGGUGGGAGCAACCCGCAGCAACUGUUGUUGACUGGGUCCUAGUCGAUGGAUUAAACGUUGCUGCCUGGCAUAAUCAUGUGAAGCAGCUCCUUGCAUUUUAUGAUCAGGAGCACUUGUGAAUAUUAAUCGAGUACUCAGCAAACAAGAUUUUCUCGGGAUCUCCCUGGUCUUCCUGGAUCAAAUUUGCCACUUCUACAAAGCCCUGGUCUCAUUCAUUCUGGCAUUACUAAAACCACCUACAAAGGCCUGGUAGAAACGGCUCAAGCUCGACUUCCUGCUUGGAAGGUGAUUCUAAAGGGAUAACUCAUAGCUAACAGUUUUGUAUAGCUGUGUUUUACAGUUUUAGAUUCAGUUGUAACAGUUUCUGUAACUAAUCUAUGUGAUUAGAGAUUUAAUUAAGCACAAUUAGUCACUAAGCUUUAUUAGGAAAGUGUAUAAAUAUUGAGUUGUAUUUUCCUUACUCAUUAAGAAAGAAAUAAUACAAGGCUUAUUUCUUACAUGGUAUCACCACCUCUCAACUUCACCGCCUCUCGAUCCUUCUUCCUUGCGAUUUCUUCUUCGAUUGGUGCAUCUGCAAAUUCCUCUCGAUUUUUUUUCGACCUUUGAUCUUCGAUCAUGGCGUCUUCGACUUCGUCUCCUGUGCAGCCUAAAGUUGUUGCCCCAAAUCCUGCAAUUCCUUCCCCCAAUUUUGCAGCGAUAAACCCUAAUUCCUCAAAUUCUCUGAUCUCGUCGAUUUCUUCCAUCACUGUUCAGAAUAUCAGUUGUAUGGUUCCUCCGAAGCUUAAGCGUGACAAUUACCUUGUCUGGAAAGCUCUUUUCACUCCAAUUUUCCGACGAUAUAAACUUACCGGAAUCAUUGAUGGAUCUGAAGUUUGCCCGCCGCCUUAUGUUCUUGAUCAAUCUAGUCAAAACUCUGGAAUUCCAAAUCCUGACUUUGAAAUUUGGUAUGAAAAAGAUCAUAAUAUACUGAUUUCGCUGAAUUCUACUCUCUUUGAGGAGAUUAUUCCGUUCACCAUCGGUGUCACAUCGUCUCGAGUACUCUGGCUAAAUCUCGAGCAUCGAUUUGAUGGCGUUUCAGCUGCUUAUAUUCAUCAGCUUUGUUCUCGUCUUCACUCUAUUCACAAAGGUGAUCUUCCUAUCUCGGAUUAUUUACAAAGAAUUAAAGGCCUAUCUGAUUCUCUAAUGGCUCCUAGAGCUUCUGUCUCUGAUCAUGACUUGAUUAUUGCUACGUUAAAUGGCUUACCUAAUGAGUAUGAGUCGUUUAUUGACUCUAUCAUGGUCAGGAUUUCCACCAUAACACUGGAUGAACUUCAUGGUUUGCCGAUCAAUAAGGAAGUCUUCAUGAAUCGUAAAAAGAAAGGCAUUGCCUCAUCUGGUUCUGUGCCUUUUCAUGCCUUUGCUGUGCAGUUUCAACCUUCUCUUCUUCCUACACCGUCACAAUAUUACAAUUCUCCUCAUGCUCAUGUUGCUCAACAGUUUAAUCACAAUGCUCCACCAAAGUUUCACAACAACAAUUGACACGCCCCGAUCCCGAUGUCCUCGAGACAUCGGGAUGGUCACGUGCUGGCCAACACCCGAAGGGUGACGAAAGCCAUUUGAUUUAAGUAAAAGCUGAGAAAUAUACUAAAACAAGCAAUAGGAACUAAUAAUACAAAACUAAAGUUCAACUGCUAAUUAAUAAAAUUAUGGUUAUACACAUAAGUUCAGAGCAUACAUCUAUUACAGAGUACAAGCAGAAUUUAAGAUAGAGAAAUGCUAUAUUACAAUAGGUGUCGAAGCAGAGGAAAUAUAGCACUGAAUCACUGGUAGGGAAAUGCCUCGUAGCUCAAAUCGUAAUCCUCGUUCAUAGGUCCUGAAGGGGGCGCAAAACAAACAUAAGUGGACCAAUUUGAUAUAUAUAUAUAUAUAUAUAUAUAUAUAUAUAUAUAUAUAAUAAAACAGUUAUCAACCUACUAACCCCCAGAUUUAUGAAAACAUACAUAUAAUAAAAACAUAGGUUUUCCGAAACCUAGCAUGUUGUGUAAUGUCUCAAAUUCAUAACUUAUAUAUAUAACAAGCACUAGUGAUUUGUCCAAUAACCUCCAGGCCCCAUGCCGGCUCUCCGUCUUUGAGCAGACAGUCAAAGGAAAAUACACUUCAGGCCCCAUGCCAGCUCCCCAUCUUUGUGCUAAAUAGCCAGAGGAAACACACUCCAAGCCCUAUACCAACACCAAACCGUUGCUCGGGACGGACCAGAAUCUAUCCCUACGUCCCGUAGCGGAAAUGAUCACUAGGUAAGUACAAAACCAUUGAAUAUAUCUAUUUUGAAAAACAACUUCAUAGUAUAAAGUCAUCCAUCAUUUAUACUAUAAAGAGGUAUUCUAAACAUGUUCUAAAUAUCAUAUCGUCAUCCAUCAGAUAUUCUAUAAGAACAUGGGUUAUAUGAAAAAUAGUAGUAAUUUAAUCUAGCCUCAGUAAGCAUGUUAUCUCACAAAACAUUUCAUAAAACAUAAUCAUUAAAUCAUGCUUUUCAUGUAUGCAUUUCUAUUAUUAAAACAUGAUUUCACUCACCGUACACCGAUGGUGCAAAGCUGUACCAAAAAGGAAUAACGGAAUCACCGUUAAUAAUUGCACAUAUUCACAUAAAGGGGUACCUUUAGUCAAACUCUAUUCAAACGAUUGAAUUUGGAAAAAAAAACAUACUUCAAAAACAGGUCCAGGACGUCGAAAUUAGCCUAGGAGAGGUCCCGGACGAAACCCAGAAAAGUCAACUUAAAAAGUCAACGUUAACCGUUGACAGGUCAAAGUCAAAGUCAACGCUAACCGUUGACCAAGUCAACAGUCAACUGGGUCAAACGGUCAAAGUCAGACUGGGCUUGGAUUGGGUUGGGCCGAUUGGGCCCUAAAGGUUUGGGUUUGGAUUAAAGGUUAAUGGGUUUGGGAAAGGGUUGAAAGCCCAAGCUCUAAAUGGCCCAAAGGCCUUAAAUAUAAAGGUUUCUAUACACUCGGGCCUAAGGCCCUGAAUAAAAUGGCCCCAGGCCUUAAUUCUUAAAACUAUAAUUAAACAAAACCUAAAAAGGUUUUGGGUUGAUCUAAUGGGCCACAGGCCCUAAAAGAAACGGCCCGAAGGCCUUUAAGGGUUUUAAAGAAAUAAAACAAAAACAAAAACAAAAUAAAAACAAAAGGAAACAGGCUGGGCUAAAACCAAAACGGGCUUAAGGCCCAUGGGUUGGGAAACGACCUGAAAGGCCUUGGGUGCGCCGGGGAAGAACGCCGGAGCUUCUACAGCUCCGGCCGACUGCAAACCUAGUUUUUUAGGGUCCGAUCUAGGUAUCAAAUUGAAGUACAAGACGAGAAGAACAACGUUAUACCUUCCUUUUGCCGUAAAACGGUCGGAGGUGACCGAAAACUCCCUCGACACCCACGGCCUCCCCGGAGCUAGGUGUGCCUUCCCCCAACCUGAUUCCAUUCUAAAACCUCAACAACAACGUAAUACCUAAUUAAAACACAUUCACGCAAGAUUCUAAGACGAAUUAGGAAGAAUUCGAGGCUUACCUAACCAGAGGAAUAGGAAAUCUCGCCGGAGAGUUCCUUGGUUUCAUCCUCACAGCACGGGAAAGAGAUAGAGAGCUGAUGAGGGAUUGAUGAUGGUGAUGACUCCUUCUAGCACGAGCGUGCCUUUGCGUGUGAGUGUGUGUGCGAUUUCAGUGAAGAAAAGGAAAGAGAUGAGGAUUCCGAGAGAGAGAGAAGAGAAAGACAGAAAGAAGAAGAUGAAGCUCACGGGAGGGGUAGGGGACAGAGAGAGCAAUGAGAAAAGUCUUGGGGUGCUGCCAUGUGGCAGCUUGGGAAUAAUCCUGAAUGGGUAGUCAAAAUAGGACUAAAUUGAUAAAUUCAUAAUAUUUUGGGGAUACAUACAUAAUUAUAUUUUUAUAAAUGGGGGUGGGUGUAACAACAAUCGUGGCCAAGGAUCUUUUCAACGCAAUAAUCGUGGCAAUUUUCACAAUAACUUCAAUAAUCCUCGAGGUAACUUUCACAAUUUUGGUGGUAAUCAUGGCAACUAUAGAAACAAUUUUGGAAAUCGUAACAAUUUUGGUGGAAAUCGCUCUAAUUCUGGUGGAAGAACUCCCUGUCAAAUAUGUCAUUCCUUUGAUCAUGAAGCUAUUGACUGUUAUGAGAGAAUGAAUCAUGCUUUUGCUAGAAAAAUCCCUCUUACAAAACUUGCUGCUAUGUGUGCUCACACUAGCUCUCAGCAAUCUCAUCCUAUUUGGUUGAUGGACUCGGGUGCUACAUCCCAUAUUACUAAUGACAUAUCUGCAAUUCAAUCUCCAUAUCCAUACUCUGGCGAAGACAAGGUGUACAUUGGUGAUGGACAAGGUAUGGAUAUCCAUCACAUUAGUAAUUCUAUCAUUCCAACACCACAUGCUAAUUUCAGAUUGAGUAAUGUCCUUUAUGUUCUACUGAUGAAAUUCAAUUUACUCUUUGCCUAUCAAUUCUUAAAAGAUAAUCAUUGCUCUUUGACUCUUGAUUCUGAUGGUUCUGAAAUCAAGGAUCAUUCUUCUGGGAUGACGAUUUUUCGAAGGCCAGUUAAAGCAGGAUUUUAUCCCUUUCAAGGUCUCUCCAAUGUGCCCUUCUCACAUUCUGCUAUGUUCAGCACUAAAGCAUCAUUGAAGACCUGGCAUAACAGGCUCGGUCAUCCUUCUUCUGUUAUGUUUAGACAAGUAUUAAAUAAGCAUAAUCUUGUUCACAAUAGGGACAAGUUUGUAUCUUUCUUUUGCACAUAUUGUGCCAUAGGCAAAAAUCAUAAGCUAUCAUUUUCUUCCAAUACUAGUUCUGUGUCUACUAGUUUAGAGUUGCUACAUUGUGAAGUUUGGGGUCCAUCUCUAGUUUCUUCUGUCAGUGGUUACAAGUUUUACUUGUUGAUUGUGGAUGAGUUCACCAAAUAUACUUGGAUGUUUCCUAUGAAAACUAAAUUUGAGGUUUUCUCUAUAUUUGUAUCUUUCAAAGCUUAUGUAAAGAACAUGAUUGGCAAUAAAAUAAAAAUCUUGCGAUCAGAUUCAAGGGGUGAGUUCACUAGCUUUGUGUUCAACUUUUUUUUUAUAAAAUAGUGGUAUUUCUCAUCAAUAUAGCUGCCAUCAACUCUUGAACAAAAUGGAUGUGUUGAGAGGAAGCAUAGGCACCUUACAGAGACUGCAUGGACUCUAUUGGUUUCUUCUCAAGUCCCACACAAAUUCUGGGUUGAAGCCUUCUCUACUGGCAUUUAUCUCAUCAACAGAUUACCAAUUUCAAGACUGGACAAAUCUCCAUGGGAACUCCUCUUCAAGACAACUCCAGAUUAUUCAAAAUUAAAGGUGUUUGGCUACAGCUACUGUCCUUGGCUUAAACCUUAUGUUUCCUCAAAACUGGAAGGCAAAAGCAAGCAUUAUGUCUUUCUUGGUUAUAGUCUUCAGCACAAAGGAUAUCGGUGUUUAGAUCUUCAAUCUUAGAGAAUCUACAUUUCAAGGCAUGUAUUGUUCAAUGAGGGGCAUUUUCCCUUUCAUGAUGCUUAGAAGUUUUCUACCUCAUCAACACCACAGUCUCCAGUGCAUGCUUCUUCCAUAAAAUUUAAUCUUUCAUUUCCUAUAUCUCAGCAUGUUUCACCAUCUUCCACAGUGCCUGCAUCACAGUCAGCAGCAUCUCCAUCACUUACAACAUCUCAGCAACCUCUAUCUUCACAAGUACCAUCUCAGUUCUCUCUACAAGUAUCAUCAUCAUCUCAUUCAUUACCUUUGCAACCAGAUCAUUCAUCUUUAAUUCAGCAAUUGAUUCCUACCAACUCUCAUCUUAUGAUUUCAAGGUCUAAAGCAGGUAUCUUUAAAUCAAAAGCUCUAUCUGCCACCAAACAUCCAAUUGAUAUUGAUACUUUUGUGUCUACCAUUCAUCUACAAGCCUCGAAGCAUGCUCAUUGGAAUCAAGCCAUGCUCGAAGAGUUUCAGGCUCUAAAAACACAGGCACUUGGACCUUAGUACCUCAAUCUCCACAUCAAAACAUUGUAGGCUGUAAAUGGGUGUUUCGGAUAAAAAGAAAACCUGAUAAUACAUUUGACAGAUACAAGGCUCGCCUUGUAGCCAAAGGAUUUCACCAACAAAAAGGUAUUGACUUCACAUACACCUUUAGUCCAGUUGCCAAACCAGUGGCCAUUUGAAUUCUAUUAACUCUUGUUGUUCAAAAUGAUUGGUUUCUCAAUCAGUUGGACAUUAGUAAUGUAUUUCUUCAUGGUACACUCAAAGAAGAGGUGUUUAUGCAACAGCCUUCUGGUUUUAUUGAUGCUUCUCAGCCUUUAUUUGUUUGCAAGCUCAAUAGAUCUCUUUAUGGUUUAAAGCAAGCCCCUCGUGCCUGGUUUGAUAAGCUUGGUCAUACAUUACUGUCUCUUGGUUUCACUAACUCUUAAUCCGAUUACUCCUUAUUUGUGCAUACAUAUCCUUCCUUUGUGAUUGUAUUAGUCUACGUUGAUGACAUCUUAGUCACCAGUCCAAAUGCAUCCGAUUGUCAAGCUUUCAUUCACAAGCUCAGUUCUUUGUUUCAUGUCAAAAACUUAGGGCCUCUUCACUACUUCCUUGGUCUUGAAGUUCAUAGAUCAUCUGAAGGUAUUUUCUUGUCACAUGGUAAAUAUAUCAUAGAUCUUCUUAUCAAGAUCAAAAUGGAAGGAUGUAAACCUUGUGCCACUCCUCUUGGCACUCAUAAAUUGGAUCACAUUGGAACCUUAUUGUCUGAUCCAAAGGAGUACAGGUCUAUUGUUGGUGAUCUUCAAUAUUUAACAUGGACAAGGUCGGAUAUCUCUUUUGAUGUGAACCAUGUGUGUCAAUUUCUUCAUUGUCCUUGAGAUACUCACUUUCAGGCAGUUAAACGUAUUCCCAGAUUUCUCAAAGGCUCAGUUGAUCAAGGACUCUAGUUUAAAAAGAGUUCUCUGCAGCUAACAACUUUUUCGGAUGCCGAUUGGGCUGGAUGUGUGUUUGAUAAAAGGUCUAAAUCUAGAUAUUGUAUUUACUUGGGUUUCAAUCUUAUAAGUUGGAGUGCAAAAAAGCAGCCAACUGUUACAUGAUCUUCAACUGAAGCCGAGUAUCAAUCCUUUACUUUUACUACUGCAGAAAUUACCUGGAUCUGCAAGAUUUUCAAGGACAUCACUUUUCCUCUUUCUCAUGCUCCUACAUUAUGGUGUGACAAUGUUUCUACCAUAUCUUGGCUUCAAAUCAUGUGUUCCAUGCAUGAAUAAAGCAUGUCGAAGUUGAUUAUCAUUACAUCAAGGAGGUUGUUCUUGCCAACCUAGUCAAAAUUCUGUAUGUCAACUCUGAGCAUCAGAUUGUAUACAUUCACACUAAAUCACUGUCCAAGGCAAGGUUCAAGUAUCUUCAGUCCAAGUUUUCUCUGGGUUCCCCUCCAAUUAGCUUGAGGGGGUGUAAAGGGAUAACUCAUAGCUAACAGUUUUGUAUAGCUGUGUUUUACAGUUAUAGUUUCAAUUGUAACAGUUUCUGUAACUAAUCUCUGUAAUUAGAGAUUUAAUUAAGCACAAUUAAUCACUAAGCUUUAUUAGGAAAGUGUACAAAUACUGAGUUGUAUUUUCGUUACUCAUUAAGAAAGAAAUAAUACAAGGCUUAUUUCUUAUAAAUCAGUCAUAUCUUGCUGGUCGAGCUAGUCUUGUUCAGUCUUGUUCAAUCUUCCACCUCCACUAUCCCAGUAUAUGAUAUGCAGACAGGGUUUAGGGUUUAAAGUUUAGGUAUGCAGAGAAGGUUGGGCCAAGUUUGCCUUCCGAAGUCUCUUGGUGGGCUUGGCUUGAAAAACAUAAGAGUUAUGAACAACUCUUCUUGCUAAGAACUCUUGGAGAUUGAUGGAGGGGAUAAUGGUCUGUGGGCAAAAGUUUUUAGUGGCAAGUACAUUGACCAUUGGGUCAAUUACUCAAAGAUCAAACUGCUUUAGGCUCUUCUUGCACUUGGAAAAGUGUUCUUGAAAGGACUAAACUUUCGUACUACUUUGGCGAAUUUGGAAAUGGUAACACGGUAAAAUUUUAGACUGACAGAUGGGCUAAAUGUGGUAUUUUGCUUCAUUAUGGUAGCUGCCUGCUCUCGGACAAUAUGCUUAAGGUUACCGUAGCUGAUUAUUGUUACAAUAAUGUUUGGGAUAUACACUACUUGUUUUACCAAAUGAGGUUGUUGAACAAAUUCUUAGCAUUUUAGUUGGUUUUGAUACUUUGGAGGAUAAGUGUAGCAGGUGUGGAACACAAGUGAUGUUAAUAUGUUGGCCAUUAAUUCUAGUGGUUUUCCUAAUUUGCGAUAGAAUCUCAUUUGGAAUCUUCAUAUUCAUUCGAAAGUUUAGAGUUUCUUAUGGCUGCUCACUCUUGAUAAGCUCAUAACUAAUGAUCAAAGGCUGGAGGGAUUACGACUGAUAACCCUGAGUGUUAAAGAUGUACAUGUGGCUUUAAAUCAACGCCUCAUGUUUUUAAAGAUAGUCAUAAGGCAAGCAAAGUUUGGCUGAUGUUGAGGAUGUAUAACCAACUAAAUUGAUUUUCAUGAUUUUCUUCAUUUUAAUCUUACGACUAAUUCACUCAUAUUGGGAGGUUUAGAGUGGAGGUUAGUUUUUUCGUUGGUUGUUGGUUUAUUUGGUAUUGGCAAAAUAAUUUUUUUUAGCAAGAUUUUGCAAUGUUUGAUGAGCCUACAGUUGCUAUUUGUGCAUAUCUUGUGAGUAUUAGCCUUCAACCAUUCACGAAGAUUGGUCAAUGUCGUAUAAUUGAAUCUUUGCUCCACUGAGAAGCUCUUUAUUCAAAUUGGUAAUGUUGAUGGUUGUAAGAAGGAAAAUAAGAAUUUUUUACCUAACCAACCGACAGUAGACAAAGGAUAUGUUGAUGUUGAUGUUGAUGUUGAUGGUUGUAAGCUCUCUUCUCUUUUUUUUCCUCCCCUCCUGUUUAAACGCUCAAAAUUUUAUCUUUGUAAGGAGAAAGAAGAAAAAAAAGUAGAGAGGGAAGAGAAAUAUCUAGGAAAGAAGACUGGAGGGGAGAAAAAAAGGGAGGAGAAAGAAUACCAUCCUUAUAACUUGGUCCCUUAUUGAAUGAAAGGACAGGCUUCUGCUUGGCUUAAUACCAACUUCAGUCCAAUUGUCUUCUUGUUUUGGAAAUUGACAACUCCAAGUGAUGAAAAAACAUCACAUGUAUUAUUGUACGGAUGAAAAGUGUUGCUUUUUGCACUAUUGCAUUUAAAGUGAUUAGAAAUUCCGUGAAAAUUUCCAAUAUCUCGUUGCAUUGAUGAACGGACGAGAUAUAAAAAAAAACAAAAUUUUAUACCUUCAUCUACUACGUUGAUGUAUUAUAUCCAAAACCCUAAAAUUCUCCUCAUGAAUGAUGAGUCUAAUAUUUUUCAGAGUUGUUAUCAGCACUUGCAAACAGUGUUUUAUGCAUGUCGGUCUCGAAGUUAUCAAUGAGGGGUCAUGAUAAUUAUUUUAAAUUGUUAAUAACAUUAUCUUUUCUUAUUCUCGGUAGGCGGCUACAUCCCUACAAUCUCAAAAUAUGUUUAAAUUCACUCAUGUACAAUGAGAAAAUGCCAUAUGGCAGGUUUGACACAGUUUGGAAAUUGGUGAGACAUGAAAAGUUCCUUAAUCCUCCCUCGCCCACACGGCAGCCCUCAACUCGACCGUGAUGAGAAGACAUGACAUGUCUUUUGCGAAUGACAGGGAAUUGGACAAAACCAUCCCUUCUUUGUUUCAAUAAUUGUUAUGAAUUAUCGUAUAACUAUUAACCUAUAAGUAGAUAUGAACAACGACUUAAUUGCCACUCAUUUUCACUAUAAAAGGAAAACAUUUCAUCACAAGAUUGCAGUGGGGACAGAGAGGGUUGUGGUUGUCGUAGAUAAACCUAGAUUUGGAUAUGAUCUGGACCUCAGUGUCUGGAACCUGCAAGUCCACAAAUCUUGAUCGAUGAUUGGUGUGCAAGUCAAAUCAGGGCCGUUGGUUGUGUGUGGUGGGCUAGGAAAAUGAAUUAAUGGAGACCGUUGGAUUCAAUUUGUGCGGCCAAGAUUUGUUGACUUGGAGGCUCCGAACACUAAUGUUUGGAGUGGAUCCAAAUCCAAUAAACCUAGGUUUCAUCACAAAGCAGGAAAUUGAAUUCAGAACAAAACAAACAGAUUGUGAGUAGGAAAAGACAGAUUUUUUAGUGUGUCAAGAACACUGUUUAGUACACUGAGUGUAAUAAUACAAUUGGUUGGAAACUUGUAAAAAAAAAAAAAAAAUUUCCAACUUUUUAUAUCAUAUGAUGUAUCAGACCGUGUUUCCAACAUCAACGAGAUUUGGAUGUCACGCAUACAAAUAAAGACUUGUUGGGGCUUAAAAAGACUUCACUACUUUGGAGAUGUUUAUCUCACAAAGAAAAAUGUAAUGCAGCGGAAUUGAUAGGAAAGAGAAAGAAAGAAUACUCAAAGUAUUACACAAGAUUUUUAUUCACUCACAAACUUAGUACAAGAUGAAACACUCAAACACUCUUAGAGGCUUUGUUGCUUCUUCUCACUUCUCUCUUGGCACUCUCACUUCUCACUACUUACUCUCUUGGUUGUUACAUAGCUUAGCACCUCACCUAUUUAUAGGCAAGGUUUGCCAACCUUCCUUAUUUCUAUAUAUUUCUCGCUUUUUCCUAAUGUCCACAUAAUUUUACAAGAUUCUAGGUCUUUCUACAAAAGACCAUAGAUAUUUUAUGCAUGCAUUCAACAUACAUGCUUUUUCUAGAAUUCUCUAGCAUUUGCAUGAACCAUCCAUUGUGGUUAUGUUGCCUUUUUCAACAUGGGUUGGAUCCAUUGUCUUGGUCCAAGACAAGAUUACAAUUCAACAAGCCUUUUAUUAAUGUCACAUUAUUAUGUCUUGAUUGUAAGAUUAAACUUAUAAAAAAAUAUAAGUUAAGAGAUUAAGCUCAUGAACCACAAAUGUAUUCAAGUAUUAAAAUCACAAUUCGAUAAACACAAUGACAAACUAACCCAUAAACAUAGUAGAAGAAAAAGCCAAAGCAGACUUCUAAACAAUGCACCUUCUCCUCUCUUGCAAAACCAAAAGUACUCAAACUAACAAUAGGUCUUAGUUCAAUAUUGAGUGUGCAUUUUGUGAAAGCAGUGGCCACUAUUUAUAAUAGAUUAAUCCUAAUAAUUCUCUUAUUAGAAACACCAUAGGAUACCAACUAUGAAUCCAAAUCAUAUCUGAAUUACAAUCCUACAAGAAUUAGGAUAGUUUUAAGCUUUCUAGCAAGACUUUUCUAUGUCAAUUGAAACACUACAACCGGCUAUAAUAUUUAAUUUCAUACUCAUGUUCUAACAUUCUCCCACUUGAGUAUGAAACAUAUUAAUCACACAGUCUUUCAUAUUCAUAGAAGUGAUCGCCAAAUCUUUUGGAUAGCAAAAGCUUAACCUCACAUACAACUUACCAAUGCAUUUUAAAGUAUGGAACUUAAGAAUCUUUUCUGUUUUAUCACAGAAUUAACCCAAAAAUCACAACAUACUUAAUUUGCACUUUGUAAUUAUGUGAAUGUUGUGUAGCAAAACCAAACCAAUUUGCUCCCACUCAUCUAGGCCAUACUUAACACAACCAAGUUAAGUACAAGUUAAUAUCAACUAUAUUAACUAACAAUCAUUGCAAUACACUGAAUGACUUAUCAGAAUCAAUACAGUGAAUGACUUAUCAUAAUCCACAUAGGAAACCAAAUUCGUGUAGUUGCAAUCUUGUUCCUUAAUUAGCAUUCUUAUCAUAUGACCUUCUAUUCUAGUUUGAAUCAUACAAGCUGUCAAAAAUCAAUCCCAGCUUACUAUCAUGCUCAUAUCUUUAUAUCUUAUAUUCUCCCACUUGAGCAUGAACUAAGCUAAAUUUUCAGCUUCGCAAACUUUUAAUAGAAGUGAUCAAUGUGAUCAAUUAGUCUCAUCGCAUAAGAAAUUCACAUCACAUAUAUUAUAUCUAUACAUUUCAAAAUGUAGAAUCAAAGAAACAUUGCUGCAACCAAUAUGCAAACAGAUUCCAUGAUCACAUGCAUCCAAUUUGUAUUUAUAACAAUGUGUUUUUACUUGACCAGAACAAACACAUAAAUUAGUUUUCUCCCACUAUAUCAAGUCAAGUUUAGCUCCAACAAAUAGCACUAAACUUGUCAUUACUUAAACUAAUUAAGUAAGAUAAAUAAUUCAACCAAUUGCUUCAAUAAAACCAUAAAUUGGUUUUCAGCAUCCAAAUGAAUUAUAAUGACUGGCUUAAAUACUCUUAGCCUUAUGCUUACAUUCGAACAUAUGAUUCUCCCACUUAAGCAUAAGCAAAAUGUACUGCACAACCAAUAAAGAAACCGGAGAUAUGAACCAAUUGGUUCCCAAUUCCUCACCAAUUGCAUAAUCUCAGUUUAGUCAAUAUACUCCUAAACCAUUAUGCAAACAGUCUAUGUAUCAAAAGAUAGUCACAAUCCAUUCAGAAAAACUUAUCUCACAUAAACUCAAAAUCACCAGUUUCAACAAUGAUCAAAAUCAAAAUAGCAAGCACAAUAUUUUUGCAUUCAAUUUGAUCCUAGUUCAAUAUCCAUCAAGCAAGAUCAACCAAAUUUUGAUAAUGUCUGGAUAUAUAUCACAACAAUAUGUCUUGAUUAAAACGAGAUAAUCAAGACCACUAUUUCUUUUGGAGAACUCAAAAUUCAUUUUCCUCCCUAUUUGAGAUUUCAAUGAAAACAUAAUUGCGGAAGCAUGCAUCAUAAAUGAAAUCACAAAUACACCUAUACAAUAAGAAUGCAUCUUAAACUCCAUGAUUUUCACAAUACAAUAAGCACAUGCUUUCUUACGAAUUCAUAAAUUAAAUCAAUAUGCAUUCGGCAAUGUCAAUUUGUGUUGUACAAAAAUAUGGACAACAAGUCACAUAAUCUAAUUUGUUUCUCAUUCCUCUAUAUAAAUGACACAAGCUAAUUCUCAAAAUUUAUAGCUUGACUUAUAUAAUCAUACAAGUAAAUUUUUAAGGCUACGAUCAAUAUAUAUAGCCACAAAAUCUAAUUUGGGUCAACUAAUGAAAAAUAAGAUCAUUACAAGAUAAAACCCAAUUUAUACCAAUGUAUACAGAUUCGCCAUAUAUGCACAAUAACGAUUCUAGCCAAAGCAUAUUUCACAUAUAUAUGUUCAUUCAUCUGUUCACAUAUUUUCUUGUAUGCAUGCAUCAAUAUGCAAAUAAACUUAUGCAAGUUCUAUUUGAUAUAGAUACAAUAAGAUGUGCAUGUGCCGCUCCGUAUAAUUAUAUAUAUAUAUAUCGAGAUUCAUACGGGAAACAAUGCAUAACAUACAAAUCGUUAGCAUUCUUUUAAGCCGUCAGAAAGACUAAGCAUAUUUGCUUCAUCAUGACAAUCGAUGAGACUCAACCUAUACAAAAAUCCUUAAUCAUAUAUGCUCAUAAGUUCAAAUUUUGGCUUAACCAAUGUGAAUGGCAAAGUAGAUACAUGCACCAGCACACUAUGCAUCCAUGUAUAUAUUGAAAUAGAUUCGUGUUUGUGCUUCUUUAUACUUGGAAGCCCCUUGAUAUUAUAUAAUAUAACUUUUAUUAUAUAAUAUCCAUCAAAAUAUAAUUGAUGCACGACACUCAAUUUUACAAGCAAAAUGACAUGAUAUAACAAAUGUUCGAAACUGAGAAGAAAGGUUUAGCAGAAAAGGAUUCAAGAUAAAACCUUAUAAAAGCCCUAAUUCAAUUCAAGAUAAAACCUUAUGAAAGCCCUAAUUCAUCAUGCUCUAAAUCAUCACAGUAUAAUCAUGCAUAUAAGAGAACAAAUUAAUCAUGCAUGAAACAAUGAACUAAGUUACCUAAAUGCAUCACUGGACCUAUAUUCGUUGACCCGACCGAGAUUUCUCGACCACAAAUCAACAAAACAAAUUACUCAUCAAUCCUCGAGACCCAUCCAUGUGGAUUGUCAUCACCACCAAUUCCAGUGGACCCGUAUCAUCGCAGAUUAUCGAAGUACAUCGCCAUUGUUACAUACCCGCCGAACCCAUCGCCAAAGUGAUGGCCCAAAUCCCAUCGACACAAAUUCCCAGCAAAAAGACAAACCGUAAACGUUAAUAUCUCUUGGACAAACAAAAAACUUAUUAAUGUCUUCAAACCAAGAUUUCAUAUUUCUUUUAUCUUACUUAUAUUUGGUCUGUACAAGGCAUAUUUUAUGAACAUCUUUAUAAUCAAAUUCAUUAAUCCAAACCGAUCAGACCCACGAAAACAAUAGCUUAUGUACUCGCAUUCCAUAAUUACCCAAUGAAUCCUUGAUUAAUUCUUAUAAAAAUUCAUCAUCAUGGAAUCAAACACAUAGAAGAAAAAUUAAUAGCUGUUGAAGCUUAGUAGUUCAAUUUUACCAAAUUGAAUUCAACAUUUAGCCAUCAUUCGUUUGGCAGGCAAUCGUAAAUAUUACAAACCUGUAUUGCGGCAAACAUGAUAUGCAUAUAGCAAACUCAUUCAAAACCUACAUAUUAUCUCACAAACUAAGCUUGACAACUGCUAAUUUACCAUCACGUCUUUUGCUGUUUGUUUUUUUAUUUUUAUUUUUUUAACUUUCAAUUUGAAUUCAAGAGCAACAAUCUUAGGCUCUGAUACCACAUGUAAGAUUAAACUUAUCAAAAAAUAUAAGUUAAGAGAUUAAGCUCAUGAACCACAAAUUUAUUCAAGUAUUAAAAUCACAAUUCGAUAAACACAAUGACAAACUAACCUGUAAAUGUAGUAGACGAAGAAGCCAAAGCAGACUUCUAAACAGUGCACCUUCUCCUCUCUUUCAAAACCAAAAGUACUCAAACUAACAAUAGGUCUUAGUUCAAUAUUGAGCGUGCAUUUUGUGAGAGCAGUGGCCACUAUUUAUAAUAGAUUAAUCCUCAUAAUUCUCCUAUUAGAAACACCAUAGGAUACCAACUAUGAAUUCAAAUCAUAUAUGAAAUACAAUCCUACUAGAAUUAGGAUAGUUUUAAGCUUUCUAGCAAGACUUUUCUAUGUCAAUUGAAACACUACAACCGGCUAUAAUAUUCAGUUUCAUACUCAUAUUCUAACAUUGAUAAAAUCUUUAUUUAUUCCCUGCAAGUACCAUAUAAGAAAUGCUAAAGAGACUCUCUAUGGACUCUCUAUCUGUCACUUCAUGUUUUUGACAUAAUGUUUUAUAAUGUUAGCACUAGAAUGACUGUAAACUGUAAGGUGACAGAGAGUCUAUGAAGAGUCCCACUUUAAGAGGGUCUCCUUAAUAUUUCUCAUACCAUAUUCUGACACAAUGGAAAGUAGCCAUUUUUUAUUGUAAGUUUUAGUUUUCACAUGUAUUUAUGUUAUGCGAGACAACCACAAAUAAAUCUUUCUGUAUGUACAACUUUUAUCAAGUUUAAGAGUUAUAAUUAAGAUAUUCCCAAUUGUAUAUAUUUAUAUGUUUUUAGUCAUUAUAGUUGGAGCUCAUCAUUUGUGUGUACAUGAUAGAUAUCCUCGGUUACACGAUAGAAUUUCACAGGAAUGUCAUAGCCAAUAAAGUAGGCUCCUAUGCAUCAUUUGUUUCUGUGCGAAGAGAAAACACGAAUAAAUACAUGCAACAACCUAUUGUUGCUGAUAGUGUACGCUUCAGACUCAUGAAAUUUGUAGCCACUCUACAUAUCUCGUGUGUAGAGUGGUACAUCAAGUAUGUUGGACUCGAUACAUCAAGUGUCGUAAUGCAAUUGAUUAGAAAACAAGAUUUCAAAUCUUUUUUUCAAGUUUCUCACAUAACCGUAGGCCUGGCAAACGGAUCGUGUCUGUAGUGUUCGUGUCGUUUUCGUGUAACACCUGUUAUCUUAACGGGUCGUGUCAUGUCACACCUGUUAUCUUAACGGGUCCUUAAUAGGUCGGGUAAAGUGACCUAACCCAUUAUGACCCGUUAAGAAAAGAAAAAAAAUUUCCUUAAAUUUGCACAUACCACACAUUGCCACAUGCGAUCUCGAUCUCUGAAUGUUUGUUUUUUGCAAUUUUUUGCUGAUACGAUUUCGAAGCAUAUACAAACAAGUUUGAUGAUUGGAUCGUUGAAAUUAGUUUCGUAGAAUUCGUAUCCCAUCAAGUUCAAUGAUGAAUAUAUAUAUUUAUUAAGUAGAUUUAAAUUUAUUUAUUUUGUACAUAUAACACUUAAGAAAUUGAAUGGUAUGUAUAUUUAAGCCGAUCCAAUGGUCACCAAUUUUUAAUAUUUAAUAUAUAUUAUAGUUUUUAGGGCUAUAAAAUUGUUAAAUUAAUAUAUAUAACUAUUAUAGUAUUUUUUUUUAGGGUUAUAAAAUUAUUAAAUUAAUAUUUUACUUAUCGUGUAUCGUGUUACUCACAUGUAUAUCUGAACCAACCCGUUAUCUUAACAAGUGCUUAUCGGGUUACCCGAUAACGAUCCAAUUCGUUAUCGUGUCGACCCAAACACUUGUUAAUUUCAUGUUGUGUCGUGUCGGGUUAUCAGGUCGUGUCAGGAAUUGCCAGGUCUGCCUAACCGAAACCCAAUUAUUCUAUUUGGGACUUUUACAGCAACAAAGAAACCACCUCAAGGCUCAAUCUACUUGCCCACCAUCCCACACCUUUUUUUCCUUGUCUGGUUUGGUGGUAGGGAAUGAAACUGAUCUAUGUUCACUUCUUCUGGUUUGCAGCUGACUGGUUUUUCCAUUAGUGGAAAAACGAAACACGGAUACCCUCCGGAUCCAUCCAUUAUGUGAGGAUCCUACGGAUCCCUGUGGAUGCAAAUUUUCGCCUUCUUUUUCUUGGACAAAAUUGCAUCUACAAAACAAUUAACACCUUAGGUCAAGGCCAAGAGCCUCACAUGCCCACGAUGAAUGGGGGGGCUUUGGCGGAAGAACCUCCGAUGCCAAAGUUAGAAUUUAGAGAGAAAAGUAUUUGGAGAGUUUUUGGAAGUUUUGCAAGAGUGUGGAACUAGGUUUUUAGAGAAAAUGGAGUCCUAUUUAUAGAGCAUGACCAGCCCUCUUUGGAAGAAAGAGUGGCCGACCCUUGGGUAUUUUUUGGGGUGUAAUGGAUGAUUUAAUUGGUAAUUAAUGGAUUAAUUAGGAAUUAAUCCAUUAAUUAGUCAUUUAACCUCCACUUAAAUGGAAUGUUAUGUAGGUUAUAAAAUAAUUACCUAAGAUGAGGAUGGAUGAGAAUAUAUUUGAAUUUGUUACCUAUUUUGGACACUUUUGACUUGAUUGACGGAUGAUUGUCUGCUGCUCGCGCGUAGGAAUCCCGAUAUGCCUCAAGGGUAUAUUUGUCCUCUUUACCCAAAAAUUCACGUGUCACCUUGUGAUUAUUUUUUGCUGCACAAUCUCCACAUCUCAGCCGUUCAUCGUGAAUCAUGUAUCAAUUUUUGUCAGGUACUAUUUGUGUUUAAUUUAAAAUAAUAAAAAUAAAAUUAUUUAUGACCACACGAUUCAUGAUAAACGAUUAAAAUGUAGAGAUCCUUAUGAUUCUUGCAUAAUGGAUGGGAUCCGUUUCAGGAAAAACGAAGCUUGAUGGACCCCAGGUUAUAAUAUUCCAAAAUAGUCAUUCACAAUUAAUUAAUUUGUUGACUUAAUUUUGUUGUGUACUUGUAAAAUAGCCAACCACAUAAUGGAUGGGAUCCGUUUCAGGAAAAACGAAGCUUGAUGGACCCCAGGUUAUAAUAUUCCAAAAUAGUCAUUCACAAUUAAUUAAUUUGUUGACUUAAUUUUGUUGUGUACUUGUAAAAUAGCCAACCAGUGUCCUUUUUAUAUCUAAAACAAUUGUAUAAUCCUACAGAGAAUAUUUAUAUUAGGCCUCGGCAAUUGAUAUAAAAGGCAACCUGUAUCAACGCAUUCUUUGAGUCAAUAAUAUCAGAGCUUCUUAGAGGGGAAAUAGAUAGGUUGUAAAACAAUGUCUUGGUUUCUUACUGUUAUCUUUCUGGUUACUACUCUUACAUUUCAUACUCCUUCAGAGGCUAGCUAUGAGGAGAUCCAGCCUUCUGCAGUUGUUGUAGGCACUGUAUACUGUGACACAUGUUUCCAAGAGGAUUUCUCAAAUACUAGCCAUUUCAUUUCAGGUAAAUUCGUCUUGAAUUUUCAACAAGUUCUUCAUCAAUUUUAUUUUUCUAUUGUAGCCCGUUCAAUGAUUUCCGUACACCCCUUCUCUUCUUCUAUAUACACUCAUGUUUAUAUUUUAAUCUUUAAAUUUGAAUAAGUCCAAGAAAAAUUAAAAGAAAUAAAUAAACAAAAGUGUACAAAUGGAGAAAAUGUAAAAUCUAAAUGACUGAAAACCUUUAUACAGGUAUUUCCUAAGAGUCAACCAUACAACUACGAAAAAUUAAAGGAGAAAUUAGGUUCUCAUCCUUCCUUUUGCUACUUCAUUGAUUAAAAUCAUAUUCUUUUUCAAUUUUUUAUCAAGGUCUUUGGGUAUUAAUAACAUCAUUAAUUAUUUUAAUAAUAAAAUAUUUUUUUAUUUCUAAAUAUAUUCAUUUAAUGUUAAAAAUGUUACAAUUAGUAUAUUUAUAUUUAUGACUUAACAUAUAUUUUUAGUUUUAGUUUGUACCCAUUUUUAAUUUGUAAUUCUUUUUUAAUUUGUAUCAAUUUUCUUUUCAAUUUUAAUUUGUACCCAUAUAUUAAUUUAUUUUUGUGCCCAUAUUUUUUAAAGUUUAUUUGUAUUUGUACCCAUAUUUUUUUUAUUUGUACUUUUUAUUUUGCUAAAUGUACCCAUGCUAAUUAUAUGUACCCAUUCAUUUAAAACUUUUUAAUCUUCAAAUGUACUCAUUCUUAAAUAUACCAAUUUGUUAUAUGUAAAAUGUACCAUUUUUUUUAUAUAUAAUCUAUUCAAUUUUUUUCUAAUCCAUUUUUAAACUUAUAUGGGUACGUUCUUUUUUCUUUGAUUUUAAAAUGUAUCCAUGUCAAGUUUAAUCGAAGAAAUUUACUAAUGUUAUUAAGCUAUUAUCUUCUUCUUCUUUUUUUGUGAUUUUGAAGAAUUUACCCAUGUUUUGAUACAAUAAUUUUUUUGGUUAAUUUUGAUGAAUGUACCCAUGUUUAUAUAUAUACACACACAAUAGUAUAUUUAUAUUUUAAUAUUUUUAAUCCCACAAAUUAUGAUUUUUUAUUUAAAAUCUCAUUUAUAUAAACAACUAAAAUUUCUAAUUUUUAAUUUAAAAAAUAUAGUAACGUACAUAGAAAUAAAUUAUCACAUUAAUUUCAGGGACCUCGAUCAAAAAUUAAAAAUCAACAAGGUUUCAAUCAAAGAAUAUUCAUAGCUAAAGACCACAUCCAAAGUCUCCCAAAAUUAAAUAACACAUAUCAACUGCAAAAAAAAAUCUUGCCUAAACUAACUCCUUGACGGUAGGAUUCUACUUUCAAUCACGAUUUCUUUCCAACAGACAACAAAAUGUCCUGACAUGUUAUGGAUGCAUUAUCGACAAUAUCAAUAAUUUUGUGGGGUUUUUGUGCAGAGGCUUCUGUUGGUGUGGAAUGCAAAGAUGGGACUUCAACAAAACCAAGUUUCAACGUAAAAGUGAAAACAAACAGCCAUGGGCAAUUCAAAGUCAAUCUGCCCUUCUCAGUGAGCAAAGAUGUCAAGAAAAUUGAAGGAUGCUCCGUGAAACUAAUCCGCAGCAGUGAACCCUACUGUGCUGUGGCCUCAUCAGCCACCUCAUCUUCCCUACACCUCAAGGCAAGAAAGCAAGGGACUCACAUAUUCUCUGCUGGUUUCUUCACCUUCAAGCCUCUCAAGCAACCCAGCUUAUGCAACCAGAAACCCAGCAUUCAGAAUUCCAAGAAAUUAAACUCCCAGAAGUUCUCAGAGAUGGCAUUCCCAUCCUCCUCUCAGGUGGACCCCAAAAUGCCUGAUCCCUCUCUCAACCAAUCUGAUCUCCUAGGUCUCCCAAUCGAUCUCCCAGGACUCCCAGGUCUCCCAGGACUCCCAGGUCUCCCAGGCCUCCCAGGCCUCCCAGGACUUCCAGGGUUGCCCCUUGCUGCUGAAAAAACUUCAUCUAAGUCCUCCAACUCCAAAACUUCAAAGAAUGGGCAACUAGGUGAUAAUAAAGAAGUCGCCCAUCCAGAUUCUCCACCAGCAGGUUCAGCACCAUGAUUCCCAACCUGCAACCUAUCCUGGUUUCUGCUGGGUUCCUAUCCUAUUGGGCGUAACCCGUUUAAGUAUAAUAAGCCCAUUUAGGUCUUCUGAGUUGUGGUUUCCUGAACUACUACGUAUAUAGUCUCUUCCUUCUCUUUUGAGAACUAUGAAAAAUAUUAAGG
rnacentral:lncRNA from 1 species